rnacentral:lncRNA from 1 species
UUAAAUGAUUACUAGUUAUAAGUUGUUAUACGAGAUCGAUAUGGUCAAACAUACAACUUGCAAAGCUUGAAAAGAAGAAAUGCUGGUGUAAUUUCUAAAUGAUGCUAUUUGAUUAAGUUUUAUUUUUAGCAAACAGAAAACUACGAUAAGGGAUAAAAAGUUUAUGUGAAGGUUCUAAAUAAGAAUAAUUUAUGUGGAUAAGUUGUUCUUUUACUUCCAUACGACGGUUGAGACUACUCUCGAAGAAUGGAAUGAUAGAAAGGCUGUUAUAAUGUGUCGAAUGUCCUAUUUAAAUUAGUUCUAAGUUUCGAAGGGGGAGAAAAUGUAAAUUAAUAAAUCAAAAGGUUAAAAAAACUACUAAAAAUUAUAUGAGUCCUACAUAGAUAAGUUGUUGUAGGAUUUUCAAAUGGCGGCACAGACAACUUCGAAACAAGAAACGAAGCAAGGCUUCUAUCACUUAUUGGUAAUGCUAUUUAAACAUGUUUUUAGUUUCACAAAAAUAGAAAAUCUACCAUGAUGGAUAAAAACAGUUAAUAAAUAUACCAAAUUGUCUAAUUUCCAUAGGUAAGUUGCUAUCUGAGGUGCAUAUUGAUGCACAGACUACCCUCGAAGCAUGAAAUGGUGGAAAUGAUUUCGGAAUAUGUCGAUGAUGCUUCAUUAAUAAUUUUUCAGUUUUCAACGAAAUGAAAAUCUAUAGUGAUGGAUCAAAAGGGAACAAAAUUGGUGAUGGAAUUAAAUGAUUACUAGUUAAGAUGUUAUUUGAGAUCCAUAUAUGGUCAAACAUACAACUUCCGAAGCUUGAAAGGAAGAAAUGCCGGUGGAAUUUCUAAAUGAUGCUAUUUAAGUAAGUUUUCUUUUUAGCGAAUAAAAAAUCUACGGUAUCGGAUCAAAAGUUUAUGUAAAGUUGCUAAACAUGAAUAAUUUAUUUGGAUAAGAUGUUCUAUGACUUCCAUACGAAGGUCGAGACCACUAUAGAAGAAUUGAAUGAUUGAAAGGCUGUUAUAAUUUGUCGAAUGUCCUAUUUAAAUGAGUUCUAUAAUUCGAAGGAGGAGAAAAUGUAAAGUAAUAAAUCAAAAGGUUAUGUAAAACUACUAAAAAUUAUGUGACUCCUACAUAUAUAAGUUGUUGUAGGAUUUUCAAAUGGCGACACAGACAACUUCGAAACAAGAAACGAAGCAAGGCUUCUAUCACUUAUCGGUAAUGCUAUUUAAGCAUGUUUUUAGUUUCAAAAAAAUAGAAAAUAUACCAUGAUGGAUAAAAAAGGUUAAUAAAUGUACCAAAUUCUCUAAUUUCUAUAGGUAAGUUGCUAUCUGAGGUGCAUAUAGAUGCACAAACUACCCUCGAAGCAUGAAAUGGUAGAAAUGAUUUCGGAAUAUGUCGAUGAUGCUUCAUUAAUAAGUUUUGAGUUUUCAACGAAAUGAAAAUCUAUAGUAAUGUAUCAAGAGGGAACAAAAUUGGUGAUGGAAUUAAAUGAUUACUAGUUAUAAGUUGUUAUUUGAGAUCCAUAUAUGGUCAAGCAUACAACUUCCGAAGCUUGAAAGGAAGAAAUCCCGGUGGAAUUUCUAAAUGAUGCUAUUUAAGUAAGUUUUCUUUUUAGCGAAUAAAAAAUCUAUGGUAAUGGAUCAAAAGUUUAUCUAAAGGUGCUAAACAUGAAUAAUUUAUUUGGAUAAGCUGUUCUAUGACUUCCAUACGACGGUCGAGACUACGAUCGAAGAAUUGAAUGAUUGAAAGGCUGUUAUAAUGUGUCGAAUGUCCUAUUUAAAUGAGUUCUAUGACUCGAAGGAGGAGAAAAUGUAAAGUAAUAAAUCAAAAGGUUAUGUAAAACUACUAAAAAUUAUGUGACUCCUACAUAUAUAAGUUGUUGUAGGAUUUUCAAAUGGCGGCACAGACAACUUCGAAACAAGAAACGAAGCAAGGCUUCUAUCACUUAUCGGUAAUGCUAUUUAGACAUGUUUUUACUUUCACAAAAUUAGAAAAUCUACCAUGAUGGAUAAAAACGGUUAAUAAAUGUACCAAAUUUUCUAAUUUCUAUAGGUAAGUUGCUAUCUGAGGUGCAUAUAGAUGCACAGACUACCCUCGAAGCAUGAAAUGUGGAAAUGAUGUCGGAAUAUGUCAAUGAUGCUUCAUUAAUAGGUUUUCAGUUUUCAACGAAAUGAAAAUCUAUAGUGAUGGAUCAAAAGGGAACAAAAUUGGUGAUGGAAUUAAAUGAUUACUAGUUAUAAGUUGUUAUUUGAGAUCCAUAUAUGGUCAAACAUACAACUUCCGAAGCUUGAAAGGAAGAAAUGCCGGUGGAAUUUCUAAAUGAUGCUAUUUAAGUAAGUUUUCUUUUUAGCGAAUAAAAAAUCUACGGUAACGGAUCAAAAGCUUAUGUAAAGGUACUAAACAUGAAUAAUUUAUUUGGAUAAGCUGUUCUAUGACUUCCAUACAAAGGUCGAGACUACUAUCCAAGAAUUCAAUGAUUGAAAGGCUGUUAUAAUGUGUCGAAUGUCCUAUUUAAAUGAGUUCUAUGAUUCCAAGGAGGAGAAAAUGUAAAGUAAUAAAUCAAAAGGUUAUGUAAAAAUACUAAAAAUUAUAUGACUCCUACAUAUGUAAGUGGUUGUAGGAUUUUCAAAUGGCAGCACAGACAACUUCGAAACAAGAAACGAAGCAAGGCUUCUAUCACUUAUCGGUAAUGCUAUUUAAACAUGUUUUUAGUUUCACAAAAAUAGAAAAUCUACCAUGAUGGAUAAAAAUGGUUAAUAAAUGUACCAAAUUGUCUAAUUUCUAUAGGUAAGUUGCUAUCUGAGGUGCAUAUAGAUGCACAGACUACCCUCGAAGCAUGAAAUGGUGGAAAUGGUUUCGGAAUAUGUCGAUGAUGCUUCAUUAAUAAGUUUUCAGUUUUCAACGAAUGAAAAUCUAUAAUGAUGGAUCAAAAGGGAACAAAAUUGGUGAUGGAAUUAAAUGAUUACUAGUUAUAAGUUGUUAUUUGAGAUCCAUAUAUGGUCAAACACACAACUUCCGAAGCUUGAAAGGAAGAAAUGCCGGUGGAAUUUCUAAAUGAUGCUAUUUAAGUAAGUUAUCUUUUUAGCGAAUAAAAAAUCUACUAUAACGGAUCAAAAGUUUAUGUAAAGGUGCUAAACAUGAAUAAUUUAUUUGGAUAAGCUGUUCUAUGACUUCCAUACGACGGUCGAGACUACUAUCGAAGAAUUGAAUGAUUGAAAGGGUGUUAUAAUGUGUCGAAUGUCGUAUUUAAAAGAAUUCUAUGAUUCGAAGGAGGAGAAAAUCUAAAGUAAUAAAUCAAAAGGUUAUGUAAAACUACUAAAAAAUAUGUGACUCCUACAUAUAUAAGUUGUGGUAGGAUUUUCAAAUGGCGGCACAGACAACUUUGAAACAAGAAACGAAGCAAGGCUUCUAUCUCUUAUCGGCAAUGCUAUUUAAACAUGUUUUUAGUUUCACAAAAAUAGAAAAUCUACCAUGAUGGAUAAAAAUGGUUAAUAAAUGUACCAAAUUGUCUAAUUUCUAUAGGUAAGUUGCUAUCUGAGGUGCAUAUAGAUGCACAGACUACCCUCGAAGCAUGAAAUGGUGGAAAUGGUUUCGGAAUAUGUCGAUGAUGCUUCAUUAAUAAGUUUUCAGUUUUCAACGAAUGAAAAUCUAUAAUGAUGGAUCAAAAGGGAACAAAAUUGGUGAUGGAAAUAAAUGAUUACUAGUUAUAAGUUGUUAUUUGAGAUCCAUAUAUGGUCAAACAAUCAACUUCCAAAGCUUGAAAGGAAGAAAUGCCGGUGGAAUUUCGAAAUGAUGCUAUUUAAGUAAGUUUUAUUUUUAGCGAAUAAAGAAUCUAUGGUAACGGAUCAAAAGUUUAUGUAAAGGUGCUAAACAUGAAUAAUUUAUUUGGAUAAGCUGUUCUAUGACUUCCAUACGAAGGUCGAGACUACUAUCGAAGAAUUGAAUGAUUGAAAGGCUGUUAUAAUGUGUCGAAUGUCCUAUUUUAAUGAGUUCUAUGAUUCGAAGGAGGGGAAAAUGUAAAGUAAUAAAUCAAAAGGUUAGGUAAAACUACUAAAAAUUAUGUGACUCCUACAUAUAUAAGUUGUUGUAGGAUUUUCGAAUGGCGGCACAGACAACUUCGAAACAAGAAACGAAGCAAGGCUUCUAUCACUUAUCGGUAAUGCUAUUUAAACAUGUUUUCAGUUUUGGAAAAAUAGAAAAUCUACCUUGAUGGAUAAAAACGGUUAAUAAAUGUACCAAAUUGUCCAAUUUCUAUAGGUAAGUUGCUAUCUGAGGUGCAUAUAGAUGCACAGACUACCCUCGAAUUAUGAAAUGGUGGAAAUGAUUUCGGAAUAUGUCGAUGAUGUUUCAUUAAUAAGCUUUCAGUUUUCAACGAAAUGAAAAUCUAUAGUAAUGGAUCAAAAGGGAAAGAAUUGGUGAUGGAAUUAAAUGAUUACUAGUUAUAAGUUGUUAUUUGAGAUCCAUAUAUGGUCAAACAUACAACUUCCGAAGCUUGAAAGGAAGAAAUGCCAGUGGAAUUUCUAAAUGAUGCAAUUUAAGUAUGUUUUCUUUUUAGCGAAUAAAAAAUCUAUGGUAACGGAUCAAAGUUUAUGUAAAGGUGCUAAACAUGAAUAAUAUAUUUGGAUAAGCUGUUCUAUGACUUCCAUACGACGGUCGAGACUACUAUCGAAGAAUUGAAUGAUUGAAAGGCUGUUAUAAUGUGUCGAAUGUCCUAUUUAAAUGAGUUCUAUGAUUCGAAGGAGGAGAAAAUGUAAGGUAAAAAAUCAAAAGGUUAGGUAAAACUACUAAAAAUUAUGUGACUCCUACAUAUAUAAGUUGUUGUAGGAUUUUCAAAUGGCGGCACACACAACUUCGAAACAAGAAACGUAGCAAGGCUUCUAUCACUAAUCGAUAAUGCUAUUUAAACAUGUUUUUAGUUUCACAAAAAUAGAAAAUCUACCAUGAUGGAUAAAAACGGUUAAUAAAUGUACCAAAUUGUCUAAUUUCUAUAGGUAAGUUGCUUUCUGAGGUGCAUAUAGAUGCACAGACUACCCUCGAAGCAUGAAAUGGUGGAAAUGAUGUCGGAAUAUGUUGAUGAUGCAUCAUUAAUAGGUUUUCAGUAUUCAACGAAAUGAAAAUCUAUAGUGAUGGAUCAAAAGGGAACAAAAUUGGUGAUGGAAUUAAAUGAUUACUAGUUAUAAGUUGUUAUUUGAGAUCCAUAUAUGGUCAAACAUACAACUUCCGAAGCUUGAAAGGAAGAAAUGCCGGUGGAAUUUCUAAAUGAUUCUAUUUAAGUAAGUUUUCUUUUUAGCGAAUAAAAAAUCUACGGUAACGGAUCGAAAGUUUAUGUAAUGGUGCUAAACAUGAAUAAUUUAUUUGGAUAAGCUGUUCUAUGAGUUCCAUACGACGGUCGAGACUACUAUCGAAGAAUUGAAUGAUUGAAAGGCUGUUCUAAUGUGUCGAAUUUCCUAUUUAAAUGAGUUCUAUGAUUCGAAGGAGGAGAAAAUGUAAAGUAAUAAAUCAAAAGGUUAUGUAAAACUACUAAAAAUUAUGUGACUCCUACAUAUAUAAGUUGUUGUAGGAUUUUCAAAUGGCGGCACAGACAACUUCGAAACAAGAAACGAAGCAAGGCUUCUAUCACUUAUCGGUAAUGCUAUUUAAACAUGUUUUUAGUUUCACAAAAAUAGAAAAUCUACCAUGAUGUAUAAAAACGGUUAAUAAAUGUACCAAAUUGUCCAAUUUCUAUAGGUAAGUUGCUAUCUGAGGUGCAUAUAGAUGCACAGACUACCCUCGAAGCAUGAAAUGGUGGAAAUGAUUUCGGAAUAUGUCGAUGAUGCUUCAUUAAUAGGUUUUCUGUUUUCAACGAAAUGAAAAUCUAUAGUGAUGGAUCAAAAGGGAACAAAAUUGGUGAUGGAAUUAAAUGAUUACUAGUUAUAAGUUGUUAUUUGAGAUCCAUAUAUGGUCAAACAUACAAGUUCCGAAGCUUGAAAGGAAGAAAUGCCGGUGGAAUUUCUAAAUGAUGCUAUUUAAGUAAGUUUUCUUUUUUGCGAAUAAAAAAUCUACGGUAACGGAUCAAAAGUUUAUGUAAUGGUGCUAAACAUGAAUAAUUUAUUUGGAUAAGCUGUGCUAUGACUUCCAUACGACGGUCGAGACUACUAUCGAAGAAUUGAAUGANNNNNNNNNNUGAAAGGCUGUUAUAAUGUGUCGAAUGUCCUAUUUAAAUGAGUUCUAUGAUUCGAAGGAGGAGAAAAUGCAAAGUAAGAAAUCAAAAGGUUAUGUAAAACUACUAAAAAUUAUGUGACUCCUACAUAUAUAAGUUGUUGUAGGAUUUUCAAAUGGCGGCACAGACAACUUCGAAACAAGAAACGAAGCAAGGCUUCUAUCACUUAUCGGUAAUGCUAUUUAAACAUGUUUUUACUUUCACAAAAAUAGAAAAUCUACCAUGAUGGAUAAAAACGGUUAAUAAAUGUACCAAAUUGUCUAAUUUCUAUAGGUAAGUUGCUAUCUGAGGUGCAUAUAGAUGCACAGACUACCCUCGAAGCAUGAAAUGGUGGAAAUGGUUUCGGAAUAUGUCGAUGAUGCUUCAUUAAUAAGUUUUCAGUUUUCAACGAAUGAAAAUCUAUAAUGAUGGAUCAAAAGGGAACAAAAUUGGUGAUGGAAUUAAAUGAUUACUAGUUAUAAGUUGUUAUUUGAGAUCCAUAUAUGGUCAAACAAUCAAUUUCCAAAGCUUGAAAGGAAGAAAUGCCGGUGGAAUUUCUAAAUGAUGUAAUUUAAGUAAGUUUUCUUUUUAGCGAAUAAAAAAUCUAUGGUAACGGAUCAAAAGUUUAUGUAAAGGUGCUAAUCAUGAAUAAUUUAUUUGGAUAACCUGUUCUAUGACUUCCAUACGAAGGUCGAGACUACUAUCGAAUAAUUGAAUGAUUGAAAGGCUGUUAUAAUGUGUCGAAUGUCCUAUUUAAAUGAGUUCUAUGAUUCGAAGGAGGGGAAAAUGUAAAGUAAUAAAUCAACAGGUUAGGUAAAACUACUAAAAAUUAUGUGACUCCUACAUAUAUAAGUUGUUGUAGGAUUUUCAAAUGGCGGCACAGACAACUUCGAAACAAGAAACGAAGCAAGGCUUCUAUCACUUAUUGGUAAUGCUAUUUAAACAUGUUUUCAGUUUUGGAAAAAUAGAAAAUCUACCUUGAUGGAUAAAAACGGUUAAUAAAUGUACGAAAUUGUCCAAUUUCUAUAGGUAAGUUGCUAUCUGAGGUGCAUAUAGAUGCACAGACUACCCUCGAAGCAUGAAAUGGUGGAAAUGAUUUCGGAAUAUGUCGAUGAUGCUUCAUUAAUAAGCUUUCAGUUUUCAACGAAAUGAAAAUCUAUAGUGAUGGAUCAAAAGGGAAAGAAUUGGUGAUGGAAUUAAAUGAUUACUAGUUAUAAGUUGUUAUUUGCGAUCCAUAUAUGGUCAAACAUACAACUUCCGAAGCUUGAAUGGAAGAAAUGCCAGUGGAAUUUCUAAAUGAUGCUAUUUAAGUAAGUUUUCUUUUUAACGAGUAAAAAAUCUACAGUAAUAGAUCAAAAGUUUAUGUAAAGGUGCUAAACAUGAAUAAUUUAUUUGGAUAAGCUGUUCUAUGACUUCCAUACGACGGUCGAGACUACUAUCGAAGAAUUGAAUGAUUGAAAGGCUGUUAUAAUGUGUCGAAUGUCCUAUUUAAAUGAGUUCUAUGAUUCGAAGGAGGAGAAAAUGUAAAGUAAUAAAUCAAAAGGUUAGGUAAAACUACUAAAAAUUAUGUGACUCCUACAUAUAUAAGUUGUUGUUGGAUUUUGAAAUGGCGGCACACACAACUUCGAAACAAGAAACGAAGCAAGGCUUCUAUCACAAAUCGAUAAUGCUAUUUAAACAUGUUUUUAGUUUCACAAAAAUAGAAAAUCUACCAUGAUGGAUAAAAGCGGUUAGUAAAUGUACCAAAUUGUCUAAUUUCUAUAGGUAAGUUGCUUUCUGAGGUGCAUAUAGAUGCACAGACUACCCUCGAAGCAUGAAAUGGUGGAAAUGAUGUCGGAAUAUGUCGAUGAUUCUUCAUUAAUAGGUUUUCAGUAUUCAACGAAAUGAAAAUCUAUAGUGUUGGAUCAAAAGGGAACAAAAUUGGUGAUGGAAUUAAAUGAUUACUAGUUAUAAGUUGUUAUUUGAGAUCCAUAUAUGGUUAAACAUACAACUUCCGAAUCUUGAAAGGAAGAAAUGCCGGUGGAAUUUCUAAAUGAUUCUAUUUAAGUAAGUUUUCUUUUUAGCGAAUAAAAAAUCUACGGUAACGGAUCAAAAGUUUAUGUAAUGGUGCUAAACAUGAAUAAUUUAUUUGGAUAAGCUGUUCUAUGACUUCCAUACGACGGUCGAGACUACUAUCGAACAAUUGAAUGAUUGAAAGGCUGUUAUAAUGUGUCGAAUGUCCUAUUUAAAUGAGUUCUAUGAUUCGAAGGAGGAGAAAAUGUAAAGUAAUAAAUCAAAAGGUUAUGUAAAACUACUAAAAAUUAUGUGACUCCUACAUAUAUAAGUUGUUGUAGGAUUUUCAAAUGGCGGCACAGACAACUUCGAAACAAGAAACGAAGCAAGGCUUCUAUCACUUAUCGGUAAUGCUAUUUAAACAUGUUUUUAGUUUCACAAAAAUAGAAAAUCUACCAUGAUGUAUAAAAACGGUUAAUAAAUGUACCAAAUUGUCCAAUUUCUAUAGGUAAGUUGCUAUCUGAGGUGCAUAUAGAUGCACAGACUACCCUCGAAGCAUGAAAUGGUGGAAAUGAUUUCGGAAUAUGUCGAUGAUGCUUCAUUAAUAGGUUUUCAGUUUUCAACGAAAUGAAAAUCUAUAGUGAUGGAUCAAAAGGGAACAAAAUUGGUGAUGGAAUUAAAUGAUUACUAGUUAUAAGUUGUUAUUUGAGAUCCAUAUACGGUCAAAGAUACAACUUCCGAAGCUUGAAAGGAAGAAAUGCCGGUGGAAUUUCUAAAUGAUGCUAUUUAAGUAAGUUUUCUUUUUUGCGAAUAAAAAAUCUACGGUAACGGAUCAAAAGUUUAUGUAAUGGUGCUAAACAUGAAUAAUUUAUUUGGAUAAGCUGUUCUAUGACUUCCAUACGACGGUCGAGACUACUAUCGAAGAAUUGAAUGAUUGAAAGGCUGUUAUAAUGUGUCGAAUGUCCUAUUUAAAUGAGUUCUAUGAUUCGAAGGAGGAGAAAAUGUAAAGUAAGAAAUCAAAAGGUUAUGUAAAACUACUAAAAAUUAUGUGACUCCUACAUAUAUAAGUUGUUGUAGUAUUUUCAAAUGGCGGCACAGACAACUUCGAAACAAGAAACGAAGCAAGGCUUCUAUCACUUAUCGGUAAUGCUAUUUAAACAUGUUUUUACUUUCACAAAAAUAGAAAAUCUACCAAGAUGGAUAAAAACAUUUAAUAAAUGUACCAAAUUGUCUAAUUUCUAUAGGUAAGUUGCUAUCUGAGGUGCAUAUAGAUGCACAGACUACCCUCGAAGCAUGAAAUGGUGGAAAUGAUGUCGGAAUAUGUCGAUGAUGCUUCAUUAAUAGGUUUUCAGUUUUCAAUGAAAUGAAAAUCUAUAGUGAUGGAUCAAAAGGGAACAAAAUUGUUGAUGGAAUUAAAUGAUUACUAGUUAUAAGUUGUUAUUUGAGAUCCGUAUAUGGUCAAACAUACAACUUCCGAAACUUGAAAGGAAGAAAUGGCGGUGGAAUUUCUAAGUGAUGCUAUUUAAGUAAGUUUUCUUUUUAGCGUAUAAAAAAUAUACGGUAACGGAUCAAAAGUUUAUGUAAUGGUGCUAAACAUGAAUAAUUUAUUUGGAUAAGCUGUUCUAUGACUUUCAUACGACGGUCGAGACUACUAUCGAAGAAUUGAAUGAUUGAAAGGCUGUUAUAAUGUGUCGAAUGUCCUAUUUAAAUGAGUUCUAUGAUUCGAAGGAGGAGAAAAUGUAAAGUAAUAAAUCAAAAGGUUAUGUAAAACUACUAAAAAUUAUGUGACUCCUACAUAUAUAAGUUGUUGUAGGAUUUUCAAAUGGCGGCACAGACAACUUCGAAACAAGAAACGAAGCAAGGCUUCUAUCACUUAUCGGUAAUGCUAUUUAAACAUGUUUUUAGUUUCACAAAAAUAGAAAAUCUACCAUGAUGGAUAAAAACGGUUAAUAAAUGUACCAAAUUGUCCAAUUUCUAUAGGUAAGUUGCUAUCUGAGGUGCAUAUAGAUGCACAUACUACCCUCGAAGCAUGAAAUGGUGGAAAUGAUUUCGGAAUAUGUCGAUGAUGCUUCAUUAAUAGGUUUUCAGUUUUGAACGAAAUGAAAAUCUAUAGUGAUGGAUCAAAAGGGAACAAAAUUGGUGAUGGAAUUAAAUGAUUACUAGUUAUAAGUUGUUAUUUGAGAUCCGUAUAUGGUCAAACAUACAACUUCCGAAGCCUGAAAGGAAGAAAUGCCGGUGGAAUUUCUGAAUGAUGCUAUUUAAGUAAGUUUUCUUUUUAGCGUAUAAAAAAUGUACGGUAACGGAUCAAAAGUUUAUGUAAAGGUGCUAAACAUGAAUAAUUUAUUUGGAUAAGCUGUUCCAUGACUUCAAUACGACCGUCGAGACUACUAUCGAAGAAUUGAAUGAUUGAAAGGUUGUUAUAAUGUGUCUAAUGUCCUAUUUAAAUCAGUUCUAUGAUUCGAAGGAGGAGAAAAAUGUAAAGUAAUAAAUCAAAAGGUUAUGUAAAACUACUAAAAAUUAUGUGAUUCCUACAUAUAUAAGUUGUUGUAGGAUUUUCAAAUGGCGGCACAGACAACUUCGAAACAAGAAAUGAAGCAAGGCUUCUAUCACUUAUCGGUAAUGCUAUUUAAACAUGUUUUCAGUUUUGCAAAAAUAGAAAAUCUACCUUGAUGGAUAAAAACGGUUAAUAAAUGUACAAAAUUGUCCAAUUUCUAUAGGUAAGUUGCUAUCUGAGGUGCAUAUAGAUGCACAUACUACCCUCGAAGCAUGAAAUGGUGGAAAUGAUUUCGGAAUAUGUCGAUGAUGCUUCAUUAAUAGGUUUUCAGUUUUCAACGAAAUGAAAAUCUAUAGUGAUGGAUCAAAAGGGAACAAAAUUGGUGAUGGAAUUAAAUGAUUACUAGUUAUAAGUUGUUAUUUGAGAUCCAUAUACGGUCAAACAUACAACUUCCGAAACUUGAAAAGAAGAAAUGCCGGUGGAAUUUCUAAAUGAUGCUAUUUAAGUAAGUUUUCUUUUUAGCGAAUAAAAAAUCUAUGGUAACGGAUCAAAAGUUUAUGUAAAGGUGCUAAACAUGAAUAAUUUAUUUGGAUAAGCUGUUCCAUGACUUCCAUACGACAGUCGAGACUACUAUCGAAGAAUUGAAUGAUUGAAAGGCUGUUAUAAUGUGUCGAAUGUCCUAUUUAAAUGAGUUCUAUGAUUCGAAGGAGGAGAAAAAUGUAAAGUAAUAAAUCAAAAGGUUAUGUAAAACUACUAAAAAUUAUGUGAUUCCUACAUAUAUAAGUUGUUGUAGGAUUAUCAAAUGGCGGCACAGACAACUUCGAAACAAGAAAUGAAGCAAGGCUUCUAUCACUUAUCGGUAAUGCUAUUUAAACAUGUUUUCAGUUUUGCAAAAAUAGAAAAUCUACCUUGAUGGAUAAAAACGGUUAAUAAAUGUACCAAAUUGUCCAAUUUCUAUAGGUAAGUUGCUAUCUGAGGUGCAUAUAGAUGCACAGACUACCCUCGAAGCAUGAAAUGGUGGAAAUGAUUUCGGAAUAUGUCGAUGAUGCUUCAUUAAUAGGUUUUCAGUUUUCAACGAAAUGAAAAUCUAUAGUGAUGGAUCAAAAGGGAACAAAAUUGGUGAUGGAAUUAAAUGAUUACUAGUUAUAAGUUGUUAUUUGAGAUCCAUAUACGGUCAAACAUACAGCUUCCGAAGCUUGAAAAGAAGAAAUGCCGGUGGAAUUUCUAAAUGAUGCUAUUUAAGUAAGUUUUCUUUUUAGCGAAUAAAAAAUAUACGGUAACGGAUCAAAAGUUUAUGUAAAGGUGCUAAACAUGAAUAAUUUAUUUGGAUAAGCUGUUCUAUGACUUCCAUACGACCGUCGAGACUACUAUCGAAGAAUUGAAUGAUUGAAAGGUUGUUAUAAUGUGUCUAAUGUCCUAUUUAAAUCAGUUCUAUGAUUCGAAGGAGGAGAAAAAUGUAAAGUAAUAAAUCAAAAGGUUAUGUAAAACUACUAAAAAUUAUGUGAUUCCUACAUAUAUAAGUUGUUGUAGGAUUUUCAAAUGGCGGCACAGACAACUUCGAAACAAGAAAUGAAGCAAGGCUUCUAUCACUUAUCGGUAAUGCUAUUUAAACAUGUUUUCAGUUUUGCAAAAAUAGAAAAUCUACCUUGAUGGAUAAAAACGGUUAAUAAAUGUACCAAAUUGUCCAAUUUCUAUAGGUAAGUUGCUAUCUGAGGUGCAUAUAGAUGCACAUACUACCCUCGAAGCAUGAAAUGGUGGAAAUGAUUUCGGAAUAUGUCGAUGAUGCUUCAUUAAUAGGUUUUCAGUUUUCAACGAAAUGAAAAUCUAUAGUGAUGGAUCAAAAGGGAACAAAAUUGGUGAUGGAAUUAAAUGAUUACUAGUUAUAAGUUGUUAUUUGAGAUCCAUAUACGGUCAAACAUACAACUUCCGAAACUUGAAAAGAAGAAAUGCCGGUGGAAUUUCUAAAUGAUGCUAUUUAAGUAAGUUUUAUUUUUAGCGAAUAAAAAAUCUAUGGUAACGGAUAAAAAGUUUAUGUAAAGGUGCUAAACAUGAAUAAUUUAUUUGGAUAAGCUGUUCCAUGACUUCCAUACGACAGUCGAGACUACUAUCGAAGAAUUGAAUGAUUGAAAGGCUGUUAUAAUGUGUCGAAUGUCCUAUUUAAAUCAGUUCUAUGAUUCGAAGGAGGAGAAAAAUGUAAAGUAAUAAAUCAAAAGGUUAUGUAAAACUACUAAAAAUUAUGUGAUUCCUACAUAUAUAAGUUGUUGUAGGAUUUUCAAAUGGCGGCACAGACAACUUCGAAACAAGAAAUGAAGCAAGGCUUCUAUCACUUAUCGGUAAUGCUAUUUAAACAUGUUUUCAGUUUUGCAAAAAUAGAAAAUCUACCUUGAUGGAUAAAAACGGUUAAUAAAUGUACCAAAUUGUCCAAUUUCUAUAGGUAAGUUGCUAUCUGAGGUGCAUAUAGAUGCACAGACUACCCUCGAAGCAUGAAAUGGUGGAAAUGAUUUCGGAAUAUGUCGAUGAUGCUUCAUUAAUAGGUUUUCAGUUUUCAACGAAAUGAAAAUCUAUAGUGAUGGAUCAAAAGGGAACAAAAUUGGUGAUGGAAUUAAAUGAUUACUAGUUAUAAGUUGUUAUUUGAGAUCCAUAUACGGUCAAACAUACANNNNNNNNNNNNNNNNNNNNNNNNNNNNNNNNNNNNNNNNNNNNNNNNNNNNNNNNNNNNNNNNNNNNNNNNNNNNNNNNNNNNNNNNNNNNNNNNNNNNNNNNNNNNNNNNNNNNNNNNNNNNNNNNNNNNNNNNNNNNNNNNNNNNNNNNNNNNNNNNNNNNNNNNNNNNNNNNNNNNNNNNNNNNNNNNNNNNNNNNNNNNNNNNNNNNNNNNNNNNNNNNNNNNNNNNNNNNNNNNNNNNNNNNNNNNNNNNNNNNNNNNNNNNNNNNNNNNNNNNNNNNNNNNNNNNNNNNNNNNNNNNNNNNNNNNNNNNNNNNNNNNNNNNNNNNNNNNNNNNNNNNNNNNNNNNNNNNNNNNNNNNNNNNNNNNNNNNNNNNNNNNNNNNNNNNNNNNNNNNNNNNNNNNNNNNNNNNNNNNNNNNNNNNNNNNNNNNNNNNNNNNNNNNNNNNNNNNNNNNNNNNNNNNNNNNNNNNNNNNNNNNNNNNNNNNNNNNNNNNNNNNNNNNNNNNNNNNNNNNNNNNNNNNNNNNNNNNNNNNNNNNNNNNNNNNNNNNNNNNNNNNNNNNNNNNNNNNNNNNNNNNNNNNNNNNNNNNNNNNNNNNNNNNNNNNNNNNNNNNNNNNNNNNNNNNNNNNNNNNNNNNNNNNNNNNNNNNNNNNNNNNNNNNNNNNNNNNNNNNNNNNNNNNNNNNNNNNNNNNNNNNNNNNNNNNNNNNNNNNNNNNNNNNNNNNNNNNNNNNNNNNNNNNNNNNNNNNNNNNNNNNNNNNNNNNNNNNNNNNNNNNNNNNNNNNNNNNNNNNNNNNNNNNNNNNNNNNNNNNNNNNNNNNNNNNNNNNNNNNNNNNNNNNNNNNNNNNNNNNNNNNNNNNNNNNNNNNNNNNNNNNNNNNNNNNNNNNNNNNNNNNNNNNNNNNNNNNNNNNNNNNNNNNNNNNNNNNNNNNNNNNNNNNNNNNNNNNNNNNNNNNNNNNNNNNNNNNNNNNNNNNNNNNNNNNNNNNNNNNNNNNNNNNNNNNNNNNNNNNNNNNNNNNNNNNNNNNNNNNNNNNNNNNNNNNNNNNNNNNNNNNNNNNNNNNNNNNNNNNNNNNNNNNNNNNNNNNNNNNNNNNNNNNNNNNNNNNNNNNNNNNNNNNNNNNNNNNNNNNNNNNNNNNNNNNNNNNNNNNNNNNNNNNNNNNNNNNNNNNNNNNNNNNNNNNNNNNNNNNNNNNNNNNNNNNNNNNNNNNNNNNNNNNNNNNNNNNNNNNNNNNNNNNNNNNNNNNNNNNNNNNNNNNNNNNNNNNNNNNNNNNNNNNNNNNNNNNNNNNNNNNNNNNNNNNNNNNNNNNNNNNNNNNNNNNNNNNNNNNNNNNNNNNNNNNNNNNNNNNNNNNNNNNNNNNNNNNNNNNNNNNNNNNNNNNNNNNNNNNNNNNNNNNNNNNNNNNNNNNNNNNNNNNNNNNNNNNNNNNNNNNNNNNNNNNNNNNNNNNNNNNNNNNNNNNNNNNNNNNNNNNNNNNNNNNNNNNNNNNNNNNNNNNNNNNNNNNNNNNNNNNNNNNNNNNNNNNNNNNNNNNNNNNNNNNNNNNNNNNNNNNNNNNNNNNNNNNNNNNNNNNNNNNNNNNNNNNNNNNNNNNNNNNNNNNNNNNNNNNNNNNNNNNNNNNNNNNNNNNNNNNNNNNNNNNNNNNNNNNNNNNNNNNNNNNNNNNNNNNNNNNNNNNNNNNNNNNNNNNNNNUUAAACAUGUUUUUACUUUCACAAAAAUAGAAAAUCUACCAUGAUGGAUAAAAACGGUUAAUAAAUGUACCAAAUUGUCUAAUUUCUAUAGGUAAGUUGCUAUCUGAGGUGCAUAUAGAUGCACAGACUACCCUCGAAGCAUGAAAUGGUGGAAAUGAUGUCGGAAUAUGUCGAUGAUGCUUCAUUAAUAGGUUUUCAGUUUUCAAUGAAAUGAAAAUCUAUAGUGAUGGAUAAAAAGGGAACAAAAUUGUUGAUGGAAUUAAAUGAUUACUAGUUAUAAGUUGUUAUUUGAGAUCCGUAUAUGGUCAAACAUACAACUUCCGAAACUUGAAAGGAAGAAAUGGCGGUGGAAUUUCUAAGUGAUGCUAUUUAAGUAAGUUUUCUUUUUAGCGUAUAAAAAAUCUACGGUAACGGAUCAAAAGUUUAUGUAAUGGUGCUAAACAUGAAUAAUUUAUUUGGAUAAGCUGUUCUAUGACUUUCAUACGACGGUCGAGACUACUAUCGAAGAAUUGAAUGAUUGAAAGGCUGUUAUAAUGUGUCGAAUGUCCUAUUUAAAUGAGUUCUAUGAUUCGAAGGAGGAGAAAAUGUAAAGUAAUAAAUCAAAAGGUUAUGUAAAACUACUAAAAAUUAUGUGACUCCUACAUAUAUAAGUUGUUGUAGGAUUUUCAAAUGGCGGCACAGACAACUUCGAAACAAGAAACGAAGCAAGGCUUCUAUCACUUAUCGGUAAUGCUAUUUAAACAUGUUUUUAGUUUCACAAAAAUAGAAAAUCUACCAUGAUGGAUAAAAACAGUUAAUAAAUGUACCAAAUUGUCCAAUUUCUAUAGGUAAGUUGCUAUCUGAGGUGCAUAUAGAUGCACAUACUACCCUCGAAGCAUGAAAUGGUGGACAUGAUUUCGGAAUAUGUCGAUAAUGCUUCAUUAAUAGGUUUUCAGUUUUCAACGAAAUGAAAAUCUAUAGUGAUGGAUCAAAAGGGAACAAAAUUGGUGAUGGAAUUAAAUGAUUACUAGUUAUAAGUUGUUAUUUGAGAUCCAUAUAUGGUCAAACAUACAACUUCUGAAGCUUGAAAGGAAGAAAUGCCGGUGGAAUUUCUAAAUGAUGCUAUUUAAGUAAGUUUUCUUUUUAGCGAAUAAAAAAUCUACGGUAACGGAUCAAAAGUUUAUGUAAUGGUGCUAAACAUGAAUAAUUUAUUUGGAUAAGCUGUUCUAUGACUUCCAUACGACGGUCGAGACUACUAUCGAAGAAUUGAAUGAUUGAAAGGCUGUUAUAAUGUGUCGAAUGUCCUAUUUAAAUGAGUUCUAUGAUUCGAAGGAGGAGAAAAUGUAAAGUAAGAAAUCAAAAGGUUAUGUAAAACUACUAAAAAUUAUGUGACUCCUACAUAUAUAAGUUGUUGUAGUAUUUUCAAAUGGCGGCACAGACAACUUCGAAACAAGAAACGAAGCAAGGCUUCUAUCACUUAUCGGUAAUGCUAUUUAAACAUGUUUUUACUUUCACAAAAAUAGAAAAUCUACCAAGAUGGAUAAAAACUGUUAAUAAAUGUACCAAAUUGUCUAAUUUCUAUAGGUAAGUUGCUAUCUGAGGUGCAUAUAGAUGCACAGACUACCCUCGAAGCUUGAAAUGGUGGAAAUGAUGUCGGAAUAUGUCGAUGAUGCUUCAUUAAUAGGUUUUCAGUUUUCAAUGAAAUGAAAAUCUAUAGUGAUUGAUAAAAAGGGAACAAAAUUGUUGAUGGAAUUAAAUGAUUACUAGUUAUAAGUUUUUAUUUGAGAUCCGUAUAUGGUCAAACAUACAACUUCCGAAACUUGAAAGGAAGAAAUGGCGGUGGAAUUUCUAAGUGAUGCUAUUUAAGUAAGUUUUCUUUUUAGUGUAUAAAAAAUAUACGGUAACGGAUCAAAAGUUUAUGUAAUGGUGCUAAACAUGAAUAAUUUAUUUGGAUAAGCUGUUCUAUGACUUUCAUACGACGGUCGAGACUACUAUCGAAGAAUUGAAUGAUUGAAAGGCUGUUAUAAUGUGUCGAAUGUCCUAUUUAAAUGAGUUAUAUGAUUCGAAGGAGGAGAAAAUGUAAAGCAAUAAAUCAAAAGGUUAUGUAAAACUACUAAAAAUUAUGUGACUCCAACAUAUAUAAGUUGUUGUAGGAUUUUCAAAUGGCGGCAUAGACAACUUCGAAACAAGAAACGAAGCAAGGCUUCUAUCACUUAUCGGUAAUGCUAUUUAAAAAUGUUUUUAGGUUCACAAAAAUAGAAAAUCUACCAUGAUGGAUAAAAACGGUUAAUAAAUGUACCAAAUUGUCCAAUUUCUAUAGGUAAGUUGCUAUCUGAGGUGCAUAUAGAUGCACAUACUACCCUCGAAGCAUGAAAUGGUGGAAAUGAUUUCGGAAUAUGUCGAUGAUGCUUCAUUAAUAGGUUUUCUGUUUUCAACGAAAUGAAAAUCUAUAGUGAUGGAUCAAAAGGGAACAAAAUUGGUGAUGGAAUUAAAUGAUUACUAGUUAUAAGUUGUUAUUUGAGAUCCAUAUAUGGUCAAACAUACAACUUCUGAAGCUUGAAUGGAAGAAAUGCCGGUGGAAUUUCUAAAUUAUGCUAUUUAAGUAAGUUUUCUUUUUAGCGAAUAAAAAAUCUACGGUAACGGAUCAAAAGUUUAUGUAAAGGUGCUAAACAUGAAUAAGUUAUUUGGAUUAGCUGUUCUAUGACUUCCAUACGACGGUCGAGACUACUAUCGAAGAAUUGAAUGAUUGAAAGGCUGUUAUAAUGUGUCGAAUGUCCUAUUUAAAUGAGUUCUAUGAUUCGAAGGAGGAGAAAAUGUAAAGUAAGAAAUCAAAAGGUUAUGUAAAACUACUAAAAAUUAUGUGACUCCUACAUAUACAAGUUGUUGUAGGAUUUUCAAAUGGCGGCACAGACAACUUCGAAACAAGAAACGAAGCAAGGCUUCUAUCACUUAUUGGUAAUGCUAUUUAAACAUGUUUUUAGUUUCACAAAAAUAGAAAAUCUACCAUGAUGGAUAAAGAACGGUUAAUAAAUGUACAAAAUUGUCCAAUUUCUAUAGGUAAGUUGCUAUCUGAGGUGCAUAUAGAUGCACAGACUACCCUCGAAGCAUGAAAUGGUGGAAAUGAUUUCGGAAUAUGUCGAUGAUGCUUCAUUAAUAGGUUUUCAGUUUUGAAUGAAAUGAAAAUCUAUAGUGAUGGAUCAAAAGGGAACAAAAUUGGUGAUGGAAUUAAAUGAUUACUAGUUAUAAGUUGUUAUUUGAGAUCCGUAUAUGGUCAAACAUACAACUUCCGAAGCCUGAAAGGAAGAAAUGCCGGUGGAAUUUCUAAAUGAUGCUAUUUAAGUAAGUUUUCUUUUUAGCGUAUAAAAAAUCUACGGUAACGGAUCAAAAGUUUAUGUAAAGGUGCUAAACAUGAAUAAUUUAUUUGGAUAAGCUGUUCCAUGACUUCCAUACGACCGUCGAGACUACUAUCGAAGAAUUGAAUGAUUGAAAGGCUGUUAUAAUGUGUCUAAUGUCCUAUUUAAAUCAGUUCUAUGAUUCGAAGGAGGAGAAAAAUGUAAAGUAAUAAAUCAAAAGGUUAUGUAAAACUACUAAAAAUUAUGUGAUUCCUACAUAUAUAAGUUGUCGUAGGAUUUUAAAAUGGCGGCACAGACAACUUCGAAACAAGAAACGAAGCAAGGCUUCUAUCACUUAUCGGUAAUGCUAUUUAAACAUGUUUUCAGUUUCACAAAAAUAGAAAAUCUACCUUGAUGGAUAAAAACGGUUAAUAAAUGUACCAAAUUGUCCAAUUUCUAUAGGUAAGUUGCUAUCUCAGGUGCAUAUAGAUGCACAUACUACCCUCGAAGCAUGAAAUGGUGGACAUGAUUUCGGAAUAUGUCGAUGAUGCUUCAUUAAUAGGUUUUCAGUUUUCAACGAAAUGAAAAUCUAUAGUGAUGGAUCAAAAGGGAACAAAAUUGGUGAUGGAAUUAAAUGAUUACUAGUUAUAAGUUGUUAUUUGAGAUCCAUAUACGGUCAAACAUACAACUUCCGAAACUUGAAAAGAAGAAAUGCCGGUGGAAUUUCUAAAUGAUGCUAUUUAAGUAAGUUUUCUUUUUAGCGAAUAAAAAAUCUAUGGUAACGGAUCAAAAGUUUAUGUAAAGGUGCUAAACAUGAAUAAUUUAUUUGGAUAAGCUGUUCCAUGACUUCCAUACGACAGUCGAGACUACUAUCGAAGAAUUGAAUGAUUGAAAGGCUGUUAUAAUGUGUCGAAUGUCCUAUUUAAAUGAGUUCUAUGAUUCGAAGGAGGAGAAAAAUUUAAAGUAAUAAAUCAAAAGGUUAUGUAAAACUACUAAAAAUUAUGUGAUUCCUACAUAUAUAAGUUGUUGUAGGAUUUUCAAAUGGCGGCACAGACAACUUCGAAACAAGAAACGAAGCAAGGCUUCUAUCACUUAUCGGUAAUGCUAUUUAAACAUGUUUUCAGUUUUGCAAAAAUAGAAAAUCUACCUUGAUGGAUAAAAAGGUUAAUAAAUGUACCAAAUUGUCCAAUUUCUAUAGGUAAGUUGCUAUCUGAGGUGCAUAUAGAUGCACAGACUACCCUCGAAGCCUGAAAUGGUGGAAAUGAUUUCGGAAUAUGUCGAUGAUGCUUCAUUAAUAGGUUUUCAGUUUUCAACGAAAUGAAAAUCUAUAGUGAUGGAUCAAAAGGGAACAAAAUUGGUGAUGGAAUUAAAUGAUUACUAGUUAUAAGUUGUUAUUUGAGAUCCAUAUACGGUCAAACAUACAGCUUCCGAAGCUUGAAAAGAAGAAAUGCCGGUGGAAUUUCUAAGUGAUGCUAUUUAAGUAAGUUUUCUUUUUAGUGUAUAAAAAAUAUACGGUAACGGAUCAAAAGUUUAUGUAAUGGUGCUAAACAUGAAUAAUUUAUUUGGAUAAGCUGUUCUAUGACUUUCAUACGACGGUCGAGACUACUAUCGAAGAAUUGAAUGAUUGAAAGGCUGUUAUAAUGUGUCGAAUGUCCUAUUUAAAUGAGUUCUAUGAUUCGAAGGAGGAGAAAAUGUAAAGCAAUAAAUCAAAAGGUUAUGUAAAACUACUAAAAAUUAUGUGACUCCUACAUAUAUAAGUUGUUGUAGGAUUUUCAAAUGGCGGCACAGACAACUUCGAAACAAGAAACGAAGCAAGGCUUCUAUCACUUAUCGGUAAUGCUAUUUAAACAUGUUUUUACUUUCACAAAAAUUGAAAAUCUACCAUGAUGGAUAAAAACAGUUAAUAAAUGUACCAAAUUGUCUAAUUUCUAUAGGUAAGUUGCUAUCUGAGGUGCAUAUAGAUGCACAGACUACCCUCGAAGCAUGAAAUGGUGGAAAUGAUGUCGGAAUAUGUCGAUGAUGCUUCAUUAAUAGGUUUUCAGUUUUCAAUGAAAUGAAAAUCUAUAGUGAUGGAUCAAAAGGGAACAAAAUUGUUGAUGGAAUUAAAUGAUUACUAGUUAUAAGUUGUUAUUUGAGAUCCGUAUAUGGUCAAACAUACAACUUCCGAAUCUUGAAUGGAAGAAAUGGCGGUGGAAUUUCUAAGUGAUGCUAUUUAAGUAAGUUUUCUUUUUAGCGAAUAAAAAAUCUACGGUAACGGAUCAAAAGUUUAUGUAAAGGUGCUAAACAUGAAUAAGUUAUUUGGAUUAGCUGUUCUAUGACUUCCAUACGACGGUCGAGACUACUAUCGAAGAAUUGAAUGAUUGAAAGGCUGUUAUAAUGUGUCGAAUGUCCUAUUUAAAUGAGUUCUAUGAUUCGAAGGAGGAGAAAAUGUAAAGUAAGAAAUCAAAAGGUUAUGUAAAACUACUAAAAAUUAUGUGACUCCUACAUAUACAAGUUGUUGUAGGAUUUUCAAAUGGCGGCACAGACAACUUCGAAACAAGAAACGAAGCAAGGCUUCUAUCACUUAUUGGUAAUGCUAUUUAAACAUGUUUUUAGUUUCACAAAAAUAGAAAAUCUACCAUGAUGGAUAAAAAACGGUUAAUAAAUGUACAAAAUUGUCCAAUUUCUAUAGGUAAGUUGCUAUCUGAGGUGCAUAUAGAUGCACAGACUACCCUCGAAGCAUGAAAUGGUGGAAAUGAUUUCGGAAUAUGUCGAUGAUGCUUCAUUAAUAGGUUUUCAGUUUUGAAUGAAAUGAAAAUCUAUAGUGAUGGAUCAAAAGGGAACAAAAUUGGUGAUGGAAUUAAAUGAUUACUAGUUAUAAGUUGUUAUUUGAGAUCCGUAUAUGGUCAAACAUACAACUUCCGAAGCCUGAAAGGAAGAAAUGCCGGUGGAAUUUCUAAAUGAUGCUAUUUAAGUAAGUUUUCUUUUUAGCGUAUAAAAAAUCUACGGUAACGGAUCAAAAGUUUAUGUAAAGGUGCUAAACAUGAAUAAUUUAUUUGGAUAAGCUGUUCCAUGACUUCCAUACGACCGUCGAGACUACUAUCGAAGAAUUGAAUGAUUGAAAGGCUGUUAUAAUGUGUCUAAUGUCCUAUUUAAAUCAGUUCUAUGAUUCGAAGGAGGAGAAAAAUGUAAAGUAAUAAAUCAAAAGGUUAUGUAAAACUACUAAAAAUUAUGUGAUUCCUACAUAUAUAAGUUGUCGUAGGAUUUUAAAAUGGCGGCACAGACAACUUCGAAACAAGAAAUGAAGCAAGGCUUCUAUCACUUAUCGGUAAUGCUAUUUAAACAUGUUUUCAGUUUUGCAAAAAUAGAAAAUCUACCUUGAUGGAUAAAAACGGUUAAUAAAUGUACCAAAUUGUCCAAUUUCUAUAGGUAAGUUGCUAUCUGAGGUGCAUAUAGAUGCACAGACUACCCUCGAAGCAUGAAAUGGUGGAAAUGAUUUCGGAAUAUGUCGAUGAUGCUUCAUUAAUAGGUUUUCAGUUUUCAACGAAAUGAAAAUCUAUAGUGAUGGAUCAAAAGGGAACAAAAUUGGUGAUGGAAUUAAAUGAUUACUAGUUAUAAGUUGUUAUUUGAGAUCCAUAUACGGUCAAACAUACAACUUCCGAAACUUGAAAAGAAGAAAUGCCGGUGGAAUUUCUAAAUGAUGCUAUUUAAGUAAGUUUUCUUUUUAGCGAAUAAAAAAUCUAUGGUAACGGAUCAAAAGUUUAUGUAAAGGUGCUAAACAUGAAUAAUUUAUUUGGAUAAGCUGUUCCAUGACUUCCAUACGACAGUCGAGACUACUAUCGAAGAAUUGAAUGAUUGAAAGGCUGUUAUAAUGUGUCGAAUGUCCUAUUUAAAUCAGUUCUAUGAUUCGAAGGAGGAGAAAAAUUUAAAGUAAUAAAUCAAAAGGUUAUGUAAAACUACUAAAAAUUAUGUGAUUCCUACAUAUAUAAGUUGUUGUAGGAUUUUCAAAUGGCGGCACAGACAACUUCGAAACAAGAAAUGAAGCAAGGCUUCUAUCACUUAUCGGUAAUGCUAUUUAAACAUGUUUUCAGUUUUGCAAAAAUAGAAAAUCUACCUUGAUGGAUAAAAAGGUUAAUAAAUGUACCAAAUUGUCCAAUUUCUAUAGGUAAGUUGCUAUCUGAGGUGCAUAUAGAUGCACAGACUACCCUCGAAGCCUGAAAUGGUGGAAAUGAUUUCGGAAUAUGUCGAUGAUGCUUCAUUAAUAGGUUUUCAGUUUUCAACGAAAUGAAAAUCUAUAGUGAUGGAUCAAAAGGGAACAAAAUUGGUGAUGGAAUUAAAUGAUUACUAGUUAUAAGUUGUUAUUUGAGAUCCAUAUACGGUCAAACAUACAGCUUCCGAAGCUUGAAAAGAAGAAAUGCCGGUGGAAUUUCUAAAUGAUGCUAUUUAAGUAAGUUUUCUUUUUAGCGAAUAAAAAAUAUAUGGUAACGGAUCAAAAGUUUAUGUAAAGGUGCUAAACAUGAAUAAUUUAUUUGGAUAAGCUGUUCUAUGACUUCCAUACGACGGUCGAGACUACUAUCGAAGAAUUGAAUGAUUGAAAGGCUGUUAUAAUGUGUCGAAUGUCCUAUUUAAAUGAGUUCUAUGAUUCGAAGGAGGAGAAAAUGUAAAGUAAGAAAUCAAAAGGUUAUGUAAAACUACUAAAAAUUAUGUGACUCCUACAUAUAUAAGUUGUUGUAGGAUUUUCAAAUGGCGGCACAGACAACUUCGAAACAAGAAACGAAGCAAGGCUUCUAUCACUUAUCGGUAAUGCUAUUUAAACAUGUUUUUACUUUCACAAAAAUUGAAAAUCUACCAUGAUGGAUAAAAACAGUUAAUAAAUGUACCAAAUUGUCUAAUUUCUAUAGGUAAGUUGCUAUCUGAGGUGCAUAUAGAUGCACAGACUACCCUCGAAGCAUGAAAUGGUGGAAAUGAUGUCGGAAUAUGUCGAUGAUGCUUCAUUAAUAGGUUUUCAGUUUUCAAUGAAAUGAAAAUCUAUAGUGAUGGAUCAAAAGGGAACAAAAUUGUUGAUGGAAUUAAAUGAUUACUAGUUAUAAGUUGUUAUUUGAGAUCCGUAUAUGGUCAAACAUACAACUUCCGAAUCUUGAAAGGAAGAAAUGGCGGUGGAAUUUCUAAGUGAUGCUAUUUAAGUGAGUUUUCUUUUUAGCGUAUAAAAAAUCUACGGUAACGGAUCAAAAGUUUAUGUAAUGGUGCUAAACAUGAAUAAUUUAUUUGGAUAAGCUGUUCUAUGACUUUCAUACGACGGUCGAGACUACUAUCGAAGAAUUGAAUGAUUGAAAGGCUGUUCUAAUGUGUCGAAUUUCCUAUUUAAAUGAGUUCUAUGAUUCGAAGGAGGAGAAAAUGUAAAGUAAUAAAUCAAAAGGUUAUGUGAAACUACUAAAAAUUAUGUGACUCCUACAUAUAUAAGUUGUUGUAGGAUUUUCAAAUGGCGGCACAGACAACUUCGAAACAAGAAACGAAGCAAGGCUUUUAUCACUUAUCGGUAAUGCUAUUUAAACAUGUUUUUAGUUUCACAAAAAUAGAAAAUCUACCAUGAUGUAUAAAAACGGUUAAUAAAUGUACCAAAUUGUCCAAUUUCUAUAGGUAAGUUGCUAUCUGAGGUGCAUAUAGAUGCACAGACUACCCUCGAAGCAUGAAAUGGUGGAAAUGAUUUCGGAAUAUGUCGAUGAUGCUUCAUUAAUAGGUUUUCUGUUUUCAACGAAAUGAAAAUCUAUAGUGAUGGAUCAAAAGGGAACAAAAUUGGUGAUGGAAUUAAAUGAUUACUAGUUAUAAGUUGUUAUUUGAGAUCCAUAUACGGUCAAACAUACAAGUUCCGAAGCUUGAAAGGAAGAAAUGCCGGUGGAAUUUCUAAAUGAUGCUAUUUAAGUAAGUUUUCUUUUUUGCGAAUAAAAAAUCUACGGUAACGGAUCAAAAGUUUAUGUAAUGGUGCUAAACAUGAAUAAUUUAUUUGGAUAAGCUGUUCUAUGACUUCCAUACGACGGUCGAGACUACUAUCGAAGAAUUGAAUGAUUGAAAGGCUGUUAUAAUGUGUCGAAUGUCCUAUUUAAAUGAGUUCUAUGAUUCGAAGGAGGAGAAAAUGCAAAGUAAGAAAUCAAAAGGUUAUGUAAAACUACUAAAAAUUAUGUGACUCCUACAUAUAUAAGUUGUUGUAGGAUUUUCAAAUGGCGGCACAGACAACUUCGAAACAAGAAACGAAGCAAGGCUUCUAUCACUUAUCGGUAAUGCUAUUUAAACAUGUUUUUACUUUCACAAAAAUAGAAAAUCUACCAUGAUGGAUAAAAACGGUUAAUAAAUGUACCAAAUUGUCUAAUUUCUAUAGGUAAGUUGCUAUCUGAGGUGCAUAUAGAUGCACAGACUACCCUCGAAGCAUGAAAUGGUGGAAAUGGUUUCGGAAUAUGUCGAUGAUGCUUCAUUAAUAAGUUUUCAGUUUUCAACGAAUGAAAAUCUAUAAUGAUGGAUCAAAAGGGAACAAAAUUGGUGAUGGAAUUAAAUGAUUACUAGUUAUAAGUUGUUAUUUGAGAUCUAUAUAUGGUCAAACAAUCAACUUCCAAAGCUUGAAGGAAGAAAUGCCGGUGGAAUUUCUAAAUGAUGCUAUUUAAGUAAGUUUUCUUUUUAGCGAAUAAAAAAUCUAUGGUAACGGAUCAAAAGUUUAUGUAAAGGUGCUAAACAUGAAUAAUUUAUUUGGAUAAGCUGUUCUAUGACUUCCAUACGAAGGUCGAGACUACUAUCGAAUAAUUGAAUGAUUGAAAGGCUGUUAUAAUGUGUCGAAUGUCCUAUUUAAAUGAGUUCUAUGAUUCGAAGGAGGGGAAAAUGUAAAGUAAUAAAUCAACAGGUUAGGUAAAACUACUAAAAAUUAUGUGACUCCUACAUAUAUAAGUUGUUGUAGGAUUUUCAAAUGGCGGAACAGACAACUUCGAAACAAGAAACGAAGCAAGGCUUCUAUCACUUAUCGGUAAUGCUAUUUAAACAUGUUUUCAGUUUUGGAAAAAUAGAAAAUCUACCUUGAUGGACAAAAACGGUUAAUAAAUGUACCAAAUUGUCCAAUUUCUAUAGGUAAGUUGCUAUCUGAGGUGCAUAUAGAUGCACAGACUACCCUCGAAGCAUGAAAUGGUGGAAAUGAUUUCGGAAUAUGUCGAUGAUGCUUCAUUAAUAAGCUUUCAGUUUUCAACGAAAUGAAAAUCUAUAGUGAUGGAUCAAAAGGGAAAGAAUUGGUGAUGGAAUUAAAUGAUUACUAGUUAUAAGUUGUUAUUUGAGAUCCAUAUAUGGUCAAACAUACAACUUCCGAAGCUUGAAAGGAAGAAAUGCCGGUGGAAUUUCUAAAUGAUGCUAUUUAAGUAAGUUUUCUUUUUAGCGAAUAAAAAAUCUAUGGUAACGGAUCAAAGUUUAUGUAAAGGUGCUAAACAUGAAUAAUUUAUUUGGAUAAGCUGUUCUAUGACUUCCAUACGACGGUCGAGACUACUAUCGAAGAAUUGAAUGAUUGAAAGGCUGUUAUAAUGUGUCGAAUGUCCUAUUUAAAUGAGUUAUAUGAUUCGAAGGAGGAAAAAAUGUAAAGUAAUAAAUCAAAAGGUUAGGUAAAACUACUAAAAAUUAUGUGACUCCUACAUAUAUAAGUUGUUGUUGGAUUUUCAAAUGGCGGCACACACAACUUCGAAACAAGAAACGAAGCAAGGCUUCUAUCACAAAUCGAUAAUGCUAUUUAAACAUGUUUUUAGUUUCACAAAAAUAGAAAAUCUACCAUGAUGGAUAAAAGCGGUUAAUAAAUGUACCAAAUUGUCUAAUUUCUAUAGGUAAGUUGCUUUCUGAGGUGCAUAUAGAUGCACAGACUACCCUCGAAGCAUGAAAUGGUGGAAAUGAUGUCGGAAUAUGUCGAUGAUUCUUCAUUAAUAGGUUUUCAGUAUUCAACGAAAUGAAAAUCUAUAGUGAUGGAUCAAAAGGGAACAAAAUUGGUGAUGGAAUUAAAUGAUUACUAGUUAUAAGUUGUUAUUUGAGAUCCAUAUAUGGUCAAACAUACAACUUCCGAAGCUUGAAAGGAAGAAAUGCCGGUGGAAUUUCUAAAUGAUUCUAUUUAAGUAAGUUUUCUUUUUAGCGAAUAAAAAAUCUACGGUAACGGAUCAAAAGUUUAUGUAAUGGUGCUAAACAUGAAUAAUUUAUUUGGAUAAGCUGUUCUAUGACUUCCAUACGACGGUCGAGACUACUAUCGAACAAUUGAAUGAUUGAUAGGCUGUUAUAAUGUGUCGAAUGUCCUAUUUAAAUGAGUUCUAUGAUUCGAAGGAGGAGAAAAUGUAAAGUAAUAAAUCAAAAGGUUAUGUAAAACUACUAAAAAUUAUGUGACUCCUACAUAUAUAAGUUGUUGUAGGAUUUUCAAAUGGCGGCACAGACAACUUCGAAACAAGAAACGAAGCAAGGCUUCUAUCACUUAUCGGUAAUGCUAUUUAAACAUGUUUUUAGUUUCACAAAAAUAGAAAAUCUACCAUGAUGUAUAAAAACGGUUAAUAAAUGUACCAAAUUGUCCAAUUUCUAGAGGUAAGUUGCUAUCUGAGGUGCAUAUAGAUGCACAGACUACCCUCGAAGCAUGAAAUGGUGGAAAUGAUUUCGGAAUAUGUCGAUGAUGCUUCAUUAAUAGGUUUUCAGUUUUCAACGAAAUGAAAAUCUAUAUUGAUGGAUCAAAAGGGAACAAAAUUGGUGAUGGAAUUAAAUGAUUACUAGUUAUAAGUUGUUAUUUGAGAUCCAUAUACGGUCAAAGAUACAACUUCCGAAGCUUGAAAGGAAGAAAUGCCAAUGGAAUUUCUAAAUGAUGCUAUUUAAGUAAGUUUUCUUUUUUGCGAAUAAAAAAUCUACGGUAACGGAUCAAAAGUUUAUGUAAUGGUGCUAAACAUGAAUAAUUUAUUUGGAUAAGCUGUUCUAUGACUUCCAUACGACGGUCGAGACUACUAUCGAAGAAUUGAAUGAUUGAAAGGCUGUUAUAAUGUGUCGAAUGUCCUAUUUAAAUGAGUCCUAUGAUUCGAAGGAGGAGAAAAUGUAAAGUAAGAAAUCAAAAGGUUAUGUAAAACUACUAAAAAUUAUGUGACUCCUACAUAUAUAAGUUGUUGUAGUAUUUUCAAAUGGCGGCACAGACAACUUCGAAACAAGAAACGAAGCAAGGCUUCUAUCACUUAUCGGUAAUGCUAUUUAAACAUGUUUUUAGUUUCACAAAAAUAGAAAAUCUACCAUGAUGGAUAAAAACGGUUAAUAAAUGUACCAAAUUGUCCAAUUUCUAUAGGUAAGUUGCUAUCUGAGGUGCAUAUAGAUGCACAUACUACCCUCGAAGCAUGAAAUGGUGGAAAUGAUUUCGGAAUAUGUCGAUGAUGCUUCAUUAAUAGGUUUUCUGUUUUCAACGAAAUGAAAAUCUAUAGUGAUGGAUCAAAAGGGAACAAAAUUGGUGAUGGAAUUAAAUGAUUACUAGUUAUAAGUUGUUAUUUGAGAUCCAUAUAUGGUCAAACAUACAACUUCUGAAGCUUGAAAGGAAGAAAUGCCGGUGGAAUUUCUAAAUGAUGCUAUUUAAGUAAGUUUUCUUUUUAGCGAAUAAAAAAUCUACGGUAACGGAUCAAAAGUUUAUGUAAAGGUGCUAAACAUGAAUAAUUUAUUUGGAUAAGCUUUUCUAUGACUUCCAUACGACGGUCGAGACUACUAUCGAAGAAUUGAAUGAUUGAAAGGCUGUUAUAAUGUGUCGAAUGUCCUAUUUAAAUGAGUUCUAUGAUUCGAAGGAGGAGAAAAUGUAAAGUAAGAAAUCAAAAGGUUAUGUAAAACUACUAAAAAUUAUGUGACUCCUACAUAUACAAGUUGUUGUAGGAUUUUCAAAUGGCGGCACAGACAACUUCGAAACAAGAAACGAAGCAAGGCUUCUAUCACUUAUUGGUAAUGCUAUUUAAACAUGUUUUUAGUUUCACAAAAAUAGAAAAUCUACCAUGAUGGAUAAAAAACUUUUAAUAAAUGUACAAAAUUGUCCAAUUUCUAUAGGUAAGUUGCUAUCUGAGGUGCAUAUAGAUGCACAGACUACCCUCGAAGCAUGAAAUGGUGGAAAUGAUUUCGGAAUAUGUCGAUGAUGCUUCAUUAAUAGGUUUUCAGUUUUCAACGAAAUGAAAAUCUAUAGUGAUGGAUCAAAAGGGAACAAAAUUGGUGAUGGAAUUAAAUGAUUACUAGUUAUAAGUUGUUAUUUGAGAUCCAUAUACGGUCAAACAUACAGCUUCCGAAGCUUGAAAAGAAGAAAUGCCGGUGGAAUUUCUAAAUGAUGCUAUUUAAGUAAGUUUUCUUUUUAGCAAAUAAAAAAUAUAUGGUAACGGAUCAAAAGUUUAUGUAAAGGUGCUAAACAUGAAUAAUUUAUUUGGAUAAGCUGUUCUAUGACUUCCAUACGACGGUCGAGACUACUAUCGAAGAAUUGAAUGAUUCAAAGGCUGUUAUAAUGUGUCGAAUGUCCUAUUUAAAUGAGUUCUAUGAUUUGAAGGAGGAGAAAAUGUAAAGUAAGAAAUCAAAAGGUUAUGUAAAACUACUAAAAAUUAUGUGACUCCUACAGAUAUAAGUUGUUGUAGGAUUUUCAAAUGGCGGCACAGACAACUUCGAAACAAGAAACGAAGCAAGGCUUCUAUCACUUAUCGGUAAUGCUAUUUAAACAUGUUUUGAGUUUCACAAAAAUAGAAAAUCUACCAUGAUGGAUAAAAACGGUUAAUAAAUGUACCAAAUUGUCCAAUUUCUAUAGGUAAGUUGCUAUCUCAGGUGCAUAUAGAUGCACAUACUACCCUCGAAGCAUGAAAUGGUGGAAAUGAUUUCGGAAUAUGUCGAUGAUGCUUCAUUAAUAGGUUUCUGUUUUCAACGAAAUGAAAAUCUAUAGUGAUGGAUCAAAAGGGAACAAAAUUGGUGAUGGAAUUAAAUGAUUACUAGUUAUAAGUUGUUAUUUGAGAUCCAUAUAGGGUCAAACAUACAACUUCUGAAGCUUGAAAGGAAGAAAUGCCAGUAGAAUUUCUAAAUGAUGCUAUUUAAGUAAGUUUUCUUUUUAGCGAAUAAAAAAUCUACGGUAACGGAUCAAAAGUUUAUGUAAUGGUGCUAAACAUGAAUAAUUUAUUUGGAUAAGCUGUUCUAUGACUUCCAUACGACGGUCGACACUACUAUCGAACAACUGAAUGAUUGAAAGGCUGUUAUAAUGUGUCGAAUGUCCUAUUUAAAUGAGUUCUAUGAUUCGAAGGAGGAGAAAAUGUAAAGUAAUAAAUCAAAAGGUUAUGUAAAACUACUAAAAAUUAUGUGACUCCUACAUAUAUAAGUUGUUGUAGGAUUUUCAAAUGGCGGCACAGACAACUUCGAAACAAGAAACGAAGCAAGGCUUCUAUCACUUAUCGGUAAUGCUAUUUAAACAUGUUUUUAGUUUCACAAAAAUAGAAAAUCUACCAUGAUGUAUAAAAACGGUUAAUAAAUGUACCAAAUUGUCCAAUUUCUAUAGGUAAGUUGCUAUCUGAGGUGCAUAUAGAUGCACAGACUACCCUCGAAGCAUGAAAUGGUGGAAAUGAUUUCGGAAUAUGUCGAUGAUGCUUCAUUAAUAGGUUUUCAGUUUUCAACGAAAUGAAAAUCUAUAGUGAUGGAUCAAAAGGGAACAAAAUUGGUGAUGGAAUUAAAUGAUUACUAGUUAUAAGUUGUUAUUUGAGAUCCAUAUACGGUCAAAGAUACAACUUCCGAAGCUUGAAAGGAAGAAAUGCCGGUGGAAUUUCUAAAUGAUGCUAUUUAAGUAAGUUUUCUUUUUUGCGAAUAAAAAAUCUACGGUAACGGAUCAAAAGUUUAUGUAAUGGUGCUAAACAUGAAUAAUUUAUUUGGAUAAGCUGUUCUAUGACUUCCAUACGACGGUCGAGACUACUAUCGAAGAAUUGAAUGAUUGAAAGGCUGUUAUAAUGUGUCGAAUGUCCUAUUUAAAUGAGUUCUAUGAUUCGAAGGAGGAGAAAAUGUAAAGUAAGAAAUCAAAAGGUUAUGUAAAACUACUAAAAAUUAUGUGACUCCUACAUAUAUAAGUUGUUGUAGUAUUUUCAAAUGGCGGCACAGACAACUUCGAAACAAGAAACGAAGCAAGGCUUCUAUCACUUAUCGGUAAUGCUAUUUAAACAUGUUUUUACUUUCAACAAAAUAAAAAAUCUACCAUGAUGGAUAAAAACGGUUAAUAAAUGUACCAAAUUGUCUAAUUUCUAUCGGUAAUUUGCUAUUUGAGGUGCAUAUAGAUGCACAGACUACCCUCGAAGCAUGAAAUGGUGGAAAUGAUGUCGGAAUAUGUCGAUGAUGCUUCAUUAAUAGGUUUUCAGUUUUCAAUGAAAUGAAAAUCUAUAGUGAUGGAUCAAAAGGGAACAAAAUUGUUGAUGGAAUUAAAUGAUUACUAGUUAUAAGUUGUUAUUUGAGAUCCGUAUAUGGUCAAACAUACAACUUCCGAAGCUUGAAAGGAAGAAAUGGCGGUGGAAUUUCUAAGUGAUGCUAUUUAAGUAAGUUUUCUUUUUAGCGUAUAAAAAAUCUACGGUAACGGAUCAAAAGUUUAUGUAAUGGUGCUAAACAUGAAUAAUUUAUUUGGAUAAGCUGUUCCAUGACUUUCAUACGACGGUCGAGACUACUAUCGAAGAAUUGAAUGAUUGAAAGGCUGUUAUAAUGUGUCGAAUGUCCUAUUUAAAUGAGUUCUAUGAUUCGAAGGAGGAGAAAAUGUAAAGUAAUAAAUCAAAAGGUUAUGUAAAACUACUAAAAAUUAUGUGACUCCAACAUAUAUAAGUUGUUGUAGGAUUUUCAAAUGGCGGCACAGACAACUUCGAAACAAGAAACGAAGCAAGGCUUCUAUCACUUAUCGGUAAUGCUAUUUAAACAUGUUUUGAGUUUCACAAAAAUAGAAAAUCUACCAUGAUGGAUAAAAACGGUUAAUAAAUGUACCAAAUUGUCCAAUUUCUAUAGGUAAGUUGCUAUCUCAGGUGCAUAUAGAUGCACAUACUACCCUCGAAGCAUGAAAUGGUGGAAAUGAUUUCGGAAUAUGUCGAUGAUGCUUCAUUAAUAGGUUUUCUGUUUUCAACGAAAUGAAAAUCUAUAGUGAUGGAUCAAAAGGGAACAAAAUUGGUGAUGGAAUUAAAUGAUUACUAGUUAUAAGUUGUUAUUUGAGAUCCAUAUAGGGUCAAACAUACAACUUCUGAAGCUUGAAAGGAAGAAAUGCCAGUAGAAUUUCUAAAUGAUGCUAUUUAAGUAAGUUUUCUUUUUAGCGAAUAAAAAAUCUACGGUAACGGAUCAAAAGUUUAUGUAAUGGUGCUAAACAUGAAUAAUUUAUUUGGAUAAGCUGUUCUAUGACUUCCAUACGACGGUCGACACUACUAUCGAACAACUGAAUGAUUGAAAGGCUGUUAUAAUGUGUCGAAUGUCCUAUUUAAAUGAGUUCUAUGAUUCGAAGGAGGAGAAAAUGUAAAGUAAUAAAUCAAAAGGUUAUGUAAAACUACUAAAAAUUAUGUGACUCCUACAUAUAUAAGUUGUUGUAGGAUUUUCAAAUGGCGGCACAGACAACUUCGAAACAAGAAACGAAGCAAGGCUUCUAUCACUUAUCGGUAAUGCUAUUUAAACAUGUUUUUAGUUUCACAAAAAUAGAAAAUCUACCAUGAUGUAUAAAAACGGUUAAUAAAUGUACCAAAUUGUCCAAUUUCUAUAGGUAAGUUGCUAUCUGAGGUGCAUAUAGAUGCACAGACUACCCUCGAAGCAUGAAAUGGUGGAAAUGAUUUCGGAAUAUGUCGAUGAUGCUUCAUUAAUAGGUUUUCAGUUUUCAACGAAAUGAAAAUCUAUAGUGAUGGAUCAAAAGGGAACAAAAUUGGUGAUGGAAUUAAAUGAUUACUAGUUAUAAGUUGUUAUUUGAGAUCCAUAUACGGUCAAAGAUACAACUUCCGAAGCUUGAAAGGAAGAAAUGCCGGUGGAAUUUCUAAAUGAUGCUAUUUAAGUAAGUUUUCUUUUUUGCGAAUAAAAAAUCUACGGUAACGGAUCAAAAGUUUAUGUAAUGGUGCUAAACAUGAAUAAUUUAUUUGGAUAAGCUGUUCUAUGACUUCCAUACGACGGUCGAGACUACUAUCGAAGAAUUGAAUGAUUGAAAGGCUGUUAUAAUGUGUCGAAUGUCCUAUUUAAAUGAGUUCUAUGAUUCGAAGGAGGAGAAAAUGUAAAGUAAGAAAUCAAAAGGUUAUGUAAAACUACUAAAAAUUAUGUGACUCCUACAUAUAUAAGUUGUUGUAGUAUUUUCAAAUGGCGGCACAGACAACUUCGAAACAAGAAACGAAGCAAGGCUUCUAUCACUUAUCGGUAAUGCUAUUUAAACAUGUUUUUACUUUCACAAAAAUAGAAAAUCUACCAUGAUGGAUAAAAACGGUUAAUAAAUGUACCAAAUUGUCUAAUUUCUAUCGGUAAUUUGCUAUCUGAGGUGCAUAUAGAUGCACAGACUACCCUCGAAGCAUGAAAUGGUGGAAAUGAUGUCGGAAUAUGUCGAUGAUGCUUCAUUAAUAGGUUUUCAGUUUUCAAUGAAAUGAAAAUCUAUAGUGAUGGAUCAAAAGGGAACAAAAUUUUUGAUGGAAUUAAAUGAUUACUAGUUAUAAGUUGUUAUUUGAGAUCCGUAUAUGGUCAAACAUACAACUUCCGAAGCUUGAAAGGAAGAAAUGGCGGUGGAAUUUCUAAGUGAUGCUAUUUAAGUAAGUUUUCUUUUUAGCGUAUAAAAAAUCUACGGUAACGGAUCAAAAGUUUAUGUAAUGGUGCUAAACAUGAAUAAUUUAUUUGGAUAAGCUGUUCCAUGACUUUCAUACGACGGUCGAGACUACUAUCGAAGAAUUGAAUGAUUGAAAGGCUGUUAUAAUGUGUCGAAUGUCCUAUUUAAAUGAGUUCUAUGAUUCGAAGGAGGAGAAAAUGUAAAGUAAUAAAUCAAAAGGUUAUGUAAAACUACUAAAAAUUAUGUGACUCCAACAUAUAUAAGUUGUUGUAGGAUUUUCAAAUGGCGGCACAGACAACUUCGAAACAAGAAACGAAGCAAGGCUUCUAUCACUUAUCGGUAAUGCUAUUUAAACAUGUUUUGAGUUUCACAAAAAUAGAAAAUCUACCAUGAUGGAUAAAAACGGUUAAUAAAUGUACCAAAUUGUCCAAUUUCUAUAGGUAAGUUGCUAUCUCAGGUGCAUAUAGAUGCACAUACUACCCUCGAAGCAUGAAAUGGUGGAAAUGAUUUCGGAAUAUGUCGAUGAUGCUUCAUUAAUAGGUUUUCUGUUUUCAACGAAAUGAAAAUCUAUAGUGAUGGAUCAAAAGGGAACAAAGUUGGUGCUGGAAUUAAAUGAUUACUAGUUAUAAGUUGUUAUUUGAGAUCCAUAUAGGGUCAAACAUACAACUUCUGAAGCUUGAAAGGAAGAAAUGCCAGUAGAAUUUCUAAAUGAUGCUAUUUAAGUAAGUUUUCUUUUUAGCGAAUAAAAAAUCUACAGUAACGGAUCAAAAGUUUAUGUAAUGGUGCUAAACAUGAAUAAUUUAUUUGGAUAAGCUGUUCUAUGACUUCCAUACGACGGUCGACACUACUAUCGAACAACUGAAUGAUUGAAAGGCUGUUAUAAUGUGUCGAAUGUCCUAUUUAAAUGAGUUCUAUGAUUCGAAGGAGGAGAAAAUGUAAAGUAAUAAAUCAAAAGGUUAUGUAAAACUACUAAAAAUUAUGUGACUCCUACAUAUAUAAGUUGUUGUAGGAUUUUCAAAUGGCGGCACAGACAACUUCGAAACAAGAAACGAAGCAAGGCUUCUAUCACUUAUCGGUAAUGCUAUUUAAACAUGUUUUUAGUUUCACAAAAAUAGAAAAUCUACCAUGAUGUAUAAAAACGGUUAAUAAAUGUACCAAAUUGUCCAAUUUCUAUAGGUAAGUUGCUAUCUGAGGUGCAUAUAGAUGCACAGACUACCCUCGAAGCAUGAAAUGGUGGAAAUGAUUUCGGAAUAUGUCGAUGAUGCUUCAUUAAUAGGUUUUCAGUUUUCAACGAAAUGAAAAUCUAUAGUGAUGGAUCAAAAGGGAACAAAAUUGGUGAUGGAAUUAAAUGAUUACUAGUUAUAAGUUGUUAUUUGAGAUCCAUAUACGGUCAAAGAUACAACUUCCGAAGCUUGAAAGGAAGAAAUGCCGGUGGAAUUUCUAAAUGAUGCUAUUUAAGUAAGUUUUCUUUUUUGCGAAUAAAAAAUCUACGGUAACGGAUCAAAAGUUUAUGUAAUGGUGCUAAACAUGAAUAAUUUAUUUGGAUAAGCUGUUCUAUGACUUCCAUACGACGGUCGAGACUACUAUCGAAGAAUUGAAUGAUUGAAAGGCUGUUAUAAUGUGUCGAAUGUCCUAUUUAAAUGAGUUCUAUGAUUCGAAGGAGGAGAAAAUGUAAAGUAAGAAAUCAAAAGGUUAUGUAAAACUACUAAAAAUUAUGUGACUCCUACAUAUAUAAGUUGUUGUAGUAUUUUCAAAUGGCGGCACAGACAACUUCGAAACAAGAAACGAAGCAAGGCUUCUAUCACUUAUCGGUAAUGCUAUUUAAACAUGUUUUUACUUUCACAAAAAUAGAAAAUCUACCAUGAUGGAUAAAAACGGUUAAUAAAUGUACCAAAUUGUCUAAUUUCUAUCGGUAAUUUGCUAUCUGAGGUGCAUAUAGAUGCACAGACUACCCUCGAAGCAUGAAAUGGUGGAAAUGAUGUCGGAAUAUGUCGAUGAUGCUUCAUUAAUAGGUUUUCAGUUUUCAAUGAAAUGAAAAUCUAUAGUGAUGGAUCAAAAGGGAACAAAAUUUUUGAUGGAAUUAAAUGAUUACUAGUUAUAAGUUGUUAUUUGAGAUCCGUAUAUGGUCAAACAUACAACUUCCGAAGCUUGAAAGGAAGAAAUGGCGGUGGAAUUUCUAAGUGAUGCUAUUUAAGUAAGUUUUCUUUUUAGCGUAUAAAAAAUCUACGGUAACGGAUCAAAAGUUUAUGUAAUGGUGCUAAACAUGAAUAAUUUAUUUGGAUAAGCUGUUCCAUGACUUUCAUACGACGGUCGAGACUACUAUCGAAGAAUUGAAUGAUUGAAAGGCUGUUAUAAUGUGUCGAAUGUCCUAUUUAAAUGAGUUCUAUGAUUCGAAGGAGGAGAAAAUGUAAAGUAAUAAAUCAAAAGGUUAUGUAAAACUACUAAAAAUUAUGUGACUCCAACAUAUAUAAGUUGUUGUAGGAUUUUCAAAUGGCGGCACAGACAACUUCGAAACAAGAAACGAAGCAAGGCUUCUAUCACUUAUCGGUAAUGCUAUUUAAACAUGUUUUUAGUUUCACAAAAAUAGAAAAUCUACCAUGAUGGAUAAAAACGGUUAAUAAAUGUACCAAAUUGUCCAAUUUCUAUAGGUAAGUUGCUAUCUGAGGUGCAUAUAGAUGCACAUACUACCCUCGAAGCAUGAAAUGGUGGAAAUGAUUUCGGAAUAUGUCGAUGAUGCUUCAUUAAUAGGUUUUCUGUUUUCAACGAAAUGAAAAUCUAUAGUGAUGGAUCAAAAGGGAACAAAAUUGGUGAUGGAAUUAAAUGAUUACUAGUUAUAAGUUGUUAUUUGAGAUCCAUAUAUGGUCAAACAUACAACUUCUGAAGCUUGAAAGGAAGAAAUGCCGGUGGAAUUUCUAAAUGAUGCUAUUUAAGUAAGUUUUCUUUUUAGCGAAUAAAAAAUCUACGGUAACGGAUCAAAAGUUUAUGUAAAGGUGCUAAACAUGAAUAAUUUAUUUGGAUAAGCUUUUCUAUGACUUCCAUACGACGGUCGAGACUACUAUCGAAGAAUUGAAUGAUUGAAAGGCUGUUAUAAUGUGUCGAAUGUCCUAUUUAAAUGAGUUCUAUGAUUCGAAGGAGGGGAAAAUGUAAAGUAAGAAAUCAAAAGGUUAUGUAAAACUACUAAAAAUUAUGUGACUCCUACAUAUACAAGUUGUUGUAGGAUUUUCAAAUUGCGGCACAGACAACUUCGAAACAAGAAACGAAGCAAGGCUUCUAUCACUUAUCGGUAAUGCUAUUUAAACAUGUUUUUAGUUUCACAAAAAUAGAAAAUCUACCAUGAUGGAUAAAAACGGUUAAUAAAUGUACCAAAUUGUCCAAUUUCUAUAGGUAAGUUGCUAUCUGAGGUGCAUAUAGAUGCACAUACUACCCUCGAAGCAUGAAAUGGUGGAAAUGAUUUCGGAAUAUGUCGAUGAUGCUUCAUUAAUAGGUUUUCUGUUUUCAACGAAAUGAAAAUCUAUAGUGAUGGAUCACAAGGGAACAAAAUUGGUGAUGGAAUUAAAUGAUUACUAGUUAUAAGUUGUUAUUUGAGAUCCAUAUAUGGUCAAACAUACAACUUCUGAAGCUUGAAAGGAAGAAAUGCCGGUGGAAUUUCUAAAUGAUGCUAAUUAAGUAAGUUUUCUUUUUAGCGAAUAAAAAAUCUACGGUAACGGAUCAAAAGUUUAUGUAAAGGUGCUAAACAUGAAUAAUUUAUUUGGAUAAGUUGUUCUAUGACUUCCAUACGACGGUCGAGACUACUAUCGAACAAUUGAAUGAUUGAAAGGCUGUUAUAAUGUGUCGAAUGUCCUAUUUAAAUGAGUUCUAUGAUUCGAAGGAGGAGAAAAUGUAAAGUAAGAAAUCAAAAGGUUAUGUAAAACUACUAAAAAUUAUGUGACUCCUACAUAUACAAGUUGUUGUAGGAUUUUCAAAUGGCGGCACAGACAACUUCGAAACAAGAAACGAAGCAAGGCUUCUAUCACUUAUCGGUAAUGCUAUUUAAACAUGUUUUUAGUUUCACACAAAUAGAAAAUCAACCAUGAUGGAUAAAAAAGGUUAAUAAAUGUACAAAAUUGUCCAAUUUCUAUAGGUAAGUUGCUAUCUGAGGUGCAUAUAGAUGCACAGACUACCCUCGAAGCAUGAAAUGGUGGAAAUGAUUUCGGAAUAUGUCGAUGAUGCUUCAUUAAUAGGUUUUCAGUUUUCAAUGAAAUGAAAAUCUAUAGUGAUGGAUCAAAAGGGAACAAAAUUGUUGAUGGAAUUAAAUGAUUACUAGUUAUAAGUUGUUAUUUGAGAUCCGUAUAUGGUCAAACAUACAACUUCCGAAGCCUGAAAGGAAGAAAUGGCGGUGGAAUUUCUAAGUGAUGCUAUUUAAGUAAGUUUUCUUUUUAGCGUAUAAAAAAUCUACGGUAACGGAUCAAAAGUUUAUGUAAAGGUGCUAAACAUGAAUAAUUUAUUUGGAUAAGCUGUUCCAUGACUUUCAUACGACGGUCGAGACUACUAUCGAAGAAUUGAAUGAUUGAAAGGCUGUUAUAAUGUGUCGAAUGUCCUAUUUAAAUGAGUUCUAUGAUUCGAAGGAGGAGAAAAUGUAAAGUAAUAAAUCAAAAGGUUAUGUAAAACUACUAAAAAUUAUGUGACUCCAACAUAUAUAAGUUGUUGUAGGAUUUUCAAAUGGCGGCACAGACAACUUCGAAACAAGAAACGAAGCAAGGCUUCUAUCACUUAUCGGUAAUGCUAUUUAAACAUGUUUUGAGUUUCACAAAAAUAGAAAAUCUACCAUGAUGGAUAAAAACGGUUAAUAAAUGUACCAAAUUGUCCAAUUUCUAUAGGUAAGUUGCUAUCUCAGGUGCAUAUAGAUGCACAUACUACCCUCGAAGCAUGAAAUGGUGGAAAUGAUUUCGGAAUAUGUCGAUGAUGCUUCAUUAAUAGGUUUUCUGUUUUCAACGAAAUGAAAAUCUAUAGUGAUGGAUCAAAAGGGAACAAAAUUGGUGAUGGAAUUAAAUGAUUACUAGUUAUAAGUUGUUAUUUGAGAUCCAUAUAGGGUCAAACAUACAACUUCUGAAGCUUGAAAGGAAGAAAUGCCAGUAGAAUUUCUAAAUGAUGCUAUUUAAGUAAGUUUUCUUUUUAGCGAAUAAAAAAUCUACGGUAACGGAUCAAAAGUUUAUGUAAUGGUGCUAAACAUGAAUAAUUUAUUUGGAUAAGCUGUUCUAUGACUUCCAUACGACGGUCGACACUACUAUCGAACAACUGAAUGAUUGAAAGGCUGUUAUAAUGUGUCGAAUGUCCUAUUUAAAUGAGUUCUAUGAUUCGAAGGAGGAGAAAAUGUAAAGUAAUAAAUCAAAAGGUUAUGUAAAACUACUAAAAAUUAUGUGACUCCUACAUAUAUAAGUUGUUGUAGGAUUUUCAAAUGGCGGCACAGACAACUUCGAAACAAGAAACGAAGCAAGGCUUCUAUCACUUAUCGGUAAUGCUAUUUAAACAUGUUUUUAGUUUCACAAAAAUAGAAAAUCUACCAUGAUGUAUAAAAACGGUUAAUAAAUGUACCAAAUUGUCCAAUUUCUAUAGGUAAGUUGCUAUCUGAGGUGCAUAUAGAUGCACAGACUACCCUCGAAGCAUGAAAUGGUGGAAAUGAUUUCGGAAUAUGUCGAUGAUGCUUCAUUAAUAGGUUUUCAGUUUUCAACGAAAUGAAAAUCUAUAGUGAUGGAUCAAAAGGGAACAAAAUUGGUGAUGGAAUUAAAUGAUUACUAGUUAUAAGUUGUUAUUUGAGAUCCAUAUACGGUCAAAGAUACAACUUCCGAAGCUUGAAAGGAAGAAAUGCCGGUGGAAUUUCUAAAUGAUGCUAUUUAAGUAAGUUUUCUUUUUUGCGAAUAAAAAAUCUACGGUAACGGAUCAAAAGUUUAUGUAAUGGUGCUAAAUAUGAAUAAUUUAUUUGGAUAAGCUGUUCUAUGACUUCCAUACGACGGUCGAGACUACUAUCGAAGAAUUGAAUGAUUGAAAGGCUGUUAUAAUGUGUCGAAUGUCCUAUUUAAAUGAGUUCUAUGAUUCGAAGGAGGAGAAAAUGUAAAGUAAUAAAUCAAAAGGUUAUGUAAAACUACUAAAAAUUAUGUGACUCCUACAUAUAUAAGUUGUUGUAGUAUUUUCAAAUGGCGGCACAGACAACUUCGAAACAAGAAACGAAGCAAGGCUUCUAUCACUUAUCGGUAAUGCUAUUUAAACAUGUUUUUACUUUCAACAAAAUAGAAAAUCUACCAUGAUGGAUAAAAACGGUUAAUAAAUGUACCAAAUUGUCCAAUUUCUAUAGGUAAGUUGCUAUCUGAGGUGCAUAUAGAUGCACAUACUACCCUCGAAGCAUGAAAUGGUGGAAAUGAUGUCGGAAUAUGUCGAUGAUGCUUCAUUAAUAGGUUUUCAGUUUUCAACGAAAUGAAAAUCUAUAGUGAUGGAUCAAAAGGGAACAAAAUUGUUGAUGGAAUUAAAUGAUUACUAGUUAUAAGUUGUUAUUUGAGAUCCGUAUAUGGUCAAACAUACAACUUCCGAAGCUUGAAAGGAAGAAAUGGCGGUGGAAUUUCUAAGUGAUGCUAUUUAAGUAAGUUUUCUUUUUAGCGAAUAAAAAAUCUACGGUAACGGAUCAAAAGUUUAUGUAAAGGUGCUAAACAUGAAUAAUUUAUUUGGAUAAGCUGUUCCAUGACUUUCAUAUGACGGUCGAGACUACUAUCGAAGAAUUGAAUGAUUGAAAGGCUGUUAUAAUGUGUCGAAUGUCCUAUUUAAAUGAGUUCUAUGAUUCGAAGGAGGAGAAAAUGUAAAGUAAGAAAUCAAAAGGUUAUGUAAAACUACUAAAAAUUAUGUGACUCCUACAUAUACAAGUUGUUGUAGGAUUUUCAAAUGGCGGCACAGACAACUUCGAAACAAGAAACGAAGCAAGGCUUCUAUCACUUAUCGGUAAUGCUAUUUAAACAUGUUUUUAGUUUCACACAAAUAGAAAAUCUACCAUGAUGGAUAAAAAACGGUUAAUAAAUGUACCAAAUUGUCCAAUUUCUAUAGGUAAGUUGCUAUCUCAGGUGCAUAUAGAUGCACAUACUACCCUCGAAGCAUGAAAUGGUGGAAAUGAUUUCGGAAUAUGUCGAUGAUGCUUCAUUAAUAGGUUUUCAGUUUUCAACGAAAUGAAAAUCUAUAGUGAUUGAUCAAAAGGGAACAAAAUUGGUGAUGGAAUUAAAUGAUUACUAGUUAUAAGUUGUUAUUUGAGAUCCGUAUAUGGUCAAACAUACAACUUCCGAAGCCUGAAAGGAAGAAAUGCCGGUGGAAUUUCUAAAUGAUGCUAUUUAAGUAAGUUUUCUUUUUAGCGUAUAAAAAAUCUACGGUAACGGAUCAAAAGUUGAUGUAAAGGUGCUAAACAUGAAUAAUUUAUUCUGAUAAGCUGUUCCAUGACUUCCAUACGACAGUCGAGACUACUAUCGAAGAAUUGAAUGAUUGAAAGGCUGUUAUAAUGUGUCGAAUGUCCUAUUUAAAUCAGUUCUAUGAUUCGAAGGAGGAGAAAAAUGUAAAGUAAUAAAUCAAAAGGUUAUGUAAAACUACUAAAAAUUAUGUGAUUCCUACAUAUAUAAGUUGUUGUAGGAUUUUCAAAUGGCGGCACAGACAACUUCGAAACAAGAAAUGAAGCAAGGCUUCUAUCACUUAUCGGUAAUGCUAUUUAAACAUGUUUUCAGUUUUGCAAAAAUAGAAAAUCUACCUUGAUGGAUAAAAACGGUUAAUAAAUGUACCAAAUUGUCCAAUUUCUAUAGGUAAGUUGCUAUCUGAGGUGCAUAUAGAUGCACAGACUACCCUCGAAGCAUGAAAUGGUGGAAAUGAUUUCGGAAUAUGUCGAUGAUGCUUCAUUAAUAGGUUUUCAGUUUUCAACGAAAUGAAAAUCUAUAGUGAUGGAUCAAAAGGGAACAAAAUUGGUGAUGGAAUUAAAUGAUUACUAGUUAUAAGUUGUUAUUUGAGAUCCAUAUACGGUCAAACAUACAACUUCCGAAACUUGAAAAGAAGAAAUGCCGGUGGAAUUUCUAAAUGAUGCUAUUUAAGUAAGUUUUCUUUUUAGCGAAUAAAAAAGCUAUGGUAACGGAUCAAAAGUUUAUGUAAAGGUGCUAAACAUGAAUAAUUUAUUUGGAUAAGCUGUUCCAUGACUUCCAUACGACAGUCGAGACUACUAUCGAAGAAUUGAAUGAUUGAAAGGCUGUUAUAAUGUGUCGAAUGUCCUAUUUAAAUCAGUUCUAUGAUUCGAAGGAGGAGAAAAAUGUAAAGUAAUAAAUCAAAAGGUUAUGUAAAACUACUAAAAAUUAUGUGAUUCCUGCAUAUAUAAGUUGUUGUAUGAUUUUCAAAUGGCGGCACAGACAACUUCGAAACAAGAAAUGAAGCAAGGCUUCUAUCACUUAUCGGUAAUGCUAUUUAAACAUGUUUUCAGUUUUGCAAAAAUAGAAAAUCUACCUUGAUGGAUAAAAACGGUUAAUAAAUGUACCAAAUUGUCCAAUUUCUAUAGGUAAGUUGCUAUCUGAGGUGCAUAUAGAUGCACAGACUACCCUCGAAGCAUGAAAUGGUGGAAAUGAUUUCGGAAUAUGUCGAUGAUGCUUCAUUAAUAGGUUUUCAGUUUUCAACGAAAUGAAAAUCUAUAGUGAUGGAUCAAAAGGGAACAAAAUUGGUGAUGGAAUUAAAUGAUUACUAGUUAUAAGUUGUUAUUUGAGAUCCAUAUACGGUCAAACAUACAACUUCCGAAACUUGAAAAGAAGAAAUGCCGGUGGAAUUUCUAAAUGAUGCUAUUUAAGUAAGUUUUCUUUUUAGCGAAUAAAAAAUCUAUGGUAACGGAUCAAAAGUUUAUGUAAAGGUGCUAAACAUGAAUAAUUUAUUUGGAUAAGCUGUUCCAUGACUUCCAUACGACAGUCGAGACUACUAUCGAAGAAUUGAAUGAUUGAAAGGCUGUUAUAAUGUGUCGAAUGUCCUAUUUAAAUCAGUUCUAUGAUUCGAAGGAGGAGAAAAAUGUAAAGUAAUAAAUCAAAAGGUUAUGUAAAACUACUAAAAAUUAUGUGAUUCCUGCAUAUAUAAGUUGUUGUAUGAUUUUCAAAUGGCGGCACAGACAACUUCGAAACAAGAAAUGAAGCAAGGCUUCUAUCACUUUUCGGUAAUGCUAUUUAAACAUGUUUUCAGUUUUGCAAAAAUAGAAAAUCUACCUUGAUGGAUAAAAACGGUUAAUAAAUGUACCAAAUUGUCCAAUUUCUAUAGGUAAGUUGCUAUCUGAGGUGCAUAUAGAUGCACAGACUACCCUCGAAGCAUGAAAUGGUGGAAAUGAUUUCGGAAUAUGUCGAUGAUGCUUCAUUAAUAGGUUUUCAGUUUUCAACGAAAUGAAAAUCUAUAGUGAUGGAUCAAAAGGGAACAAAAUUGGUGAUGGAAUUAAAUGAUUACUAGUUAUAAGUUGUUAUUUGAGAUCCAUAUACGGUCAAACAUACAACUUCCGAAGCUUGAAAAGAAGAAAUGCCGGUGGAAUUUCUAAAUGAUGCUAUUUAAGUAAGUUUUCUUUUUAGCGAAUAAAAAAUCUACGGUAACGGAUCAAAAGUUUAUGUAAAGGUGCUAAACAUGAAUAAUUUAUUUGGAUAAGCUGUUCCAUGACUUCCAUAUGAUGGUCGAGACUACUAUCGAAGAAUUGAAUGAUUGAAAGGCUGUUAUAAUGUGUCGAAUGUCCUAUUUAAAUGAGUUCUAUGAUUCGAAGGAGGAGAAAAUGUAAAGUAAUAAAUCAAAAGGUUAGGUAAAACUACUAAAAAUUAUGUGACUCCUACAUAUAUAAGUUGUUGUAGGAUUUUCAAAUGGCGGCACACACAACUUCGAAACAAGAAACGAAGCAAGGCUUCUAUCACUUAUCGGUAAUGCUAUUUAAACAUGUUUUUAGUUUCACAAAAAUAGAAAAUCUACCAUGAUGGAUAAAAACGGUUAAUAAAUGUACCAAAUUGUCCAAUUUCUAUAGGUAAGUUGCUAUCUGAGGUGCAUAUAGAUGCAAGGACUACCCUCGAAGCAUGAAAUGGUGGAAAUGAUUUCGGAAUAUGUCGAUGAUGCUUCAUUAAUAGGUUUUCUGUUUUCAACGAAAUGAAAAUCUAUAGUGAUGGAUCAAAAUGGAACAAAAUUGGUGAUGGAAUUAAAUGAUUACUAGUUAUAAGUUGUUAUUUGAGAUCCAUAUAUGGUCAAACAUACAACUUCCGAAGCUUGAAAGGAAGAAAUGCCGGUGGAAUUUCUAAAUGAUGCUAUUUAAGUAAGUUUUCUUUUUAGCGAAUAAAAAAUCUACGGUAACGGAUCAAAAGUUUAUGUAAAGGUUCUAAACAUGAAUAAUUUAUUUGGAUAAGCUGUUCUAUGACUUCCAUACGACGGUCGACACUACUAUCGAAGAAUUGAAUGAUUGAAAGGCUGUUAUAAUGUGUCGAAUGUCCUAUUUAAAUGAGUUCUAUGAUUCGAAGGAGGAGAAAAUGUAAAGUAAGAAAUCAAAAGGUUAUGUAAAACUACUAAAAAUUAUGUGACUCCUACAUAUACAAGUUGUUGUAGGAUUUUCAAAUGGCGGCACAGACAACUUCGAAACAAGAAACGAAGCAAGGCUUCUAUCACUUACCGGUAAUGCUAUUUAAACAUGUUUUUACUUUCACAAAAAUAGAAAAUCUACCAUGAUGGAUAAAAACGGUUAAUAAAUGUACCAAAUUGUCUAAUUUCUAUAGGUAAGUUGCUAUCUGAGGUGCACAUAGAUGCACAGACUACCCUCGAAGCAUGAAAUGGUGGAAAUGAUGUCGGAAUAUGUCGAUGAUGCUUCAUUAAUAGGUUUUCAGUUUUCAAUGAAAUGAAAACCUAUAGUGAUGGAUCAAAAGGGAGCAAAAUUGUUGAUGGAAUUACAUGAUUACUAGUUAUAAGUUGUUAUUUGAGAUCCGUAUAUGGUCAAACAUACAACUUCCGAAGCCUGAAAGGAAGAAAUGCCGGUGGAAUUUCUAAAUGAUGCUAUUUAAGUAAGUUUUCUUUUUAGCGUAUAAAAAAUCUACGGUAACGGAUCAAAAGUUUAUGUAAUGGUGCUAAACAUCAAUAAUUUAUUUGGAUGAGCUGUUCUAUGACUUCCAGACGACGGUCGAGACUACUAUCGAAGAAUUGAAUGAUUGAAAGGCUGUUAUAAUGUGUCGAAUGUCCUAUUUAAAUGAGUUCUAUGAUUCGAAGGAGGAGAAAAUGUAAAGUAAUAAAUCAAAAGGUUAUGUAAAACUACUAAAAAUUAUGUGACUCCUACAUAUACAAGUUGUUGUAGGAUUUUCAAAUGGCGGCACAGACAACUUCGAAACAAGAAACGAAGCAAGCUUCUAUCACUUAUCGGUAAUGCUAUUUAAACAUGUUUUUACUUUCACAAAAAUAGAAAAUCUACCAUGAUGGAUAAAAACGGUUAAUAAAUGUACCAAAUUGUCUAAUUUCUAUAGGUAAGUUGCUAUCUGAGGUGCACAUAGAUGCACAGACUACCCUCGAAGCAUGAAAUGGUGGAAAUGAUGUCGGAAUAUGUCGAUGAUGCUUCAUUAAUAGGUUUUCAGUUUUCAAUGAAAUGAAAAUCUAUAGUGAUGGAUCAAAAGGGAACAAAAUUGUUGAUGGCAUUAAAUGAUUACUAGUUAUAAGUUGUUAUUUGAGAUCCGUAUAUGGUCAAACAUACAACUUCCGAAGCCUGAAAGGAAGAAAUGCCGGUGGAAUUUCUAAAUGAUGCUAUUUAAGUAAGUUUUCUUUUUAGCGUAUAAAAAAUCUACGGUAACGGAACAAAAGUUUAUGUAAUGGUGCUAAACAUGAAUAAUUUAUUUGGCUGAGCUGUUCUAUGACUUCCAUACGACGGUCGAGACUACUAUCGAAGAAUUGAAUGAUUGAAAGGCUGUUAUAAUGUGUCGAAUGUCCUAUUUAAAUGAGUUCUAUUAUUCGAAGGAGGAGAAAAUGUAAAGUAAUAAAUCAAAAGGUUAUGUAAAACUACUAAAAAUUAUGUGACUCCUACAUAUACAAGUUGUUGUAGGAUUUUCAAAUGGCGGCACAGACAACUUCGAAACAAGAAACGAACCAAGGCUUCUAUCACUUACCGGUAAUGCUAUUUAAACAUGUUUUUAAUUUCACAAAAAUAGAAAAUCUACCAUGAUGGAUAAAAACGGUUAAUAAAUGUACCAAAUUGUCUAAUUUCUAUAGGUAAGUUGCUAUCUGAGGUGCAUAUAGAUGCACAGACUACCCUCGAAGCAUGAAAUGGUGGAAAUGAUGUCGGAAUAUGUCGAUGAUGCUUCAUUAAUAGGUUUUCAGUUUUCAAUGAAAUGAAAACCUAUAGUGAUGGAUCAAAAGGGAACAAAAUUGUUGAUGGAAUUAAAUGAUUACUAGUUAUAAGUUGUUAUUUGAGAUCCGUAUAUGGUCAAACAUACAACUUCCGAAGCCUGAAAGGAAGAAAUGCCGGUGGAAUUUCUAAAUGAUGCUAUUUAAGUAAGUUUUCUUUUUAGCGUAUAAAAAAUCUACGGUAACGGAUCAAAAGUUUAUGUAAUGGUGCUAAACAUGAAUAAUUUAUUUGGAUAAGCUGUUCUAUGACUUCCAUACGACGGUCGAGACUACUAUCGAAGAAUUGAAUGAUUGAAAGGCUGUUAUAAUGUGUCGAAUGUCCUAUUUAAAUGAGUUCUAUGAUUUGAAGGAGGAGAAAAUGUAAAGUAAUAAAUCAAAAGGUUAUGUAAAACUACUAAAAAUUAUGUGACUCCUACAUAUAUAAGUUGUUGUAGGAUUUUCAAAUGGCGGCACAGACAACUUCGAAACAAGAAACGAAGCAAGGCUUCUAUCACUUAUUGGUAAUGCUAUUUAAACAUGUUUUUAGUUUCACAAAAUUAGAAAAUCUACCUGAUGGAUAAAAAACGGUUAAUAAAUGUACAAAAUUGUCCAAUUUCUAUAGGUAAGUUGCUAUCUGAGGUGCAUAUAGAUGCACAGACUACCCUCGACGCAUGAAAUGGUGGAAAUGAUUUCGGAAUAUGUCGAUGAUGCUUCAUUAAUAGGUUUUCUGUUUUCAACGAAAUGAAAAUCUAUAGUGAUGGAUCAAAAGGGAACAAAAUUGGUGAUGGAAUUAAAUGAUUACUAGUUAUAAGUUGUUAUUUGAGAUCCAUAUAUGGUCAAACAUACAACUUCCGAAGCUUGAAAGGAAGAAUGCCGGUGGAAUUUCUAAAAGAUUCUGUUUAAGUAAGUUUUCUUUUUAGCGUAUAAAAAAUCUACGGUAACGGAUCAAAAGUUUAUGUAAAGGUGCUAAACAUGAAUAAUUUAUUUGGAUAAGCUGUUCUAUGACUUCCAUACGAAGGUCGAGACUACUAUCGAAGAAUUGAAUGAUUGAAAGGCUGUUAUAAUGUGUCGAAUGUCCUAUUUAAAUGAGUUCUAUGAUUUGAAGGAGGGGAAAAUGUAAAGUAAUAAAUCAAAAGGUUAGGUAAAACUACUAAAAAUUAUGUGACUCCUACAUAUAUAAGUUGUUGUAGGAUUUUCAAAUGGCGGCACAGACAACUUCGAAACAAGAAACGAAGCAAGGCUUCUAUCACUUAUUGGUAAUGCUAUUUAAACAUGUUUUUAGUUUCACAAAAUUAGAAAAUCGACCAUGUUGGAUAAAAACGGUUAAUAAAUGUGCAAAAUUGUCUAAUUUCUAUAGGUAAGUUGCUAUCUGAGGUGCAUAUAGAUGCACAGACUACCCUCGAAGCAUGAAAUGGUGGAAAUGAUGUCGGAAUAUGUCGAUGAUGCUUCAUUAAUAGGUUUUCAGUUUUCAAUGAAAUGAAAAUCUAUAGUGAUGGAUCAAAAGGGAACAAAAUUGUUUAUGCAAUUAAAUGAUUACUAGUUAUAAGUUGUUAUUUGAGAUCCGUAUAUGGUCACACAUACAACUUCCGAAGCCUGAAAGGAAGAAAUGCCGGUGGAAUUUCUAAAUGAUGCUAUUUAAGUAAGUUUUCUUUUUAGCGUAUAAAAAAUCUAUGGUAACGGAUCAAAAGUUUAUGUAAUGGUGCUAAACAUGAAUAAUUUAUUUGGAUGAGCUGUUCUAUGACUUCCAUACGACGGUCGAGACUACUAUCGAAGAAUUGAAUGAUUGAAAGGCUGUUAUAAUGUGUCGAAUGUCCUAUUUAAAUGAGUUCUAUGAUUUGAAGGAGGAGAAAAUGUAAAGUAAUAAAUCAAAAGGUUAUGUAAAACUACUAAAAAUUAUGUGACUCCUACAUAUAUAAGUUGUUGUAGGAUUUUCAAAUGGCGGCACAGACAACUUCGAAACAAGAAACUAAGCAAGGCUUCUAUCACUUAUCGGUAAUGCUAUUUAAACAUGUUUUUACUUUCACAAAAAUAGAAAAUCUACCAUGAUGGAUAAAAACGGUUAAUAAAUGUACCAAAUUGUCUAAUUUCUAUAGGUAAGUUGCUAUCUGAGGUGCAUAUAGAUGCACAGACUACGCUCGAAGCAUGAAAUGGUGGAAAUGAUGUCGGAAUAUGUCGAUGAUGCUUCAUUAAUAGGUUUUCAGUUUUCAAUGAAAUGAAAAUCUAUAGUGAUGGAUCAAAAGGGAACAAAAUUGGUGAUGGAAUUAAAUGAUUACUAGUUAUAAGUUGUUAUUUGAGAUCCGUAUAUGUUCAAACAUACAACUUCCGAAGCCUGAAAGGAAGAAAUGCCGGUGGAAUUUCUAAAUGAUGCUAUUUAAGUAAGUUUUCUUUUUAGCGUAUAAAAAAUCUACGGUAACGGAUCAAAAGUUUAUGUAAUGGUGCUAAACAUGAGUAAUUUAUUUGGAUAAGCUGUUCUAUGACUUCCAUACGACGGUCGAGACUACUAUCGAAGAAUUGAAUGAUUGAAAGGCUGUUAUAAUGUGUCGAAUGUCCUAUUUAAAUGAGUUCUAUGAUUCGAAGGAGGAGAAAAUGUAAAGUAAUAAAUCAAAAGGUUAUGUAAAACUACUAAAAAUUAUGUGACUCCUACAUAUACAAGUUGUUGUAGGAUUUUCAAAUGGCGGCACAGACAACUUCGAAACAAGAAACGAAGCAAGGGUUCUAUCACUUAUCGGUAAUGCUAUUUAAACAUGUUUUUAGUUUCACAAAAUUAGAAAAUCUACCAUGAUGGAUAAAAACGGUUAAUAAAUGUACCAAAUUGUCUAAUUUCUAUAGGUAAGUUGCUAUCUGAGGUGCAUAUAGAUGCACAGACUACCCUCGAAGCAUGAAAUGGUGGAAAUGAUUUCGGAAUAUGUCGAUGAUGCUUCAUUAAUAGGUUUUCUGUUUUCAAAAAAUGAAAAUCUAUAGUGAUGGAUCAAAAGGGAACAAAAUUGUUGAUGGAAUUAAAUGAUUACUAGUUAUAAGUUGUUAUUUGAGAUCCGUAUAUGGUCAAACAUACAACUUCCGAAGCCUGAAAGGAAGAAAUGCCGGUGGAAUUUCUAAAUGAUGCUAUUUAAGUAAGUUUUCUUUUUAGCGUAUAAAAAAUCUACGGUAACGGAACAAAAGUUUAUGUAAUGGUGCCAGACAUGAAUAAUUUAUUUGGAUGAGCUGUUCUAUGACUUCCAUACGACGGUCGAGACUACUAUCGAAGAAUUGAAUGAUUGAAAGGCUGUUAUAAUGUGUCGAAUGUCCUAUUUAAAUGAGUUCUAUGAUUCGAAGGAGGAGAAAAUGUAAAGUAAGAAAUCAAAAGGUUAUGUAAAACUACUAAAAAUUAUGUGACUCCUACAUAUACAAGUUGUUGUAGGAUUUUCAAAUGGCGGCACAGACAACUUCGAAACAAGAAACGAAGCAAGGCUUCUAUCACUUAUCGGUAAUGCUAUUUAAACAUGUUUUUAGUUUCACAAAAAUAGAAAAUCUACCAUGAUGGAUAAAAACGGUUAAUAAAUGUACCAAAUUGUCUAAUUUCUAUAGGUAAGUUGCUAUCUGAGGUGCAUAUAGAUGCACAGACUACCCUCGAAGCAUGAAAUGGUGGAAAUGAUUUCGGAAUAUGUCGAUGAUGCUUCAUUAAUAGGUUUUCUGUUUUCAAAAAAUGAAAAUCUAUAGUGAUGGAUCAAAAGGGAACAAAAUUGUUGAUGGAAUUAAAUGAUUACUAGUUAUAAGUUGUUAUUUGAGAUCCGUAUAUGGUCAAACAUACAACUUCCGAAGCCUGAAAGGAAGAAAUGCCGGUGGAAUUUCUAAAUGAUGCUAUUUAAGUAAGUUUUCUUUUUAGCGUAUAAAAAAUCUACGGUAACGGAAAAAAAGUUUAUGUAAUGGUGCCAGACAUGAAUAAUUUAUUUGGAUGAGCUGUUCUAUGACUUCCAUACGACGGUCGAGACUACUAUCGAAGAAUUGAAUGAUUGAAAGGCUGUUAUAAUGUGUCGAAUGUCCUAUUUAAAUGAGUUCUAUGAUUCGAAGGAGGAGAAAAUGUAAAGUAAGAAAUCAAAAGGUUAUGUAAAACUACUAAAAAUUAUGUGACUCCUACAUAUACAAGUUGUUGUAGGAUUUUCAAAUGGCGGCACAGACAACUUCGAAACAAGAAACGAAGCAAGGCUUCUAUCACUUAUCGGUAAUGCUAUUUAAACAUGUUUUUAGUUUCACAAAAAUAGAAAAUCUACCAUGAUGGAUAAAAACGGUUAAUAAAUGUACCAAAUUGUCUAAUUUCUAUAGGUAAGUUGCUAUCUGAGGUGCAUAUAGAUGCACAGACUACCCUCGAAGCAUGAAAUGGUGGAAAUGUUGUCGGAAUAUGUCGAUGAUGCUUCAUUAAUAGGUUUUCUGUUUUCAAAGAAAUGAAAAUCUAUAGUGAUGGAUCAAAAGGGAACAAAAUUGUUGAUGGAAUUAAAUGAUUACUAGUUAUAAGUUGUUAUUUGAGAUCCGUAUAUGUUCAAACAUACAACUUCCGAAGCCUGAAAGGAAGAAAUGCCGGUGGAAUUUCUAAAUGAUGCUAUUUAAGUAAGUUUUCUUUUUAGCGUAUAAAAAAUCUACAGUAACGGAACAAAAGUUUAUGUAAUGGUGCUAAACAUGAAUAAUUUAUUUGGAUGAGCUGUUCUAUGACUUCCAUACGACGGUCGAGACUACUAUCGAAGAAUUGAAUGAUUGAAAGGCUGUUAUAAUGUGUCGAAUGUCCUAUUUAAAUGAGUUCUAUUAUUCGAAGGAGGAGAAAAUGUAAAGUAAUAAAUCAAAAGGUUAUGUAAAACUACUAAAAAUUAUGUGACUCCUACAUAUACAAGUUGUUGUAGGAUUUUCAAAUGGCGGCACAGACAACUUCGAAACAAGAAACGAAGCAAGGCUUCUAUCACUUAUCGGUAAUGCUAUUUAAACAUGUUUUUAGUUUCACAAAAAUAGAAAAUCUACCAUGAUGGAUAAAAACGGUUAAUAAAUGUACCAAAUUGUCUAAUUUCUAUAGGUAAGUUGCUAUCUGAGGUGCAUAUAGAUGCACAGACUACCCUCGAAGCAUGAAAUGGUGGAAAUGUUGUCGGAAUAUGUCGAUGAUGCUUCAUUAAUAGGUUUUCUGUUUUCAAAUAAAUGAAAAUCUAUAGUGAUGGAUCAAAAGGGAACAAAAUUGUUGAUGGAAUUAAAUGAUUACUAGUUAUAAGUUGUUAUUUGAGAUCCGUAUAUGGUCAAACAUACAACUUCCGAAGCCUGAAAGGAAGAAAUGCCGGUGGAAUUUCUAAAUGAUGCUAUUUAAGUAAGUUUUCUUUUUAGCGUAUAAAAAAUCUACGGUAACGGAACAAAAGUUUAUGUAAUUGUGCUAGACAUGAAUAAUUUAUUUGGAUGAGCUGUUCUAUGACUUCCAUACGACGGUCGAGACUACUAUCGAAGAAUUGAAUGAUUGAAAGGCUGUUAUAAUGUGUCGAAUGUCCUAUUUAAAUGAGUUCUAUUAUUCGAAGGAGGAGAAAAUGUAAAGUAAUAAAUCAAAAGGUUAUGUAAAACUACUAAAAAUUAUGUGACUCCUACAUAUACAAGUUGUUGUAGGAUUUUCAAAUGGCGGCACAGACAACUUCGAAACAAGAAACGAAGCAAGGCUUCUAUCACUUAUCGGUAAUGCUAUUUAAACAUGUUUUUAGUUUCACAAAAAUAGAAAAUCUACCAUGAUGGAUAAAAACGGUUAAUAAAUGUACCAAAUUGUCUAAUUUCUAUAGGUAAGUUGCUAUCUGAGGUGCAUAUAGAUGCACAGACUACCCUCGAAGCAUGAAAUGGUGGAAAUGUUGUCGGAAUAUGUCGAUGAUGCUUCAUUAAUAGGUUUUCUGUUUUCAAAGAAAUGAAAAUCUAUAGUGAUGGAUCAAAAGGGAACAAAAUUGUUGAUGGAAUUAAAUGAUUACUAGUUAUAAGUUGUUAUUUGAGAUCCGUAUAUGGUCAAACAUACAACUUCCGAAGCCUCAAAGGAAGAAAUGCCGGUGGAAUUUCUAAAUGAUGCUAUUUAAGUAAGUUUUCUUUUUAGCGUAUAAAAAAUCUACGGUAACGGAUCAAAAGUUUAUGUAAUGGUGCUAAACAUGAAUAAUUUAUUUGGAUGAGCUGUUCUAUGACUUCCAUACGACGGUCGAGACUACUAUCGAAGAAUUGAAUGAUUGAAAGGCUGUUAUAAUGUGUCGAAUGUCCUAUUUAAAUGAGUUCUAUGAUUCGAAGGAGGAGCAAAUGUAAAGUAAGAAAUCAAAAGGUUAUGUAAAACUUCUAAAAAUUAUGUGACUCCUACAUAUACAAGUUGUUGUAGGAUUUUCAAAUGGCGGCACAGACAACUUCGAAACAAGAAACGAAGCAAGGCUUCUAUCACUUAUCGGUAAUGCUAUUUAAACAUGUUUUUACUUUCACAAAAAUAGAAAAUCUACCAUGAUGGAUAAAAACGGUUAAUAAAUGUACCAAAUUGUCUAAUUUCUAUAGGUAAGUUGCUAUCUGAGGUGCACAUAGAUGCACAGACUACCCUCGAAGCAUGAAAUGGUGGAAAUGUUGUCGGAAUAUGUCGAUGAUGCUUCAUUAAUAGGUUUUCUGUUUUCAACGAAAUGAAAAUCUAUAGUGAUGGAUCAAAAGGGAACAAAAUUGUUGAUGGAAUUAAAUGAUUACUAGUUAUAAGUUGUUAUUUGAGAUCCGUAUAUGGUCAAACAUACAACUUCCGAAGCCUGAAAGGAAGAAAUGCCGGUGGAAUUUCUAAAUGAUGCUAUUUAAGUAAGUUUUCUUUUUAGCGUAUAAAAAAUCUACGGUAACGAAUCAAAAGUUUAUGUAAUGGUGCUAAACAUGAAUAAUUUAUUUGGAUAAGCUGUUCUAUGACUUCCAUACGACGGUCGAGACUACUAUCGAAGAAUUGAAUGAUUGAAAGGCUGUUAUAAUGUGUCGAAUGUCCUAUUUAAAUGAGUUAUUUGAUUCGAAGGAGGAGAAAAUGUAAAGCAAGAAAUCAAAAGGUUAUGUAAAACUACUAAAAAUUAUGUGACUCCUACAUGUACAAGUUGUUGUAGGAUUUUCAAAUGGCGGCACAGACAACUUCGAAACAAGAAACGAAGCAAGGCUUCUAUCACUUAUCGGUAAUGCUAUUUAAACAUGUUUUCAGUUUCACAAAAAUAGAAAAUCUACCAUGAUGGAUAAAAACGGUUAAUAAAUGUACCAAAUUGUCUAAUUUCUAUAGGUAAGUUGCUAUCUGAGGUGCAUAUAGAUGCACAGACUACCCUCGAAACAUGAAAUGGUGGAAAUGAUGUCGGAAUAUGUCGAUGAUGCUUCAUUAAUAGGUUUUCUGUUUUCAACGAAAUGAAAAUCUAUAGUGAUGGAUCAAAAGGGAACAAAAUUGUUGAUGGAAUUAAAUGAUUACUAGUUAUAAGUUGUUAUUUGAGAUCCGUAUAUGGUCAAACAUACAACUUCCGAAGCCUGAAAGGAAGAAAUGCCGGUGGAAUUUCUAAAUGAUGCUAUUUAAGUAAGUUUUCUUUUUAGCGAAUAAAAAAUCUACGGUAACGGAUCAAAAGUUUAUGUAAAGGUGCUAAACAUGAAUAAUUUAUUUGGAUGAGCUGUUCUAUGACUUCCAUACGACGGUCGAGACUACUAUCGAAGAAUUGAAUGAUUGAAAGGCUGUUAUAAUGUGUCGAAUGUCCUAUUUAAAUGAGUUCUAUUAUUCGAAGGAGGAGAAAAUGUAAAGUAAUAAAUCAAAAGGUUAUGUAAAACUACUAAAAAUUAUGUGACUCCUACAUAUAUAAGUUGUUGUAGGAUUUUCAAAUGGCGGCACAGACAACUUCGAAACAAGAAACGAAGCAAGGCUUCUAUCACUUAUCGGUAAUGCUAUUUAAACAUGUUUUUAGUUUCACAAAAAUAGAAAAUCUACCAUGAUGGAUAAAAACGGUUAAUAAAUGUACCAAAUUGUCUAAUUUCUAUAGGUAAGUUGCUAUCUGAGGUGCAUAUAGAUGCACAGACUACCCUGGAAGCAUGAAAUGGUGGAAAUGUUGUCGGAAUAUGUCGAUGAUGCUUCAUUAAUAGGUUUUCUGUUUUCAACGAAAUGAAAAUCUAUAGUGAUGGGUCAAAAGGGAACAAAAUUGUUUAUGGAAUUAAAUGAUUACUAGUUAUAAGUUGUUAUUUGAGAUCCGUAUAUGGUCAAACAUACAACUUCCGAAGCCUGAAAGGAAGAAAUGCCGGUGGAAUUUCUAAAUGAUGCUAUUUAAGUAAGUUUUCUUUUUAGCGAAUAAAAAAUCUACGGUAACGGAUCAAAAGUUUAUGUAAAGGUGCUAAACAUGAAUAAUUUAUUUGGAUAAGCUGUUCUAUGACUUCCAUACGACGGUCGAGACUACUAUCGAAGAAUUGAAUGAUUGAAAGGCUGUUAUAAUGUGUCGAAUUUCCUAUUUAAAUGAGUUCAAUGAUUCGAAGGAGGAGAAAAUGUAAAGUAAGAAAUCAAAAGGUUAUGUAAAACUAAUAAAAAUUAUGUGACUCCUACAUAUAUAAGUUGUUGUAGGAUUUUCAAAUGGCGGCACAGACAACUUCGAAACAAGAAACGAAGCAAGGCUUCUAUCACUUAUCGGUAAUGCUAUUUAAACAUGUUUUAAGUUUCACAAAAAUAGAAAAUCUACCAUGAUGGAUAAAAACGGUUAAUAAAUGUACCAAAUUGUCCAAUUUCUAUAGGUAAGUUGCUAUCUGAGGUGCAUAUAGAUGCACAGACUACCCUCGAAGCAUGAAAUGGUGGAAAUGAUUUCGGAAUAUGUCGAUGAUGGUUCAUUAAUAGGUUUUCUGUUUUCAACAAACUGAAAAUCUAUAGUGAUGGAUCAAAAGGGAACAAAAUUGUUUAUGGAAUUAAAUGAUUACUAGUUAUAAGUUGUUAUUUCAGAUCCGUAUAUGGUCAAACAUACAACUUCCGAAGCCUGAAAGGAAGAAAUGCCGGUGGAAUUUCUAAAUGAUGCUAUUUAAGUAAGUUUUCUUUUUAGCGAAUAAAAAAUCUGCGGUAACGGAUCAAAAGUUUAUGUAAUGGUGCUAAACAUGAAUAAUUUAUUUGGAUAAGCUGUUCUAUGACUUCCAUACGACGGUCGAGACUACUAUCGAAGAAUUGAAUGAUUGAAAGGCUGUUAUAAUGUGUCGAAUGUCCUAUUUAAAUGAGUUCUAUGAUUCGAAGGAGGAGAAAAUGUAAAGUAAGAAAUCAAAAGGUUAUGUAAAACUACUAAAAAUUAUGUGACUCCUACAUAUACAAGUUGUUGUAGGAUUCUCAAAUGGCGGCACAGACAACUUCGAAACAAGAAACGAAGCAAGGCUUCUAUCACUUAUCGGUAAUGCUAUUUAAACAUGUUUUAAGUUUCACAAAAAUAGAAAAUCUACCAUGAUGGAUAAAAACGGUUAAUAAAUGUACCAAAUUGUCUAAUUUCUAUAGGUAAGUUGCUAUCUGAGGUGCAUAUAGAUGCACAGACUACCCUCGAAGCAUGAAAUGGUGGAAAUGAUGUCGGAAUAUGUCGAUGAUGCUUCAGUAAUAGGUUUUCAGUUUUCAAUGAAAUGAAAAUCUGUAGUGAUGGAUCAAAAGGGAACAAAAUUGUUGAUGGAAUUAAAUGGUUACUAGUUAUAAGUUGUUAUUUGAGAUCCGUAUAUGGUCAAACAUACAACUUCCGAAGCCUGAAAGGAAGAAAUGCCGGUGGAAUUUCUAAAUGAUGCUAUUUAAGUAAGUUUUCUAUUUAGCGAAUAAAAAAUCUACGGUAACGGAUCAAAAGUUUAUGUAAAGGUGCUAAACAUGAAUAAUUUAUUUGGAUAAGCUGUUCUAUGACUUCCAUACGACGGUCGAGACUACUAUCGAAGAAUUGAAUGAUUGAAAGGCUGUUAUAAUGUGUCGAAUGUCCUAUUUAAAUGAGUUCUAUGAUUCGAAGGAGGAGAAAAUGUAAAGUAAGAAAUCAAAAGGUUAUGUAAAACUACUAAAAAUUAUGUGACUCCUACAUAUACAAGUUGUUGUAGGAUUCUCAAAUGGCGGCACAGACAACUUCGAAACAAGAAACGAAGCAAGGCUUCUAUCACUUAUCGGUAAUGCUAUUUAAACAUGUUUUAAGUUUCACAAAAAUAGAAAAUCUACCAUGAUGGAUAAAAACGGUUAAUAAAUGUACCAAAUUGUCUAAUUUCUAUAGGUAAGUUGCUAUCUGAGGUGCAUAUAGAUGCACAGACUACCCUCGAAGCAUGAAAUGGUGGAAAUGAUGUCGGAAUAUGUCGAUGAUGCUUCAGUAAUAGGUUUUCAGUUUUCAAUGAAAUGAAAAUCUGUAGUGAUGGAUCAAAAGGGAACAAAAUUGUUGAUGGAAUUAAAUGGUUNNNNNNNNNNUACAAGUUGUUGUAGGAUUUUCAAAUGGCGGCACAGACAACUUCGAAACAAGAAACGAAGCAAGGCUUCUAUCACUUAUCGGUAAUGCUAUUUAAACAUGUUUUCAGUUUCACAAAAAUAGAAAAUCUACCAUGAUGGAUAAAAACGGUUAAUAAAUGUACCAAAUUGUCUAAUUUCUAUAGGUAAGUUGCUAUCUGAGGUGCAUAUAGAUGCACAGACUACCCUCGAAACAUGAAAUGGUGGAAAUGAUGUCGGAAUAUGUCGAUGAUGCUUCAUUAAUAGGUUUUCUGUUUUCAACGAAAUGAAAAUCUAUAGUGAUGGAUCAAAAGGGAACAAAAUUGUUGAUGGAAUUAAAUGAUUACUAGUUAUAAGUUGUUAUUUGAGAUCCGUAUAUGGUCAAACAUACAACUUCCGAAGCCUGAAAGGAAGAAAUGCCGGUGGAAUUUCUAAAUGAUGCUAUUUAAGUAAGUUUUCUUUUUAGCGAAUAAAAAAUCUACGGUAACGGAUCAAAAGUUUAUGUAAAGGUGCUAAACAUGAAUAAUUUAUUUGGAUAAGCUGUUCUAUGACUUCCAUACGACGGUCGAGACUACUAUCGAAGAAUUGAAUGAUUGAAAGGCUGUUAUAAUGUGUCGAAUGUCCUAUUUAAAUGAGUUCUAUGAUUCGAAGGAGGAGAAAAUGUAAAGUAAGAAAUCAAAAGGUUAUGUAAAACUACUAAAAAUUAUGUGACUCCUACAUAUACAAGUUGUUGUAGGAUUCUCAAAUGGCGGCACAGACAACUUCGAAACAAGAAACGAAGCAAGGCUUCUAUCACUUAUCGGUAAUGCUAUUUAAACAUGUUUUAAGUUUCACAAAAAUAGAAAAUCUACCAUGAUGGAUAAAAACGGUUAAUAAAUGUACCAAAUUGUCUAAUUUCUAUAGGUAAGUUGCUAUCUGAGGUGCAUAUAGAUGCACAGACUACCCUCGAAGCAUGAAAUGGUGGAAAUGAUGUCGGAAUAUGUCGAUGAUGCUUCAGUAAUAGGUUUUCAGUUUUCAAUGAAAUGAAAAUCUGUAGUGAUGGAUCAAAAGGGAACAAAAUUGUUGAUGGAAUUAAAUGGUUUCUAGUUAUAAGUUGUUAUUUGAGAUCCGUAUAUGGUCAAACAUACAACUUCCGAAGCCUGAAAGGAAGAAAUGCCGGUGGAAUUUCUAAAUGAUGCUAUUUAAGUAAGUUUUCUUUUUAGCGUAUAAAAAAUCUACGGGAACGGAUCAAAAGUUUAUGUAAUGGUGCUAAACAUGAAUAAUUUAUUUGGAUAAGCUGUUCUAUGACUUCCAUACGACGGUCGAGACUACUAUCGAAGAAUUGAAUGAUUGAAAGGCAGUUAUAAUGUGUCGAAUGUCCUAUUUAAAUGAGUUCUAUGAUUUGAAGGAGGAGAAAAUGUAAAGUAAUAAAUCAAAAGGUUAUGUAAAACUACUAAAAAUUAUGUGACUCCUGCAUAUAUAAGUUGUUGUAGGAUUUUCAAAUGGCGGCACAGACAACUUCGAAACAAGAAACGAAGCAAGGCUUCUAUCACUUAUCGGUAAUGCUAUUUAAACAUGUUUUUAGUUUCACAAAAAUAGAAAAUCUACCAUGAUGGAUAAAUAUGGUUAAUAAAUGUACCAAAUUGUAUAAUUUCUAUAGGUAAGUUGCUAUCUGAGGUGCAUAUAGAUGCACAGACUACCCUCGAAGCAUGAAAUGGUGGAAAUGAUGUCGGAAUAUGUCGAUGAUGCUUCAUUAAUAGGUUUUCUGUUUUCAACGAAAUGAAAAUCUAUAGUGAUGGAUCAAAAGGGAACAAAAUUGUUGAUGGAAUUAAAUGAUUACUAGUUAUAAGUUGUUAUUUGAGAUCCGUAUAUGGUCAAACAUACAACUUCCGAAGCCUGAAAGGAAGAAAUGCCGGUGGAAUUUCUAAAUGAUGCUAUUUAAGUAAGUUUUCUAUUUAGCGAAUAAAAAAUCUACGGUAACGGAUCAAAAGUUUAUGUAAAGGUGCUAAACAUGAAUAAUUUAUUUGGAUAAGCUGUUCUAUGACUUCCAUACGACGGUCGAGACUACUAUCGAAGAAUUGAAUGAUUGAAAGGCUGUUAUAAUGUGUCGAAUGUCCUAUUUAAAUGAGUUCUAUGAUUCGAAGGAGGAGAAAAUGUAAAGCAAGAAAUCAAAAGGUUAUGUAAAACUACUAAAAAUUAUGUGACUCCUACAUAUACAAGUUGUUGUAGGAUUUUCAAAUGGCGGCACAGACAACUUCGAAACAAGAAACGAAGCAAGGCUUCUAUCACUUAUCGGUAAUGCUAUUUAAACAUGUUUUCAGUUUCACAAAAAUAGAAAAUCUACCAUGAUGGAUAAAAACGGUUAAUAAAUGUACCAAAUUGUCUAAUUUCUAUAGGUAAGUUGCUAUCUGAGGUGCAUAUAGAUGCACAGACUACCCUCGAAACAUGAAAUGGUGGAAAUGAUGUCGGAAUAUGUCGAUGAUGCUUCAUUAAUAGGUUUUCUGUUUUCAACGAAAUGAAAAUCUAUAGUGAUGGAUCAAAAGGGAACAAAAUUGUUGAUGGAAUUAAAUGAUUACUAGUUAUAAGUUGUUAUUUGAGAUCCGUAUAUGGUCAAACAUACAACUUCCGAAGCCUGAAAGGAAGAAAUGCCGGUGGAAUUUCUAAAUGAUGCUAUUUAAGUAAGUUUUCUUUUUAGCGAAUAAAAAAUCUACGGUAACGGAUCAAAAGUUUAUGUAAAGGUGCUAAACAUGAAUAAUUUAUUUGGAUAAGCUGUUCUAUGACUUCCAUACGACGGUCGAGACUACUAUCGAAGAAUUGAAUGAUUAAAGGCUGUUAUAAUGUGUCGAAUGUCCUAUUUAAAUGAGUUCUAUGAUUCGAAGGAGGAGAAAAUGUAAAGUAAGAAAUCAAAAGGUUAUGUAAAACUACUAAAAAUUAUGUGACUCCUGCAUAUACAAGUUGUUGUAGGAUUUUCAAAUGGCGGCACAGACAACUUCGAAACAAGAAACGAAGCAAGGCUUCUAUCACUUAUCGGUAAUGCUAUUUAAACAUGUUUUUAGUUUCACAAAAAUAGAAAAUCUACCAUGAUGGAUAAAAACGGAUAAUAAAUGUACCAAAUUGUCUAAUUUCUAUAGGUAAGUUGCUAUCUGAGGUGCAUAUAGAUGCACAAACUACCCUCGAAGCAUGAAAUGGUGGAAAUGAUGUCGGAAUAUGUCGAUGAUGCUUCAUUAAUAGGUUUUCUGUUUUCAACGAAAUGAAAAUCUAUAGUGAUGGAUCAAAAGGGAACAAAAUUGUUGAUGGAAUUAAAUGAUUACUAGUUAUAAGUUGUUAUUUGAGAUCCGUAUAUGGUCAAACAUACAACUUCCGAUGCCUGAAAGGAAGAAAUGCCGGUGGAAUUUCUAAAUGAUGCUAUUUAAGUAAGUUUUCUAUUUAGCGAAUAAAAAAUCUACGGUAACGGAUCAAAAGUUUAUGUAAAGGUGCUAAACAUGAAUAAUUUAUUUGGAUAAGCUGUUCUAUGACUUCCAUACGACGGUCGAGACUACUAUCGAAGAAUUGAAUGAUUGAAAGGCUGUUAUAAUGUGUCGAAUGUCCUAUUUAAAUGAGUUCUAUGAUUCGAAGGAGGAGAAAAUGUAAAGUAAGAAAUCAAAAGGUUAUGUAAAACUACUAAAAAUUAUGUGACUCCUGCAUAUACAAGUUGUUGUAGGAUUUUCAAAUGGCGGCACAGACAACUUCGAAACAAGAAACGAAGCAAGGCUUCUAUCACUUAUCGGUAAUGCUAUUUAAACAUGUUUUUAGUUUCACAAAAAUAGAAAAUCUACCAUGAUGGAUAAAAACGGAUAAUAAAUGUACCAAAUUGUCUAAUUUCUAUAGGUAAGUUGCUAUCUGAGGUGCAUAUAGAUGCACAGACUACCCUCGAAGCAUGAAAUGGUGGAAAUGAUGUCGGAAUAUGUCGAUGAUGCUUCAUUAAUUGGUUUUCUGUUUUCAACGAAAUGAAAAUCUAUAGUGAUGGAUCAAAAGGGAACAAAAUUGGUGAUGGAAUUAAAUGAUUACUAGUUAUAAGUUGUUAUUUGACAUCCGUAUAUGGUCAAACAUACAACUUCCGAAGCCUGAAAGGAAGAAAUGCCGGUGGAAUUUCUAAAUGAUGCUAUUUAAGUAAGUUUUCUUUUUAGCGUAUAAAAAAUUACGGUAACGGAUCAAAAGUUUAUGUAAUGGUGCUAAACAUGAAUAAUUUAUUUGGAUAAGCUGUUCUAUGACUUCCAUACGACGGUCGAGACUAAUAUCGAAGAAUUGAAUGAUUGAAAGGCAGUUAUAAUGUGUCGAAUGUCCUAUUUAAAUGAGUUCUAUGAUUCGAAGGAGGAGAAAAUGUAAAGUAAUAAAUCAAAAGGUUAUGUAAAACUACUAAAAAUUAUGUGACUCCUGCAUAUAUAAGUUGUUGUAGGAUUUUCAAAUGGCAGCACAGACAACUUCGAAACAAGAAACGAAGCAAGGCUUCUAUCACUUACCGGUAAUGCUAUUUAAACAUGUUUUUAGUUUCACAAAAAUAGAAAAUCUACCAUGAUGGAUAAAAAUGGUUAAUAAAUGUACCAAAUUGUAUAUAGGUAAGUUGCUAUCUGAGGUGCAUAUAGAUGCACAUACUACCCUCGAAGCAUGAAAUGGUGGAAAUGAUGUCGGAAUAUGUCGAUGAUGCUUCAUUAAUAGGUUUUCUGUUUUCAACGAAAUGAAAAUCUAUAGUGAUGGAUCAAAAGGGAACAAAAUUGUUGAUGGAAUUAAAUGAUUACUAGUUAUAAGUUGUUAUUUGAGAUCCGUAUAUGGUCAAACAUACAACUUCCGAAGCCUGAAAGGAAGAAAUGCCGGUGGAAUUUCUAAAUGAUGCUAUUUAAGUAAGUUUUCUAUUUAGCGAAUAAAAAAUCUACGGUAACGGAUCAAAAGUUUAUGUAAAGGUGCUAAACAUGAAUAAUUUAUUUGGAUAAGCUGUUCUAUGACUUCCAUACGACGGUCGAGACUACUAUCGAAGAAUUGAAUGAUUGAAAGGCUGUUAUAAUGUGUCGAAUGUGCUAUUUAAAUGAGUUCUAUGAUUCGAAGGAGGAGAAAAUGUAAAGUAAUAAAUCAAAAGGUUAUGUAAAACUACUAAAAAUUAUGUGACUCCUACAUAUACAAGUUGUUGUAGGAUUUUCAAAUGGCGGCACAGACAACUUCGAAACAAGAAACGAAGCAAGGCUUCUAUCACUUAUCGGUAAUGCUAUUUAAACAUGUUUUCAGUUUCACAAAAAUAGAAAAUCUACCAUGAUGGAUAAAAACGGUUAAUAAAUGUACCAAAUUGUCUAAUUUCUAUAGGUAAGUUGCUAUCUGAGGUGCAUAUAGAUGCACAGACUACCCUCGAAACAUGAAAUGAUGUCGGAAUAUGUCGAUGAUGCUUCAUUAAUAGGUUUUCUGUUUUCAACGAAAUGAAAAUCUAUAGUGAUGGAUCAAAAGGGAACAAAAUUGUUGAUGGAAUCAAACGAUUACUAGUUAUAAGUUGUUAUUUGAGAUCCGUAUAUGGUCGAACAUACAACUUCCGAAGCCUGAAAGGAAGAAAUGCCGGUGGAAUUUCUAAAUGAUGCUAUUUAAGUAAGUUUUCUUUUUAGCGAAUAAAAAAUCUACGGUAACGGAUCAAAAGUUUAUGUAAAGGUGCUAAACAUGAAUAAUUUAUUUGGAUAAGCUGUUCUAUGACUUUCAUACGACGGUCGAGACUACUAUCGAAGAAUUGAAUGAUUAAAGGCUGUUAUAAUGUGUCGAAUGUCCUAUUUAAAUGAGUUCUAUGAUUCGAAGGAGGAGAAAAUGUAAAGUAAGAAAUCAAAAGGUUAUGUAAAACUACUAAAAAUUAUGUGACUCCUGCAUAUACAAGUUGUUGUAGGAUUUUCAAAUGGUGGCACAGACAACUUCGAAACAAGAAACGAAGCAAGGCUUCUAUCAUUUAUCGGUAAUGCUACUUAAACAUGUUUUUAGUUUCACAAAAAUAGAAAAUCUACCAUGAUGGAUAAAAACGGAUAAUAAAUGUACCAAAUUGUCUAAUUUCUAUAGGUAAGUUGCUAUCUGAGGUGCAUAUAGAUGCACAGACUACCCUCGAAGCAUGAAAUGGUGGAAAUGAUGUCGGAAUAUGUCGAUGAUGCUUCAUUAAUAGGUUUUCUGUUUUCAACGAAAUGAAAAUCUAUAGUGAUGGAUCAAAAGGGAACAAAAUUGGUGAUGGAAUUAAAUGAUUACUAGUUAUAAGUUGUUAUUUGAGAUCCGUAUAUGGUCAAACAUACAACUUCCGAAGCCUGAAAGGAAGAAAUGCCGGUGGAAUUUCUAAAUGAUGCUAUUUAAGUAAGUUUUCUUUUUAGCGUAUAAAAAAUCUACGGUAACGGAUCAAAAGUUUAUGUAAUGGUGCUAAACAUGAAUAAUUUAUUUGGAUAAGCUGUUCUAUGACUUCCAUACGACGGUCGAGACUACUAUCGAAGAAUUGAAUGAUUAAAAGGCUGUUAUAAUGUGUCGAAUGUCCUAUUUAAAUGAGUUCUAUGAUUCGAAGGAGGAGAAAAUGUAAAGUAAGAAAUCAAAAGGUUAUGUAAAACUACUAAAAAUUAUGUGACUCCUACAUAUAUAAGUUGUUGUAGGAUUUUCAAAUGGCGGCACAGACAACUUCGAAACAAGAAACGAAGCAAGGCUUCUAUCACUUAUCGGUAAUGCUAUUUAAACAUGUUUUUAGUUUCACAAAAAUAGAAAAUCUACCAUGAUGGAUAAAAACGGUUAAUAAAUGUACCAAAUUGUCUAAUUUCUAUAGGUAAGUUGCUAUCUGAGGUGCAUAUAGAUGCACAGACUACCCUCGAAGCAUGAAAUGGUGGAAAUGUUGUCGGAAUAUGUCGAUGAUGCUUCAUUAAUAGGUUUUCUGUUUUCAACGAAAUGAAAAUCUAUAGUGAUGGAUCAAAAGGGAACAAAAUUGUUGAUGGAAUUAAAUGAUUACUAGUUAUAAGUUGUUAUUUGAGAUCCGUAUAUGUUCAAACAUACAACUUCCGAAGCCUGAAAGGAAGAAAUGCCGGUGGAAUUUCUAAAUGAUGCUAUUUAAGUAAGUUUUCUUUUUAGCGUAUAAAAAAUCUACGGUAACGGAACAAAAGUUUAUGUAAUGGUGCUAAACAAGAAUAAUUUAUUUGGAUGAGCUGUUCUAUGACUUCCAUACGACGGUCGAGACUACUAUCGAAGAAUUGAAUGAUUGAAAGGCUGUUAUAAUGUGUCGAAUGUCCUAUUUAAAUGAGUUCUAUUAUUCGAAGGAGGAGAAAAUGUAAAGUAAUAAAUCAAAAGGUUAUGUAAAACUACUAAAAAUUAUGUGACUCCUACGUAUAUAAGUUGUUGUAGGAUUUUCAAAUGGCCGCACAGACAACUUCGAAACAAGAAACGAAGCAAGGCUUCUAUCACUUAUCGGUAAUGCUAUUUAAACAUGUUUUUAGUUUCACAAAAAUAGAAAAUCUAGCAUGAUGGAUAAAAACGGUUAAUAAAUGUACCAAAUUGUCUAAUUUCUAUAGGUAAGUUGCUAUCUGAGGUGCAUAUAGAUGCACAGACUACCCUCGAAGCAUGAAAUGGUGGAAAUGUGGUCGGAAUAUGUCGAUGAUGCUUCAUUAAUAGGUUUUCUGUUUUCAACGAAAUGAAAAUCUAUAGUGAUGGAUCAAAAGGGAACAAAAUUGUUGAUGGAAUUAAAUGAUUACUAGUUAUAAGUUGUUAUUUGAGAUCCGUAUAUGGUCAAACAUACAACUUCCGAAGCCUGAAAGGAAGAAAUGCCGGUGGAAUUUCUAAAUGAUGCUAUUUAAGUAAGUUUUCUUUUUAGCGAAUAAAAAAUCUACGGUAACGGAUCAAAAGUUUAUGUAAAGGUGCUAAACAUGAAUAAUUUAUUUGGAUAAGCUGUUCUAUGACUUCCAUACGACGGUCGAGACUACUAUCGAAGAAUUGAAUGAUUGAAAGGCUGUUAUAAUGUGUCGAAUGUCCUAUUUAAAUGAGUUCUAUGAUUCGAAGGUGGAGAAAAUGUAAAGUAAGAAAUCAAAAGGUUAUAUAAAACUACUAAAAAUUAUGUGACUCCUACAUAUACAAGUUGUUGUAGGAUUUUCAAAUGGCGGCACAGACAACUUCGAAACAAGAAACGAAGCAAGGCUUCUAUCACUUAUCGGUAAUGCUAUUUAAACAUGUUUUUACUUUCACAAAAAUAGAAAAUCUACCAUGAUGGAUAAAAACGGUUAAUAAAUGUACCAAAUUGUCUAAUUUCUAUAGGUAAGUUGCUAUCUGAGGUGCAUAUAGAUGCACAGACUACCCUCGAAGCAUGAAAUGGUGGAAAUGAUGUCGGAAUAUGUCGAUGAUGCUUCAUUAAUAGGUUUUCAGUUUUCAAUGAAAUGAAAAUCUAUAGUGAUGGAUCAAAAGGGAACAAAAUUGUUUAUGGAAUUAAAUGAUUACUAGUUAUAAGUUGUUAUUUGAGAUCCGUAUAUGGUCACACAUACAACUUCCGAAGCCUGAAAGGAAGAAAUGCCGGUGGAAUUUCUAAAUGAUGCUAUUUAAGUAAGUUUUCUUUUUAGCGUAUAAAAAAUCUACGGUAACGGAUCAAAAGUUUAUGUAAUGGUGCUAAACAUGAAUAAUUUAUUUGGAUAAGCUGUUCUAUGACUUCCAUACGACGGUCGAGACUACUAUCGAAGAAUUGAAUGAUUGAAAGGCUGUUAUAAUGUGUCGAAUGUCCUAUUUAAAUGAGUUCUAUGAUUCGAAGGAGGAGAAAAUGUAAAGUAAGAAAUCAAAAGGUUAUGUAAAACUACUAAAAAUUAUGUGACUCCUACAUAUAAGUUGUUGUAGGAUUUUCAAAUGGCGGCACAGACAACUUCGAAACAAGAAACGAAGCAAGGCUUCUAUCACUUAUCGGUAAUGCUAUUUAAACAUGUUUUUAGUUUCACAAAAAUAGAAAAUCUACCAUGAUGGAUAAAAACGGUUAAUAAAUGUACCAAAUUGUCUAAUUUCUAUAGGUAAGUUGCUAUCUGAGGUGCAUAUAGAUGCACAGACUACCCUCGAAGCAUGAAAUGGUGGAAAUGUUGUCGGAAUAUGUCGAUGAUGCUUCAUUAAUAGGUUUUCUGUUUUCAACGAAAUGAAAAUCUAUAGUGAUGGAUCAAAAGGGAACAAAAUUGUUGAUGGAAUUAAAUGAUUACUAGUUAUAAGUUGUUAUUUGAGAUCCGUAUAUGGUCAAACAUACAACUUCCGAAGCCUGAAAGGAAGAAAUGCCGGCGGAAUUUCUAAAUGAUGCUAUUUAAGUAAGUUUUCUUUUUAGCGAAUAAAAAAUCUACGGUAACGGAUCAAAAGUUUAUGUAAAGGUGCUAAACAUGAAUAAUUUAUUUGGAUAAGCUGUUCUAUGACUUCCAUACGACGGUCGAGACUACUAUCGAAGAAUUGAAUGAUUGAAAGGCUGUUAUAAUGUGUCGAAUGUCCUAUUUAAAUGAGUUCUAUGAUUCGAAGGAGGAGAAAAUGUAAAGUAUGAAAUCAAAAGGUUAUGUAAAACUACUAAAAAUUAUGUGACUCCUACAUAUACAAGUUGUUGUAGGAUUUUCAAAUGGCGGCACAGACAACUUCGAAACAAGAAACGAAGCAAGGCUUCUAUCACUUAUCGGUAGUGCUAUUUAAACAUGUUUUUACUUUCACUAAAAUAGAAAAUCUACCAUGAUGGAUAAAAACGGUUAAUAAAUGUACCAAAUUGUCUAAUUUCUAUAGGUAAGUUGCUAUCUGAGGUGCAUAUAGAUGCACAGACUACCCUCGAAGCAUGAAAUGGUGGAAAUGAUGUCGGAAUAUGUCGAUGAUGCUUCAUUAAUAGGUUUUCAGUUUUCAAUGAAAUGAAAAUCUAUAGUGAUGGAUCAAAAGGGAACAAAAUUGUUGAUGGCAUUAAAUGAUUACUAGUUAUAAGUUGUUAUUUGAGAUCCGUAUAUGGUCAAACAUACAACUUCCGAAGCCUGAAAGGAAGAAAUGCCGGUGGAAUUUCUAAAUGAUGCUAUUUAAGUAAGUUUUCUUUUUAGCGUAUAAAAAAUCUACGGUAACGGAACAAAAGUUUAUGUAAUGGUGCUAAACAUGAAUAAUUUAUUUGGAUAAGCUGUUCUAUGACUUCCAUACGACGGUCGAGACUACUAUCGAAGAAUUGAAUGAUUGAAAGGCUGUUAUAAUGUGUCGAAUGUCCUAUUUAAAUGAGUUCUAUGAUUCGAAGGAGGAGAAAAUGUAAAGUAAUAAAUCAAAAGGUUAUGUAAAACUACUAAAAAUUAUGUGACUCCUACAUAUAUAAGUUGUUGUAGGAUUUUCAAAUGGCGGCACAGACAACUUCGAAACAAGAAACGAAGCAAGGCUUCUAUCACUUAUCGGUAAUGCUAUUUAAACAUGUUUUUAGUUUCACAAAAAUAGAAAAUAUACCAUGAUGGAUAAAAACGGUUAAUAAAUGUACCAAAUUGUCUAAUUUCUAUAGGUAAGUUGCUAUCUGAGGUGCAUAUAGAUGCACAGACUACCCUCGAAGCAUGAAAUGGUGGAAAUGUUGUCGGAAUAUGUCGAUGAUGCUUCAUUAAUAGGUUUUCUGUUUUCAACGAAAUGAAAAUCUACAGUGAUGGAUCAAAAGGGAACAAAAUUUUUGAUGGAAUUAAAUGAUUACUAGUUAUAAGUUGUUAUUUGAGAUCCGUAUAUGGUGAAACAUACAACUUCCGAAGCCUGAAAGGAAGAAAUGCCGGUGGAAUUUCUAAAUGAUGCUAUUUAAGUAAGUUUUCUUUUUAGCGAAUAAAAAAUCUACGGUAACGGAUCAAAAGUUUAUGUAAAGGUGCUAAACAUGAAUAAUUUAUUUGGAUAAGCUGUUCUAUGACUUCCAUACGACGGUCGAGACUAGUAUCGAAGAAUUGAAUGAUUGAAAGACUGUUAUAAUGUGUCGAAUGUCCUAUUUAAAUGAGUUCUAUGAUUCGAAGGAGGAGAAAAUGUAAAGUAAGAAAUCAAAAGGUUAUGUAAAACUACUAAAAAUUAUGUGACUCCUACAUAUACAAGUUGUUGUAGGAUUUUCAAAUGGCGGCACAGACAACUUCGAAACAAGAAACGAAGCAAGGCUUCUAUCACUUAUCGGUAAUGCUAUUUAAACAUGUUUUUACUUUCACUAAAAUCGAAAAUCUACAAUGAUGGAUAAAAACGGUUAAUAAAUGUACCAAAUUGUCUAAUUUCCAUAGGUAAGUUGCUAUCUGAGGUGCAUAUAGAUGCACAGACUACCCUCGAAGCAUGAAAUGGUGGAAAUGAUGUCGGAAUAUGUCGAUGAUGCUUCAUUAAUAGGUUUUCAGUUUUCAAUGAAAUGAAAAAUCUAUAGUGAUGGAUCAGAAGGGAACAAAAUUGUUUAUGGAAUUAAAUGAUUACUAGUUAUAAGUUGUUAUUUGAGAUCCGUAUAUGGUCAAACAUACAACUUCCGAAGCCUGAAAGGAAGAAAUGCCGGUGGAAUUUCUAAAUGAUGCUAUUUAUGUAAGUUUUGUUUUUAGCGUAUAAAAAAUCUACGGUAACGGAUCAAAAGUUUAUGUAAUGGUGCUAAACAUGAAUAAUUUAUUUGGAUAAGCUAUUCCAUGACUUCCAUACGACGGUCGACACUACUAUCGAAGAAUUGAAUGAUUGAAAGGCUGUUAUAAUGUGUCGAAUGUCCUAUUUAAAUGAGUUCUAUGAUUUGAAGGAGGAGAAAAUGUAAAGUAAUAAAUCAAAAGGUUAUGUAAAACUACUAAAAAUUAUGUUUCUCCUACAUAUAUAAGUUGUUGUAGGAUUUUCAAAUGGCGGCACAGACAACUUCGAAACAAGAAACGAAGCAAGGUUUCUAUCACUUAUUGGUAAUGCUAUUUAAACAUGUUUUUAGUUUCACAAAAAUAGAAAAUCUACCAUGAUGGAUAAAAACGGUUAAUAAAUGUACCACAUUGUCUAAUUUCUAUAGGUAAGUUGCUAUCUGAGGUGCAUAUAGAUGCAUAGACUACCCUCGAAGCAUGAAAUGGUGGAAAUGAUGUCGGAAUAUGUCGAUGAUGCUUCAUUAAUAGGUUUUCAGUUUUCAAUGAAAUGAAAAUCUAUAGUGAUGGAUCAAAAGGGAACAAAAUUGUUGAUGGCAUUAAAUGAUUACUAGUUAUAAGUUGUUAUUUGAGAUCCGUAUAUGGUCAAACAUACAACUUCCGAAGCCUGAAAGGAAGAAAUGCCGGUGGAAUUUCUAAAUGAUGCUAUUUAAGUAAGUUUUCUUUUUAGCGUAUAAAAAAUCUACGGUAACGGAACAAAAGUUUAUGUAAUGGUGCUAAACAUGAAUAAUUUAUUUGGAUGAGCUGUUCUAUGACUUCCAUACGACGGUCGACACUACUAUCGAAGAAUUGAAUGAUUGAAAGGCUGUCAUAAUGUGUCGAAUGUCCUAUUUAAAUGAGUUCUAUGAUUCGAAGGAGGAGAAAAUGUAAAGUAAGAAAUCAAAAGGUUAUGUAAAACUACUAAAAAUUAUGUGACUCCUACAUAUAUAAGUUGUUGUAGGAUUUUCAAAUGGCGGCACAGACAACUUCGAAACAAGAAACGAAGCAAGGCUUCUAUCACUUAUCGGUAAUGCUAUUUAAACAUGUUUUUAGUUUCACAAAAAUAGAAAAUCUACCAUGAUGGAUAAAAACGGUUAAUAAAUGUACCAAAUUGUCCAAUUUCUAUAGGUAAGUUGCUAUCUGAGGUGCAUAUAGAUGCAUAGACUACCCUCGAAGCAUGAAAUGGUGGAAAUGAUGUCGGAAUAUGUCGAUGAUGCUUCAUUAAUAGGUUUUCUGUUUUGAACGAAAUGAAAAUCUAUAGUGAUGGAUCAAAAGGGAACAAAAUUGGUGAUGGCAUUAAAUGAUUACUAGUUAUAAGUUGUUAUUUGAGAUCCAUAUAUGGUCAAACAUACAACUUCCGAAGCUUGAAAGGAAGAAAUGCCGGUGGAAUUUCUAAAUGAUGCUAUUUAAGUAAGUUUUCUUUUUAGCGUAUAAAAAAUCUACGGCAACGGAACAAAAGUUUAUGUAAUGGUGCUAAACAUGAAUAAUUUAUUUGGAUGAGCUGUUCUAUGACUUCCAUACGACGGUCGACACUACUAUCGAAGAAUUGAAUGAUUGAAAGGCUGUUAUAAUGUGUCGAAUGUCCUAUUUAAAUGAGUUCUAUGAUUCGAAGGAGGAGAAAAUGUAAAGUAAUAAAUCAAAAGGUUAUGUAAAACUACUAAAAAUUAUGUGACUCCUACAUAUACAAGUUGUUGUAGGAUUUUCAAAUGGCGGCAAAGACAACUUCGAAACAAGAAACGAAGCAAGGCUUCUAUCACUUAUCGGUAAUGCUAUUUAAACAUGUUUUUAGUUUCACAAAAAUAGAAAAUCUACCAUGAUGGAUAAAAACGGUUAAUAAAUGUACCAAAUUGUCCAAUUUCUAUAGGUAAGUUGCUAUCUGAGGUGCAUAUAGAUGCACAGACUACCCUCGAAGCAUGAAAUGGUGGAAAUGAUUUCGGAAUAUGUCGAUGAUGCUUCAUUAAUAGGUUUUCUGUUUUCAACGAAAUGAAAAUCUAUAGUGAUGGAUCAAAAGGGAACAAAAUUGGUGAUGGAAUUAAAUGAUUACUAGUUAUAAGUUGUUAUUUGAGAUCCAUAUAUGGUCAAACAUACAACUUCCGAAGCUUGAAAGGAAGAAAUGCUGGUGGAAUUUCUAAAUGAUGCUAUUUAAGUAAGUUUUCUUUUUAGCGAAUAAAAAAUCUACGGUAACGGAUCAAAAGUUUAUGUAAAGGUGCUAAACAUGAAUAAUUUAUUUGGAUAAGCUGUUCUAUGACUUCCAUACGACGGUCGACACUACUAUCGAAGAAUUGAAUGAUUGAAAGGCUGUUAUAAUGUGUCGAAUGUCCUAUUUAAAUGAGUUCUAUGAUUCGAAGGAGGAGAAAAUGUAAAGUAAGAAAUCAAAAUGUUAUGUAAAACUACUAAAAAUUAUGUGACUCCUACAUAUACAAGUUGUUGUAGGAUUUUCAAAUGGCGGCACAGACAACUUCGAAACAAGAAACGAAGCAAGCUUCUAUCACUUAUCGGUAAUGCUAUUUAAACAUGUUUUUACUUUCACAAAAAUAGAAAAUCUACCAUGAUGGAUAAAAACGGUUAAUAAAUGUACCAAAUUGUCUAAUUUCUAUAGGUAAGUUGCUAUCUGAGGUGCAUAUAGAUGCACAGACUACCCUCGAAGCAUGAAAUGGUGGAAAUGAUGUCGGAAUAUGUCGAUGAUGCUUCAUUAAUAGGUUUUCAGUUUUCAAUGAAAUGAAAAUCUAUAGUGAUGGAUCAAAAGGGAACAAAAUUGUUGAUGGCAUUAAAUGAUUACUAGUUAUAAGUUGUUAUUUGAGAUCCGUAUAUGGUCAAACAUACAACUUCCGAAGCCUGAAAGGAAGAAAUGCCGGUGGAAUUUCUAAAUGAUGCUAUUUAAGUAAGUUUUCUUUUUAGCGUAUAAAAAAUCUACGGUAACGGAACAAAAGUUUAUGUAAUGGUGCUAAACAUGAAUAAUUUAUUUGGAUGAGCUGUUCUAUGACUUCCAUACGACGGUCGAGACUACUAUCGAAGAAUUGAAUGAUUGAAAGGCUGUUAUAAUGUGUCGAAUGUCCUAUUUAAAUGAGUUCUAUGAUUCGAAGGAGGAGAAAAUGUAAAGUAAUAAAUCAAAAGGUUAUGUAAAACUACUAAAAAUUAUGUGACUCCUACAUAUAUAAGUUGUUGUAGGAUUUUCAAAUGGCGGCACAGACAACUUCGAAACAAGAAACGAAGCAAGGCUUCUAUCACUUAUCGGUAAUGCUAUUUAAACAUGUUUUUAGUUUCACAAAAAUAGAAAAUCUACCAUGAUGGAUAAAAACGGUUAAUAAAUGUACCAAAUUGUCCAAUUUCUAUAGGUAAGUUGCUAUCUGAGGUGCAUAUAGAUGCACAGACUACCCUCGAAGCAUGAAAUGGUGGAAAUGAUUUCGGAAUAUGUCGAUGAUGCUUCAUUAAUAGGUUUUCUGUUUUCAACGAAAUGAAAAUCUAUAGUGAUGGAUCAAAAGGGAACAAAAUUGGUGAUGGAAUUAAAUGAUUACUAGUUAUAAGUUGUUAUUUGAGAUCCAUAUAUGGUCAAACAUACAACUUCCGAAGCUUGAAAGGAAGAAAUGCCGGUGGAAUUUCUAAAUGAUGCUAUUUAAGUAAGUUUUCUUUUUAGCGAAUAAAAAAUCUACGGUAACGGAUGAAAAUUUUAUGUAAAGGUGCAAAACAUGAAUAAUUUAUUUGGAUAAGCUGUUCUAUGACUUCCAUACGACGGUCGACACUACUAUCGAAGAAUUGAAUGAUUGAAAGGCUGUUAUAAUGUGUCGAAUGUCCUAUUUAAAUGAGUUCUAUGAUUCGAAGGAGGAGAAAAUGUAAAGUAAGAAAUCAAAAGGUUAUGUAAAACUACUAAAAAUUAUGUGACUCCUACAUAUACAAGUUGUUGUAGGAUUUUCAAAUGGCGGCACAGACAACUUCGAAACAAGAAACGAAGCAAGGUUUCUAUCACUUAUUGGUAAUGCUAUUUAAACAUGUUUUUAGUUUCACAAAAAUAGAAAAUCUACCAUGAUGGAUAAAAAACGGUUAAUAAAUGUACCAAAUUGUCCAAUUUCUAUAGGUAAGUUGCUAUCUGAGGUGCAUAUAGAUGCACAGACUACCCUCGAAGCAUGAAAUGGUGGAAAUGAUUUCGGAAUAUGUCGAUGAUGCUUCAUUAAUAGGUUUUCAGUUUUCAACGAAAUGAAAAUCCAUAGUGAUGGAUCAAAAGGGAACAAAAUUGGUGAUGGAAUUAAAUGAUUACUAGUUAUAAGUUGUUAUUUGAGAUCGGUAUAUGGUCAAACAUACAACUUCCGAAGCCAGAAAGGAAGAAAUGCCGGUGGAAUUUCUAAAUGAUGCUAUUUAAUUAAGUUUUCUUUUUAGCGUAUAAAAAAUCUACGGUAACGGAUCAAAAGUUUAUGUAAAGGUGCUAAACAUGAAUAAUUUAUUUGGAUAAGUUGUUCUAUGACUUCCAUACGACGGUCGAGACUACUAUCGAAGAAUUGAAUGAUUGAAAGGCUGUUAUAAUGUGUUGAAUGUCCUAUUUAAAUGAGUUCUAUGAUUCGAAGGAGGAGAAAAAUGUAAAGUAAUAAAUCAAAAGGUUAUGUAAAACUACUAAAAAUUAUGUGACUCCUACAUAUACAAGUUGUUGUAGGAUUUUCAAAUGGCGGCACAGACAACUUCGAAACAAGAAACGAAGCAAGCUUCUAUCACUUAUCGGUAAUGCUAUUUAAACAUGUUAUUACUUUCACAAAAAUAGAAAGUCUACCAUGAUGGAUAAAAACGGUUAAUAAAUGUACCAAAUUGUCUAAUUUCUAUAGGUAAGUUGCUAUCUGAGGUGCAUAUAGAUGCACAGACUACCCUCGAAGCAUGAAAUGGUGGAAAUGAUGUCGGAAUAUGUCGAUGAUGCUUCAUUAAUAGGUUUUCAGUUUUCAAUGAAAUGAAAAUCUAUAGUGAUGGAUCAAAAGGGAACAAAAUUGUUGAUGGCAUUAAAUGAUUACUAGUUAUAAGUUGUUAUUUGAGAUCCGUAUAUGGUCAAACAUACAACUUCCGAAACCUGAAAGGAAGAAAUGCCGGUGGAAUUUCUAAAUGAUGCUAUUUAAGUAAGUUUUCUUUUUAGCGUAUAAAAAAUCUACGUUAACGGAAAAAAAGUUUAUGUAAUGGUGCUAAACAUGAAUAAUUUAUUUGGAUGAGCUGUUCUAUGACUUCCAUACGACGGUCGAGACUACUAUCGAAGAAUUGAAUGAUUGAAAGGCUGUUAUAAUGUGUCGAAUGUCCUAUUUAAAUGAGUUCUAUGAUUCGAAGGAGGAGAAAAUGUAAAGUAAUAAAUCAAAAGGUUAUGUAAAACUACUAAAAAUUAUGUGACUCCUACAUAUAUAAGUUGUUGUAGGAUUUUCAAAUGGCGGCACAGACAACUUCGAAACAAGAAACGAAGCAAGGCUUCUAUCACUUAUCGGUAAUGCUAUUUAAACAUGUUUUUAGUUUCACAAAAAUAGAAAAUCUACCAUGAUGGAUAAAAACGGUUAAUAAAUGUACCAAAUUGUCCAAUUUCUAUAGGUAAGUUGCUAUCUGAGGUGCAUAUAGAUGCACAGACUACCCUCGAAGCAUGAAAUGGUGGAAAUGAUUUCGGAAUAUGUCGAUGAUGCUUCAUUAAUAGGUUUUCUGUUUUCAACGAAAUGAAAAUCUAUAGUGAUGGAUCAAAAGGGAACAAAAUUGGUGAUGGAAUUAAAUGAUUACUAGUUAUAAGUUGUUAUUUGAGAUCCAUAUAUGGUCAAACAUACAACUUCCGAAGCUUGAAAGGAAGAAAUGCCGGUGGAAUUUCUAAAUGAUGCUAUUUAAGUAAGUUUUCUUUUUAGCGAAUAAAAAAUCUACGGUAAGGGAUCAAAAGUUUAUGUAAAGGUGCAAAACAUGAAUAAUUUAUUUGGAUAAGCUGUUCUAUGACUUCCAUACGACGGUCGACACUACUAUCGAAGAAUUGAAUGAUUGAAAGGCUGUUAUAAUGUGUCGAAUGUCCUAUUUAAAUGAGUUCUAUGAUUCGAAGGAGGAGAAAAUGUAAAGUAAGAACUCAAAAGGUUAUGUAAAACUACUAAAAAUUAUGUGACUCCUACAUAUACAAGUUGUUGUAGGAUUUUCUAAUGGCGGCACAGAGAACUUCGAAACAAGAAACGAAGCACGGUUUCUAUCACUUAUUGGUAAUGUUAUUUAAACAUGUUUUUAGUUUCACAAAAAUAGAAAAUCUACCAUGAUGGAUAAAAAACGGUUAAUAAAUGUACCAAAUUGUCCAAUUUCUAUAGGUAAGUUGCUAUCUGAGGUGCAUAUAGAUGCACAGACUACCCUCGAAGCAUGAAAUGGUGGAAAUGAUUUCGGAAUAUGUCGAUGAUGCUUCAUUAAUAGGUUUUCAGUUUUCAACGAAAUGAAAAUCCAUAGUGAUGGAUCAAAAGGGAACAAAAUUGGUGAUGGAAUUAAAUGAUUACUAGUUAUAAGUUGUUAUUUGAGAUCGGUAUAUGGUCAAACAUACAACUUCCGAAGACAGAAAGGAAGAAAUGCCGGUGGAAUUUCUAAAUGAUGCUAUUUAAGUAAGUUUUCUUUUUAGCGUAUAAAAAAUCUACGGUAACGGAUCAAAAGUUUAUGUAAAGGUGCUAAACAUGAAUAAUUUAUUUGGAUAAGUUGUUCUAUGACUUCCAUACGACGGUCGAGACUACUAUCGAAGAAUUGAAUGAUUGAAAGGCUGUUAUAAUGUGUUGAAUGUCCUAUUUAAAUGAGUUCUAUGAUUCGAAGGAGGAGAAAAAUGUAAAGUAAUAAAUCAAAAGGUUAUGUAAAACUACUAAAAAUUAUGUGACUCCUACAUAUAUAAGUUGUUGUAGGAUUUUCAAAUGGCGGCACAGACAACUUCGAAACAAGAAAUGAAGCAAGGCUUCUAUCACUUAUCGGUAAUGCUAUUUAAACAUGUUUUCAGUUUUGCAAAAAUAGAAAAUCUACCUUGAUGGAUAAAAACGGUUAAUAAAUGUAUCAAAUUGUCCAAUUUCUAUAGGUAAGUUGCUAUCUGAGGUGCAUAUAGAUGCACAGAUUACCCUCGAAGCAUGAAAUGGUGGAAAUGAUUUCGGAAUAUGUCGAUGAUGCUUUAUUAAUAAGUUUUCAGUUUUCAACGAAAUGAAAAUCUACAGUGAUGGAUCAAAAGGGAACAAAAUUGGUGAUGGAAUUAAAUGAUUACUAGUUAUAAGUUGUUAUUUGAGAUCCAUAUACGGUCAAACAUACAACUUCCGAUGCUUGAAAGGAAGAAAUGCCGGUGGAAUUUCUAAAUGAUGCUUUUUAAGUAAGUUUUCUUUUUAGCGUAUAAAAAAUCUACGGUAACGGAUCAAAAGUUUAUGUAAAGGUGCUAAACAUGAAUAAUUUAUUUGGAUAAGUUGUUCUAUGACUUCCAUACGACGGUCGAGACUACUAUCGAAGAAUUGAAUGAUUGAAAGGCUGUUAUAAUGUGUCGAAUGUCCUAUUUAAAUGAGUUCUAUGAUUCGAAGGAGGAGAAAAUAUAAAGUAAUAAAUCAAAAGGUUAUGUAAAACUACUAAAAAUUAUGUGACUCCUACAUAUAUAAGUUGUUGUAGGAUUUUCAAAUGGCGGCACAGACAACUUCGAAACAAGAAACGAAGCAAGGCUUCUAUCACUUAUCGGUAAUGCUAUUUAAACAUGUUUUUACUUUCACAAAAAUAGAAAAUCUACCAUGAAGGAUAAAAAACGGUUAAUAAAUGUACCAAAUUGUCCAAUUUCUAUAGGCAAGUUGCUAUCUGAGGUGCAUAUAGAUGCACAGACUACCCUCGAAGCAUGAAACGGUGGAAAUGAUUUCGGAAUAUGUCGAUGAUGCUUCAUUAAUAGGUUUUCAGUUUUCAACGAAAUGAAAAUCUAUAGUGAUGGAUCAAAAGGGAACAAAAUUGGUGAUGGAAUUAAAUGAUUACUAGUUAUAAGUUGUUAUUUGAGAUCCGUAUAUGGUCAAACAUACAACUUCCAAAGCCUGAAAGGAAGAAAUGCCGGUGGAAUUUCUAAAUGAUGCUAUUUAAGUAAGUUUUCUUUUUAGCGUAUAAAAAAUCUACGGUAACGGAUCAAAAGUUUAUGUAAAGGUGCUAAACAUGAAUAAUUUAUUUGGAUAAGUUGUUCUAUGACUUCCAUACGACGGUCGAGACUACUAUCGAAGAAUUGAAUGAUUGAAAGGCGGUUAUAAUGUGUCGAAUGUCCUAUUUAAAUGAGUUCUGUGAUUCGAAGGAGGAGAAAAAUGUAAAGUAAUAAAUCAAAAGGUUAUGUAAAACUACUAAAAAUUAUAUGACUCCUACAUAUAUAAGUUGUUGUAGGAUUUUCAAAUGGCGGCAUAGACAACUUCGAAACAAGAAACGAAGCUAGGCUUCUAUCACUUAUCAUUAAUGCUAUUUAAACAUGUUUUCAGUUUUGCAAAAAUAGAAAAUCUACCAUGAUGGAUAAAAAGGUAAAAACUGUACCAAAUUGCCUAAUUUCUAUAGGUAAGUUGCUAUCUGAGGUGCAUAUAGAUGCACAGACUACCCUCGAAGCAUGAAAUGGUUCAAAUGAUUUCCGAUGGUGGAAAUGAUGUCGGAAUAUGUCGAUGAUGCUUCAUUCAUAGGUUUUCAGUUUUCAACGAAAUGAAAAUGUAUUCUGAUGUAUCAAAAUGGAAAAAAAUUGGUGAUGAAAUUAAAUGAUUACUAGUUAUAAGUUGUUAUACGAGAUCGAUAUGGUCAAACAUACAACUUCUAGAGCUUGAAAAGAAGAAAUGCUAGUGUAAUUUCUAAAUGAUGCUAUUUGAUUAAGUUUUCUUUUUAGCAAACAAAAAAUCUAAGAUAAGGGAUCAAAAGUUUAUGUCAAGGUUCUAAAUAAGAAUAAUUUAUGUGGAUAAGUUGUUCUUUUACUUCCAUACGGCGGUCGAGACUACUCUCGAAGAAUGGAAUGAUAGAAAGGUUGUUAUAAUGUGUCGAAUGUCCUAUUUAAAUUAGUUCUAAGUUUCGAAGGAGGAGAAAAUGUAAAUUAAUAAAUCAAAAGGUAAAAAAACUACUAAAAAUUAUGUGACUCCUACAUAGAUAAGUUGUUGUAGGAUUUUCAAAUGGCGGCAUAGACAACUACGAAACAUUAACGAAGCAAGGCUUCUAUCACUUAUCGGUAAUUCUAUUUAAACAUGUUUUUAGUUCCACAAAAAUAGAAAAUCUACCAUGAUGGAUAAAAAUGGUUAAUAAAUGUACCAAAUUAUCAGAUUUCGAUAGGUAAGUUCCUAUCUGAGGUGCAUAUAGAUGCACAGACUACCCUCGAAGCAUGAAAUGGUGUAAAUGAUUUCGGAAUAUGUCGAUGAUGCUUCAUUAGUAGGAUUUCAGUUUUCAACGAAAUGAAAAUCUAUAGUGAUGGAUCAAAAGGGAACAAAAUUGGUGAUGGAAUUAAAUGAUUACUAGUUAUAAGUUGUUAUUUGAGAUCCGUAUAUGGUCAAACAUACAACUUCCGAAGCCUGAAAGGAAGAAAUGCCGGUGGAAUUUCUAAAUGAUGCCCUUUAAGUAAGUUUUCUUUUUAGCGUAUAAAAAAUGUACGGUAACGGAUCAAAAGUUUAUGUAAUGGUGCUAAACAUGAAUAAUUUAUUUGGAUAAGCUGUUCUAUGACUUGCAUACGACGGUCGAGACUACUAUCGAAUAAUUGAAUGAUUGAAAGGCUGUUAUAAUGUGUUGAAUGUCCUAUUUAAAUGAGUUCUAUGAUUCGAAGGAGGGGAAAAAUGUAAAGUAAUAAAUCAAAAGGUUAUGUAGAACUACUAAAAAUUAUGUGACUCCUACAUAUAUAAGUUGUUGUAGGAUUUUCAAAUGGCGGCACAGACAACUUCGAAACAAGAAACGAAGCAAGGCUUCUAUCACUUAUCGGUAAUGCUAUUUAAACAUGUUUUCAGUUUUGCAAAAAUAGAAAAUCUACCUUGAUGGAUAAAAACGGUUAAUAAAUGUACCGAAUUGUCCAAUUUCUAUAGGUAAGUUGCUAUCUGAGGUGCAUAUAGAUGCACAAACUACCCUCGAAGCAUGAAAUGGUGGAAAUGAUUUCGGAAUAUGUCGAUGAUGCUUCAUUAAGAAGUUUUCAGUUUUCAACGAAAUGAAAAUCUAUAGUGAUGGAUCAAAAGGGAACAAAAUUGGUGAUGGAAUUAAAUGAUUACUAGUUAUAAGUUGUUAUUUGAGAUCCAUAUAUGGUCAAACAUACAACUUCCGAAGCUUGAAAGGAAGAAAUGCCGAUGGAAUUUCUAAAUGAUGCUAUUUAAGUAAGUUUUCUUUUUAGCGAAUAAAAAAUCAACGGUAACGGAUCAAAAGUUUAUGUAAUGGUGCUAAACAUGAAUAAUUUAUUUGGAUGAGCUGUUCUAUGACUUCCAUACGACGGUCGACACUACUAUCGAAGAAUUGAAUGAUUGAAAGGCUGUUAUAAUGUGUCGAAUGUCCUAUUUAAAUGAGUUCUAUGAUUCGAAGGAGGAGAAAAUGUAAAGUAAUAAACCAAAAGGUUAUGUAAAACUACUAAAAAUUAUGUGACUCCUACAUAUACAAGUUGUUGUAGGAUUUUCAAAUGGCGGCACAGACAACUUCGAAACAAGAAACGAAGCAAGGCUUCUAUCACUUAUCGGUAAUGCUAUUUAAACAUGUUUUUAGUUUCACAAAAAUAGAAAAUCUACCAUGAUGGAUAAAAAUGGUUAAUAAAUGUACCAAAUUGUCCAAUUUCUAUAGGUAAGUUGCUAUCUGAGGUGCAUAUAGAUGCACAGACUACCCUCGAAGCAUGAAAUGGUGGAAAUGAUUUCGGAAUAUGUCGAUGAUGCUUCAUUAAUAGGUUUUCUGUUUUCAACGAAAUGAAAAUCUAUAGUGAUGGAUCAAAAGGGAACAAAAUUGGUGAUGGAAUUAAAUGAUUACUAGUUAUAAGUUGUUAUUUGAGAUCCAUAUAUGGUCAAACAUACAACUUCCGAAGCUUGAAAGGAAGAAAUGCUGGUGGAAUUUCUAAAUUAUGCUAUUUAAGUAAGUUUUCUUUUUAGCGAAUAAAAAAUCUACGGUAACGGAUCAAAAGUUUAUGUAAAGGUGCUAAACAUGAAUAAUUUAUUUGGAUAAGCUGUUCUAUGACUUCCAUACGACGGUCGACACUACUAUCGAAGAAUUGAAUGAUUGAAAGGCUGUUAUAAUGUGUCGAAUGUCCUAUUUAAAUGAGUUCUAUGAUUCGAAGGAGGAGAAAAUGUAAAGUAAGAAAUCAAAAGGUUAUGUAAAACUACUAAAAAUUAUGUGACUCCUACAUAUACAAGUUGUUGUAGGAUUUUCAAAUGGCGGCACAGACAACUUCGAAACAAGAAACGAAGCAAGCUUCUAUCACUUAUCGGUAAUGCUAUUUAAACAUGUUUUUACUUUCACAAAAAUAGAAAAUCUACCAUGAUGGAUAAAAACGGUUAAUAAAUGUACCAAAUUGUCUAAUUUCUAUAGGUAAGUUGCUAUCUGAGGUGCAUAUAGAUGCACAGACAACCCUCGAAGCAUGAAAUGGUGGAAAUGAUGUCGGAAUAUGUCGAUGAUGCUUCAUUAAUAGGUUUUCAGUUUUCAAUGAAAUGAAAAUCUAUAGUGAUGGAUCAAAAGGGAACAAAAUUGUUGAUGGCAUUAAAUGAUUACUAGUUAUAAGUUGUUAUUUGAGAUCCGUAUAUGGUCAAACAUACAACUUCCGAAGCCUGAAAGGAAGAAAUGCCGGUGGAAUUUCUAAAUGAUGCUAUUUAAGUAAGUUUUCUUUUUAGCGUAUAAAAAAUCUACGGUAACGGAACAAAAGUUUAUGUAAUGGUGCUAAACAUGAAUAAUUUAUUUGGAUGAGCUGUUCUAUGACUUCCAUACGACGGUCGAGACUACUAUCGAAGAAUUGAAUGAUUGAAAGGCUGUUAUAAUGUGUCCAAUGUCCUAUUUAAAUGAGUUCUAUGAUUCGAAGGAGGAGAAAAUGUAAAGUAAUAAAUCAAAAGGUUAUGUAAAACUACUAAAAAUUAUGUGACUCCUACAUAUAUAAGUUGUUGUAGGAUUUUCAAAUGGCGGCACAGACAACUUCGAAACAAGAAACGAAGCAAGGCUUCUAUCACUUAUCGGUAAUGCUAUUUAAACAUGUUUUUAGUUUCACAAAAAUAGAAAAUCUACCAUGAUGGAUAAAAACGGUUAAUAAAUGUACCAAAUUGUCCAAUUUCUAUAGGUAAGUUGCUAUCUGAGGUGCAUAUAGAUGCACAGACUACCCUCGAAGCAUGAAAUGGUGGAAAUGAUUUCGGAAUAUGUCGAUGAUGCUUCAUUAAUAGGUUUUCUGUUUUCAACGAAAUGAAAAUCUAUAGUGAUGGAUCAAAAGGGAACAAAAUUGGUGAUGGAAUUAAAUGAUUACUAGUUAUAAGUUGUUAUUUGAGAUCCAUAUAUGGUCAAACAUACAACUUCCGAAGCUUGAAAGGAAGAAAUGCCGGUGGAAUUUCUAAAUGAUGCUAUUUAAGUAAGUUUUCUUUUUAGCGAAUAAAAAAUCUACGGUAACGGAUGAAAAUUUUAUGUAAAGGUGCAAAACAUGAAUAAUUUAUUUGGAUAAGCUGUUCUAUGACUUCCAUACGACGGUCGACACUACUAUCGAAGAAUUGAAUGAUUGAAAGGCUGUUAUAAUGCGUCGAAUGUCCUAUUUAAAUGAGUUCUAUGAUUCGAAGGAGGAGAAAAUGUAAAGUAAGAAAUCAAAAGGUUAUGUAAAAGUACUAAAAAUUAUGUGACUCCUACAUAUACAAGUUGUUGUAGGAUUUUCAAAUGGCGGCACAGACAACUUCGAAACAAGAAACGAAGCAAGGUUUCUAUCACUUAUUGGUAAUGCUAUUUAAACAUGUUUUUAGUUUCACAAAAAUAGAAAAUCUACCAUGAUGGAUAAAAAACGGUUAAUAAAUGUACCAAAUUGUCCAAUUUCUAUAGGUAAGUUGCUAUCUGAGGUGCAUAUAGAUGCACAGACUACCCUCGAAGCAUGAAAUGGUGGAAAUGAUUUCGGAAUAUGUCGAUGAUGCUUCAUUAAUAGGUUUUCAGUUUUCAACGAAAUGAAAAUCCAUAGUGAUGGAUCAAAAGGGAACAAAAUUGGUGAUGGAAUUAAAUGAUUACUAGUUAUAAGUUGUUAUUUGAGAUCGGUAUAUGGUCAAACAUACAACUUCCGAAGCCAGAAAGGAAGAAAUGCCGGUGGAAUUUCUAAAUGAUGCUAUUUAAGUAAGUUUUCUUUUUAGCGUAUAAAAAAUCUACGGUAACGGAUCAAAAGUUUAUGUAAAGGUGCUAAACAUGAAUAAUUUAUUUGGAUAAGUUGUUCUAUGACUUCCAUACGACGGUCGAGACUACUAUCGAAGAAUUGAAUGAUUGAAAGGCUGUUAUAAUGUGUCGAAUGUCCUAUUUAAAUGAGUUCUAUGAUUCGAAGGAGGAGAAAAAUGUAAAGUAAUAAAUCAAAAGGUUAUGUAAAACUACUAAAAAUUAUGUGACUCCUACAUAUACAAGUUGUUGUAGGAUUUUCAAAUGGCGGCACAGACAACUUCGAAACAAGAAACGAAGCAAGCUUCUAUCACUUAUCGGUAAUGCUAUUUAAACAUGUUUUUACUUUCACAAAAAUAGAAAGUCUACCAUGAUGGAUAAAAACGGUUAAUAAAUGUACCAAAUUGUCUAAUUUCUAUAGGUAAGUUGCUAUCUGAGGUGCAUAUAGAUGCACAGACUACCCUCGAAGCAUGAAAUGGUGGAAAUGAUGUCGGAAUAUGUCGAUGAUGCUUCAUUAAUAGGUUUUCAGUUUUCAAUGAAAUGAAAAUCUAUAGUGAUGGAUCAAAAGGGAACAAAAUUGUUGAUGGCAUUAAAUGAUUACUAGUUAUAAGUUGUUAUUUGAGAUCCGUAUAUGGUCAAACAUACAACUUCCGAAACCUGAAAGGAAGAAAUGCCGGUGGAAUUUCUAAAUGAUGCUAUUUAAGUAAGUUUUCUUUUUAGCGUAUAAAAAAUCUACGUUAACGGAAAAAAAGUUUAUGUAAUGGUGCUAAACAUGAAUAAUUUAUUUGGAUGAGCUGUUCUAUGACUUCCAUACGACGGUCGAUACUACUAUCGAAGAAUUGAAUGAUUGAAAGGCUGUUAUAAUGUGUCGAAUGUCCUAUUUAAAUGAGUUCUAUGAUUCGAAGGAGGAGAAAAUGUAAAGUAAUAAAUCAAAAGGUUAUGUAAAACUACUAAAAAUUAUGUGACUCCUACAUAUAUAAGUUGUUGUAGGAUUUUCAAAUGGCGGCACAGACAACUUCGAAACAAGAAACGAAGCAAGGCUUCUAUCACUUAUCGGUAAUGCUAUUUAAACAUGUUUUUAGUUUCACAAAAAUAGAAAAUCUACCAUGAUGGAUAAAAACGGUUAAUAAAUGUACCAAAUUGUCCAAUUUCUAUAGGUAAGUUGCUAUCUGAGGUGCAUAUAGAUGCACAGACUACCCUCGAAGCAUGAAAUGGUGGAAAUGAUUUCGGAAUAUGUCGAUGAUGCUUCAUUAAUAGGUUUUCUGUUUUCAACGAAAUGAAAAUCUAUAGUGAUGGAUCAAAAGGGAACAAAAUUGGUGAUGGAAUUAAAUGAUUACUAGUUAUAAGUUGUUAUUUGAGAUCCAUAUAUGGUCAAACAUACAACUUCCGAAGCUUGAAAGGAAGAAAUGCCGGUGGAAUUUCUAAAUGAUGCUAUUUAAGUAAGUUUUCUUUUUAGCGAAUAAAAAAUCUACGGUAACGGAUGAAAAGUUUAUGUAAAGGUGCAAAACAUGAAUAAUUUAUUUGGAUAAGCUGUUCUAUGACUUCCAUACGACGGUCGACACUACUAUCGAAGAAUUGAAUGAUUGAAAGGCUGUUAUAAUGUGUCGAAUGUCCUAUUUAAAUGAGUUCUAUGAUUCGAAGGAGGAGAAAAUGUAAAGUAAGAAAUCAAAAGGUUAUGUAAAACUACUAAAAAUUAUGUGACUCCUACAUAUACAAGUUGUUGUAGGAUUUUCAAAUGGCGGCACAGAGAACUUCGAAACAAGAAACGAAGCACGGUUUCUAUCACUUAUUGGUAAUGCUAUUUAAACAUGUUUUUAGUUUCACAAAAAUAGAAAAUCUACCAUGAUGGAUAAAAAACGGUUAAUAAAUGUACCAAAUUGUCCAAUUUCUAUAGGUAAGUUGCUAUCUGAGGUGCAUAUAGAUGCACAGACUACCCUCGAAGCAUGAAAUGGUGGAAAUGAUUUCGGAAUAUGUCGAUGAUGCUUCAUUAAUAGGUUUUCAGUUUUCAACGAAAUGAAAAUCCAUAGUGAUGGAUCAAAAGGGAACAAAAUUGGUGAUGGAAUUAAAUGAUUACUAGUUAUAAGUUGUUAUUUGAGAUCGGUAUAUGGUCAAACAUACAACUUCCGAAGACAGAAAGGAAGAAAUGCCGGUGGAAUUUCUAAAUGAUGCUAUUUAAGUAAGUUUUCUUUUUAGCGUAUAAAAAAUCUACGGUAACGGAUCAAAAGUUUAUGUAAAGGUGCUAAACAUGAAUAAUUUAUUUGGAUAAGUUGUUCUAUGACUUCCAUACGACGGUCGAGACUACUAUCGAAGAAUUGAAUGAUUGAAAGGCUGUUAUAAUGUGUUGAAUGUCCUAUUUAAAUGAGUUCUAUGAUUCGAAGGAGGAGAAAAAUGUAAAGUAAUAAAUCAAAAGGUUAUGUAAAACUAUUAAAAUUAUGUGACUCCUACAUAUAUAAGUUGUUGUAGGAUUUUCAAAUGGCGGCACAGACAACUUCGAAACAAGAAAUGAAGCAAGGCUUCUAUCACUUAUCGGUAAUGCUAUUUAAACAUGUUUUCAGUUUUGCAAAAAUAGAAAAUCUACCUUGAUGGAUAAAAACGGUUAAUAAAUGUAUCAAAUUGUCCAAUUUCUAUAGGUAAGUUGCUAUCUGAGGUGCAUAUAGAUGCACAGACUACCCUCGAAGCAUGAAAUGGUGGAAAUGAUUUCGGAAUAUGUCGAUGAUGCUUCAUUAAUAGGUUUUCAGUUUUCAACGAAAUGAAAAUCCAUAGUGAUGGAUCAAAAGGGAACAAAAUUGGUGAUGGAAUUAAAUGAUUACUAGUUAUAAGUUGUUAUUUGAGAUCGGUAUAUGGUCAAACAUACAACUUCCGAAGCUUGAAAGGAAGAAAUGCCGGUGGAAUUUCUAAAUGAUGCUUUUUAAGUAAGUUUUCUUUUUAGCGUAUAAAAAAUCUACGGUAACGGAUCAAAAGUUUAUGUAAAGGUGCUAAACAUGAAUAAUUUAUUUGGAUAAGUUGUUCUAUGACUUCCAUACGACGGUCGAGACUACUAUCGAAGAAUUGAAUGAUUGAAAGGCUGUUAUAAUGUGUCGAAUGUCCUAUUUAAAUGAGUUCUAUGAUUCGAAGGAGGAGAAAAUAUAAAGUAAUAAAUCAAAAGGUUAUGUAAAACUACUAAAAAUUAUGUGACUCCUACAUAUAUAAGUUGUUGUAGGAUUUUCAAAUGGCGGCACAGACAACUUCGAAACAAGAAACGAAGCAAGGCUUCUAUCACAUAUCAGUAAUGCUAUUUAAACAUGUUUUUACUUUCACAAAAAUAGAAAAUCUACCAUGAAGGAUAAAAAACGGUUAAUAAAUGUACCAAAUUGUCCAAUUUCUAUAGGCAAGUUGCUAUCUGAGGUGCAUAUAGAUGCACAGACUACCCUCGAAGCAUGAAACGGUGGAAAUGAUUUCGGAAUAUGUCGAUGAUGCUUCAUUAAUAGGUUUUCAGGUUUCAACGAAAUGAAAAUCUAUAGUGAUGGAUCAAAAGGGAACAAAAUUGGUGAUGGAAUUAAAUGAUUACUAGUUAUAAGUUGUUAUUUGAGAUCCGUAUAUGGUCAAACAUACAACUUCCAAAGCCUGAAAGGAAGAAAUGCCGGUGGAAUUUCUAAAUGAUGCUAUUUAAGUAAGUUCUCUUUUUAGCGUAUAAAAAAUCUACGGUAACGGAUCAAAAGUUUAUGUAAAGGUGCUAAACAUGAAUAAUUUAUUUGGAUAAGUUGUUCUAUGACUUCCAUACGACGGUCGAGACUACUAUCGAAGAAUUGAAUGAUUGAAAGGCGGUUAUAAUGUGUCGAAUGUCCUAUUUAAAUGAGUUCUGUGAUUCGAAGGAGGAGAAAAAUGUAAAGUAAUAAAUCAAAAGGUUAUGUAAAACUACUAAAAAUUAUAUGACUCCUACAUAUAUAAGUUGUUGUAGGAUUUUCAAAUGGCGGCAUAGACAACUUCGAAACAAGAAACGAAGCUAGGCUUCUAUCACUUAUCAUUAAUGCUAUUUGAACAUGUUUUCAGUUUUGCAAAAAUAGAAAAUCUACCAUGAUGGAUAAAAAGGUAAAAACUGUACCAAAUUGCCUAAUUUCUAUAGGUAAGUUGCUAUCUGAGGUGCAUAUAGAUGCACAGACUACCCUCGAAGCAUGAAAUGGUUCAAAUGAUUUCCGAUGGUGGAAAUGAUGUCGGAAUAUGUCGAUGAUGCUUCAUUCAUAGGUUUUCAGUUUUCAACGAAAUGAAAAUGUAUUCUGAUGUAUCAAAAUGGAACAAAAUUGGUGAUGAAAUUAAAUGAUUACUAGUUAUAAGUUGUUAUACGAGAUCGAUAUGGUCAAACAUACAACUUCUAGAGCUUGAAAAGAAGAAAUGCUAGUGUAAUUUCUAAAUGAUGCUAUUUGAUUAAGUUUUCUUUUUAGCAAACAAAAAAUCUAAGAUAAGGGAUCAAAAGUUUAUGUCAAGGUUCUAAAUAAGAAUAAUUUAUGUGGAUAAGUUGUUCUUUUACUUCCAUACGGCGGUCGAGACUACUCUCGAAGAAUGGAAUGAUAGAAAGGUUGUUAUAAUGUGUCGAAUGUCCUAUUUAAAUUAGUUCUAAGUUUCGAAGGAGGAGAAAAUGUAAAUUAAUAAAUCAAAAGGUAAAAAAACUACUAAAAAUUAUGUGACUCCUACAUAGAUAAGUUGUUGUAGGAUUUUCAAAUGGCGGCAUAGACAACUACGAAACAUUAACGAAGCAAGGCUUCUAUCACUUAUCGGUAAUUCUAUUUAAACAUGUUUUUAGUUCCACAAAAAUAGAAAAUCUACCAUGAUGGAUAAAAAUGGUUAAUAAAUGUACCAAAUUAUCAGAUUUCGAUAGGUAAGUUGCUAUCUGAGGUGCAUAUAGAUGCACAGACUACCCUCGAAGCAUGAAAUGGUGUAAAUGAUUUUGGAAUAUGUCGAUGAUGCUUCAUUAGUAGGAUUUCAGUUUUCAACGAAAUGAAAAUCUAUAGUGAUGGAUCAAAAGGGAACAAAAUUGGUGAUGGAAUUAAAUGAUUACUAGUUAUAAGUUGUUAUUUGAGAUCCGUAUAUGGUCAAACAUACAACUUCCGAAGCCUGAAAGGAAGAAAUGCCGGUGGAAUUUCUAAAUGAUGCUAUUUAAGUAAGUUUUCUUUUUAGCGUAUAAAAAAUGUACGGUAACGGAUCAAAAGUUUAUGUAAUGGUGCUAAACAUGAAUAAUUUAUUUGGAUAAGCUGUUCUAUGACUUGCAUACGACGGUCGAGACUACUAUCGAAUAAUUGAAUGAUUGAAAGGCUGUUAUAAUGUGUUGAAUGUCCUAUUUAAAUGAGUUCUAUGAUUCGAAGGAGGGGAAAAAUGUAAAGUAAUAAAUCAAAAGGUUAUGUAGAACUACUAAAAAUUAUGUGACUCCUACAUAUAUAAGUUGUUGUAGGAUUUUCAAAUGGCGGCACAGACAACUUCGAAACAAGAAACGAAGCAAGGCUUCUAUCACUUAUCGGUAAUGCUAUUUAAACAUGUUUUCAGUUUUGCAAAAAUAGAAAAUCUACCUUGAUGGAUAAAAACGGUUAAUAAAUGUACCGAAUUGUCCAAUUUCUAUAGGUAAGUUGCUAUCUGAGGUGCAUAUAGAUGCACAAACUACCCUCGAAGCAUGAAAUGGUGGAAAUGAUUUCGGAAUAUGUCGAUGAUGCUUCAUUAAGAAGUUUUCAGUUUUCAACGAAAUGAAAAUCUAUAGUGAUGGAUCAAAAGGGAACAAAAUUGGUGAUGGAAUUAAAUGAUUACUAGUUAUAAGUUGUUAUUUGAGAUCCAUAUAUGGUCAAACAUACAACUUCCGAAGCUUGAAAGGAAGAAAUGCCGAUGGAAUUUCUAAAUGAUGCUAUUUAAGUAAGUUUUCUUUUUAGCGAAUAAAAAAUCAACGGUAACGGAUCAAAAGUUUAUGUAAAGGUGCUAAACAUGAAUAAUUUAUUUGGAUAAGCUGUUCUAUGACUUCCAUACGACGGUCGAGACUACUAUCGAUGAAUUGAAUGAUUGAAAGGCUGUUAUAAUGUGUCGAAUGUCCUAUUUAAAUGAGUUCUAUGAUUCGAAGGAGGAGAAAAAUGUAAAGUAAUAAAUCAAAAGGUUAUGUAAAACUACUAAAAAUUAUAUGACUCCUACAUAUAUAAGUUGUUGUAGGAUUUUCAAAUGGCGGCAUAGACAACUUCGAAACAAGAAACGAAGCCAGGCUUCUAUCACUUAUCAUUAAUGCUAUUUAAGCAUGUUUUCAGUUUUGCAAAAAUAGAAAAUCUACCAUGAUGGAUAAAAAGGUAAAAACUGUACCAAAUUGCCUAAUUUCGAAUGGUAAGUUGCUAUCUGAGGUGCAUAUAGAUGCACAGACUACCCUCGAAGCAUGAAAUGGUUCAAAUGAUUUCCGAUGGUGGAAAUGAUGUCGGAAUAUGUCGAUGAUGCUUCAUUAAUAGGUUUUCAGUUUUCAACGAAAUGAAAAUGUAUUCUGAUGUAUCAAAAUGGAACAAAAUUGGUGAUGAAAUUAAAUGAUUACUAGUUAUAAGUUGUUAUACGAGAUCGAUAUGGUCAAACAUACAACUUCCAAAGCUUGAAAAGAAGAAAUGCUGGUGUAAUUUCUAAAUGAUGCUAUUUGAUUAAGUUUUCUUUUUAGCAAACAAAAAAUCUACGAUAACGGAUCAAAAGUUUAUGUGAAGGUUCUAAAUAAGAAUAAUUUAUGUGGAUAAGUUGUUCUUUUACUUCCAUACGGCGGUCGAGACUACUCUCGAAGAAUGGAAUGAUAGAAAGGCUGUUAUAAUGUGUCGAAUGUCCUAUUUAAAUUAGUUCUAAGUUUCGAAGGAGGAGAAAAUGUAAAUUAAUAAAUCAAAAGGUAAAAAAAACUACUAAAAAUUAUGUGACUCCUACAUAGAUAAGUUGUUGUAGGAUUUUCAAAUGGCGGCACAGACAACUUCGAAACAAGAAACGAAGCAAGGCUUCUAUCACUUAUCGGUAAUGCUGUUUAAACAUGUUUUUAGUUCACAAAAAUAGAAAAUCUACCAUGAUGGAUAAAAAUGGUUAAUAAAUGUACCAAAUUAUCAGAUCUCGAUAGGUAAGUUGCUAUCUGAGGUGCAUAUAGAUGCACAGACUACCCUCGAAGCAUGAAAUGGUGUAAGUGAUUUCGGAAUAUGUCGAUGAUGCUUCAUUAAUAGGAUUUCAGUUUUCAACGAAAUGAAAAUCUAUAGUGAUGGAUCAAACGGGAACAAAAUUGGUGAUGGAAUUAAAUGAUUACUAGUUAUAAGUUGUUAUUUGAGAUCCGUAUAUGGUCAAACAUACAACUUCCGAAGCCUGAAAGGAAGAAAUGCCGGUGGAAUUUCUAAAUGAUGCUAUUUAAGUAAGUUUUCUUUUUAGCGUACAAAAAAUCUACGGUAACGGAUCAAAAGUUUAUGUAAUGGUGCUAAACAUGAAUAAUUGAUUUGGAUAAGCUGUUCUAUGACUUCCAUACGACGGUCGAGACUACUAUCGAAGAAUUGAAUGAUUGAAAGGCUGUUAUAAUGUGUUGAAUGUCCUAUUUAAAUGAGUUCUAUGAUUCGAAGGAGGAGAAAAAUGUAAAGUAAUAAAUCAAAAGGUUAUGUAAAACUACUAAAAAUUAUGUGACUCCUACAUAUAUAAGUUGUUGUAGGAUUUUCAAAUGGCGGCACAGACAACUUCGAAACAAGAAACGAAGCAAGGCUUCUAUCACUUAUCGGUAAUGCUAUUUAAACAUGUUUUCAGUUUUGCAAAAAUAGAAAAUCUACCUUGAUGGAUAAAAACGGUUAAUAAAUGUACCAAAUUGUCCAAUUUCUAUAGGUAAGUUGCUAUCUGAGGUGCAUAUAGAUGCACAGACUACCCUGGAAGCAUGAAAUGGUGGAAAUGAUUUCAGAAUAUGUCGAUGAUGCUUCAUUAAUAAGUUUUUAGUUUUCAACGAAAUGAAAAUCUAUAGUGAUGGAUCAAAAGGGAACAAAAUUGGUGAUGGAAUUAAAUGAUUACUAGUUAUAAGUUGUUAUUUGAGAUCCAUAUAUGGUCAAACAUACAACUUCCGAAGCUUGAAAGGAAGAAAUGCCGGUGGAAUUUCUAAAUGAUGCUAUUUAAGUAAGUUUUAUUUUUAGCGAAUAAAAAAUCUACGGUAACGGAUCAAAAGUUGAUGUAAAGGUGCUAAACAUGAAUAAUUUAUUUGGAUAAGUUGUUCUAUGACUUCCAUGCGACGGUCGAGACUACUAUCAAAGAAUUGAAUGAUUGAAUGUCUCGAAUGUCCUAUUUAAAUGAGUUCUAUGAUUCAAAGGAGGAGAAAAAUGUAAAGUAAUAAAUCAAAAGGUUAUGUAAAACUACUAAAAAUUAUAUGACUCCUACAUAUAUAUGUUGUUGUAGGAUUUUCAAAUGGCGGCAUAGACAACUUCGAAACAAGAAACGAAGCCAGGCUUCUAUCACUUAUCAUUAAUGCUAUUUAAGCAUGUUUUCAGUUUUGCAAAAAUAGAAAAUCUACCAUGAUGGAUAAAAAGGUAAAAACUGUACCAAAUUGCCUAAUUUCGAAUGGUAAGUUGCUAUCUGAGGUGCAUAUAGAUGCACAGACUACCCUCGAAGCAUGAAAUGGUUCAAAUGAUUUCCGAUGGUGGAAAUGAUGUCGGAAUAUGUCGAUGAUGCUUCAUUAAUAGGUUUUCAGUUUUCAACGAAAUGAAAAUGUAUUCUGAUGUAUCAAAAUGGAACAAAAUUGGUGAUGAAAUUAAAUGAUUACUAGUUAUAAGUUGUUAUACGAGAUCGAUAUGGUCAAACAUACAACUUCCAAAGCUUGAAAAGAAGAAAUGCUGGUGUAAUUUCUAAAUGAUGCUAUUUGAUUAAGUUUUCUUUUUAGCAAACAAAAAAUCUACGAUAACGGAUCAAAAGUUUAUGUGAAGGUUCUAAAUAAGAAUAAUUUAUGUGGAUAAGUUGUUCUUUUACUUCCAUACGGCGGUCGAGACUACUCUCGAAGAAUGG